CGGAGUUUAACCUUUUCCGAGGUUGCCUAUGGAAAGAGUGUGGCAUUGAGGUGGAUGUUGAGAAUGGUUCGUCCAAGAAUGAUUCGACUUGCGCUAGUUCGGCUCAGGAUUGAAUAAAGAUGAAGAAUAAAUGUGUGAUUUUGGACCUUGGUGCCGACUAGUGCGUGUAGUUAGCUUUGUUUAUAAAAGUAGUAAAUCCACAUGCAAAAAGGACCAAUUUGCUUUGGAUUAAGGUUAUGUUGGGAGCUAUCUAUGAAGUUUACUCAUAUGAUCUGAUAUAAGCUAUUCCUCAUUUUUAAGUCUCCUAUAAUUUAACUUGAAAAUAUCAUUUAUUCUUCAAGUCGUAUUUCAUUUCUUGAGUAUUAUCAUAUAUAUUUAUGAAACAAUGAGCAUUAGGAGAAGAAUGCAUUACCUGCGCAAAAUCAACUUUGGUAAAAAUCUCAACUUUUUGCUUUAAGGAAAACAGGCAUUUGGCCUUGGUUGUUUAUUUAUGAGCCAUUUUUGGGUGGUCGUACACACAUUUGGCUCACUAAUGGAUAAUGGCGUUGAGAAGGAAAAGAGGGGUGUAUGAUGAGCAAUUGAGCCAACUGAAUUUGCAGCUGGAAUCCACUCCUAUUCAAAGUUUGGAGCCUGACUAGACCUGGCAAUAAAAUGUAAAGGUGCUCUUAUGUAAAUCUCACUGGAAUACAUAUGAAAAAUAAAAAAACUAGUGAAUUAAGAAUGAACACAAACCUGCAUAGAAAGCUUUGCUACAAUGGAAGUAGAAGCAUAUGAAACUCGUAAAUAAACUACAACCGAUGACAUGGAAUAGAGGUAAAAGCAAGUUUCCAAUAUUAAUCUGAGAUAAACCUCUGUUGAACUUACAUUGUAUGAAAUGUCACUAUAUUUUCAAAACACAUACUACAAACCAAGCUAGCUAAUAUCUAUCGACAUUCAUUUACUAAUUCAUGAAUAACGAACCAGUAAGCAGGAAGUUUAAAACGAAACAUGAAGUGUACAAGUGUUACCAUACAUGUCCAGUGAUUGAUUAUGCAGUGUAACUUUUGGCAUGAGGUACCAACUAGACAAAACAAGAUUAAAAUGCAUAUGAUCCGUUACCGACCACACAAUUAAGUGAAUUUUCACACAUGUAAACCGAAAUUUCAUUCUGUUUGUACCAUACUUGACCAAUCCCGAAACUACUGAGCAUCGGUCAACGUUAUACCAUCAAAGACCCAGAAGAGUUUCCCUCCAACCAGGAGGCCAAUCACAGCGCGACACGUGUCGAUAUCAGAAGCCAAUCAUAGCGCGACACGUGUCAACAUCAGAAGCCAAUCACAACACGACACGUGUCGAUGUCAGAAUGAAACUAGAAACUCUCUUCUAUAAAUAGAGAUCAUUCUCUCACAAUAUUUCCUAAUGUCAUUUGUACUAAAUCAUUCACUUGUACUCACUAAAGGAGAGCUUGAACCAAUGUGUUCACUUAUCCAUAAUAAAUUUUAAAAGGAUGAAACUUUUAAGGCUAAAUUGCCAAUUUGCCCCCUAAACUAUCACUUGACUUUCGAUUUCCUCCCUUAACUUUUUAAUUGGAAAAUUAAGGACUUGAACUUAUUUUUUUUUGCCUAUUCCCCCCCUACCGUUAAUUUUUCAUAGAUUUCAUCCAAAAUAACGUUAACUCUUAUCACGUGUAUACCACGUGACUCUCUUUUGUGGACAAAAAACGUUACUUCGCUAGACCUUCAGACACAAAAGCUAUAGAAUCACACAUAUUUGCAUAUGUUUAUAUUUUAAAAAUCUAAAGUUUUCAAUUAUUUUAAAGAAUGAAGCGACCGAACUAUUCUCACAUGUUGUGCACAUGCUUCUAUCGAAAGCCAAGUGAUAGUUCAUGAGGCAAAUUAACAGUUUAGCCUAUUAUGAUUAACCGAGUGGGAGACUUAACCCACUCACACAUGCCUUAAUGUAGAUAAUAUCCUUGUUACAAAAAACGAUUAUUUGUGAUAUGCGAUAUGGCCUAAUUAUCUCCUCGUAACUGUUAGAAUUUAAAAUGAAAAAAUUAUAAUAUUUUAUGGAUAUGGAUACCGGCCCGGCCCGCUUGGCCCAUGAAACAAAGUCUACUAUCUUUAAAAUCCGAGGCCACACCUUUUCCCCUUUCACUUUAGGGUUUGUGUUCAAUGUCCGCGGAAAACUCCAAAAGCUGAAGCCUUGCACAUUCUUUCUCUGCGGGUAUGAAAAUUCAAAAUUCAACCUCUUACUUUGUUUGUUUUAAUUUUUAUGAUUUUUUUUUCUAAAUUUUUUCUUUCUGUUUGCUUUGGAUCUCAAUAUCUCAAUGCUUACCCGUUGGUUAGGGAAUUUAACAUGUAAUUCACAAAUACACAGAGGCAGGGGAUUUUAAAAAUAUAUUCCCAGAACCCUAAUUUGGGGUUGUUUUUAUUUUUAUUUUUUACCGUUCGUAUGUUUCAUACUUUAUGGGAUAACAAGAUUUAUUAUUGGGCGUGGACAAUUUAAAUUCAGCCUCAGUAAGAUCGAUCUUUUGUAUUCACUUUGGAUUAUGCAGCUUGUUGUGUCUUAUGCUCGCUUAAAGUUAGCUUUCGUUCAUCGGUUUGGACUCCAUAGUAAUCCAAUUGAGCCGAGGGCUAUGGUUUUGUUGUCAUACACGUUUUGGGAUAUAUCUGGAAUCCUACACCAGUAGUUUGAUGAUCACGCCGAGUACCCCAAAUUGUUUUUAACUAAAAUUGUUAGCAUGCGAUGCGAGUUUGAUAUCUAUUGUAAUUGCCGGUCCUUGCGAUCAGUUUUGAGAUUUAAGGGUUAGCAUCUAAUUAUGUCAUGUCUUUGUCGCGGGAUUGAAUCGUUUGGAACAGUUUUCUGUUUCCAUUUUUAUUCUCGUUUUGUUUCAGUAUGUAAGCCUUUGUCUUAUCUCGCAGGAACUAAACUUUAAUUUGUAAACUUUUAGUUGGGACGGCUUGUCGAAUUCUCGAACCAAAAUUAUGGCUCGUUAUUAUACUUCCCGUUCACGUUGGGGUCCACGUAGGGGUUCAUGUUCGAGUUCCAUUUCCACUGGUGAGUAAUUACGCUGGUAUUUCGAUUGUUUAAAUAAUAUGUCAAUCUGUGAGAUGAUUUGUUUGAUUAGAAUGAAACAGCCUUUCAAUCUUUUUUUUUUAUAGUCAUUUAUGCUUUUUCUUCUUAAUUUGCAGUACCCCAAUCCACUUACUCUGCUUUAUCUGGCAAAAGGAGUAAGUAUAAACGGCGCCCUUGUAAUUUAGUUUUGUACGCUGCUUGUGCUUGUUGGGGCUUCAAUGCCUAGAAUAAUAAUAAUUUUCUCGCUAUCUAACACGUAAUUAUUGUAACUAGCUAAUAACAUGUAAUAUUUCUAUGAGUUAGGUCCUAGUGCCUGUGACGAGGUUGCGGUGAGAUAUCCAAACGGAGGUUCUACGGUCUUUUAUCAUUCAAAUUUUCGUCCAAGUGCAAUUGGUCGUGGCAUUUCUGAUGACCAAUGCCAGUGGUUGCUUCGGGCGGUUGUUGAGGUACUUUCAGUUGCUCGAUUGAAAAAAAAAAAAAAAAGUCUAUGUGCUAUCCUGUUCUGCUUCUUGUGUUGGUCUUGUCAAUCUUUGGAAUGGAAAACAGAUGCUAGAUCAUCUGUUUCUACAUAAAUAUUGACAAGUGUUGCAUCUAUCUCUCUCUUUUAAUGGCAGCUAAGCCUUUUUGGCGGGCCUGAUGACCCGGGGUUUAAGCUUUUCCGAGGUAGCCUAUGGACACAGUGUGGCAUUGAGGUGGAUGUUGAGAAUGGUUCGUCCAAGAAUGAUUCGACUUGCGCUAGUUCGGCUCAGGAUUGAAUAAAGAUGAAGAAUAAAUGUGUGAUUUUGGACCUUGGUGCCGACUAGUGCGUGUAGUUAGCUUUGUUUAUAAAAGUAGUAAAUCCACAUGCAAAAAGGAUUUCCUAUAGGACCAAUUUGCUUUGGAUUAAGGUUAUGUUGGGUGCUAUCUAUGAAUUUUACUCAUAUGAUCUGAUAUCAGCUAUUCCUCAUUUUUAAGUCUCCUAUAAUUUAACUUGAAAAUAUCAUUUAUUCUUCAAGUCUUAUUUCAUUUCUUGAGUAUUAUCAUAUAUAUUUAUGAAACAAUGAGCAUUAGGAGAAGAAUGCAUUACCUGCGCAAAAUCAACUUUGGUAAAAAUCUCAACUUUUUGCUUUAAGGAAAACAGGCAUUUGGCCUUGGUUGUUUAUUUAUGAGCCAUUUUUGGGUGGUCGUACAGACAUUUGGCUCACUAAUGGAUAAUGGCGUUGAGAAGGAAAAGAGGGGUGUAUGAUGAACAAUUGAGCCAACUGAAUUUGCAGCUGGAAUCCACUCCUAUUCAAAGUUUGGAGCCUAACUAGACCUGGCAUUUUGGACCCGAUCCGUUAACCCGACCCGACUCGUUAAUAUUAAUAUUUAGGUGAAUGCUUAACAUGUCAGGUCGUUAACAGGUGAACCCGUUAAAUAACGGGUCACUUUGGGUCAACACGUUAGCAUCCGUUAGUUGAUGAUGUUUUAGUAAUUUUAGUAAAGUCUUAACAACAAAAAAUAAACUCUAUGAAAAAAAAAUAAUAAUAAUAAUUGUUAACGGGUGAAACGGAUGAUCUGUUAACUUAACGGGUCGGGUUCAGGUGACCCGUUAACUUAACGGGUCGGAUUGAACUCAACCCAAACCUAAUAAACCCGACCCAUUUACAGGUCUAAGCCUGACAAAUUGUUGCAAGCUUUUAAGGCAAAGUUUUACCAAGUUCUACAAAGUUCUAACUUCAGGAACUUCCUUUUUCUUUCUUGUUUAACUUUUUGUGAAAUUAUUUCCUUUAAAACAGCUAAGUUACAUGUGCAUCUAUCUCACAACAAUUUGGUUUGGAGCAACAAGCGCCUGUAAAUCAUGUGUCUUUUGGAUUAUCUAAUAAAUCAUUAAAGCUUAAUUACAGAUGCAACAACGGCAAAGUAAACCUUAAUUACAUCCGAGGCAAAGUAAACCGUAAGUCAUCUAAAUGUAUCAAAACAAAUUAACAGUUUAUCAUGAAUAUGAUAUUUGGUACCUACAUCGUUGAUUUAUUCAUAUAUUUGGAUGACUACAUGAUUCCUCAUUCGAAUAAAUUUUUUGCAUGGAUGAUCUUCAAAUAAAUGUUGCGAGAUUAAACAGUUCAAAUUAUGAAAUUUACCGGUUGAAGAUAUUAUUACAUUUGCAAGUUGGGAUUCACUGUAUCCCUGUUCAAAGCAAACAUUCCAUUUUUGAGAUAUAUUUUGAAUUUCUACUACUCUAAUUUAUAUGAUUAUGUUCUUAUAUGAUAAGCAGUGCAGUUAUUUCGGCAUUAGAUCCACUUCUAUACAGUGGCGGAUCCACAGUGGGGUCGUCGGGGUCGCACGACCCCUUGGAAACCAUGGAAACAACCUUGAAGCUCCCAUAUGCGACCUCUUGGAGCUGGGGUCGUCGGGGUCGGAGGCACGCCAACUGUUCGACAAAAGCCCUGAACGAAAACUGGGCAGGAAGAGGAAGAAGAAGCAGCCCACUCAAAUGAGCUUGGUUGUGUGCUUGGUUGCAUGCCUGUUUUUGUCAAGUGAAUGAUAUUUAUACAUGCUACUUUUUAUAACUCUAUCCAGUUUAAUUGGUCUUUCUGAUAAAGAAAUGAUAGGGGUUGGAGGAGUGCUAUAUGAGAACAAGAACAUUAAGAAGAUACGGAAAUUAAUUUGAAACAUCAAGCUGUCAGGGAAAACAAAAAUUUGGAUACACCAGUAACAAGACAAUAAAAGAGCAAGUUUAAGUGAAACUUACUUGCAUGAAUCCACAUAAACGAAUUAUGAUGUGAUUUAUGCCAGAAUCUUGGGUCAGUCCCUAUACUUUAUUAUUGUUCCAUGCACAGAUUAAUUCGACAUUGCAACAAACGCCCGACUAAUGGAGUUAGUACUAUCCGACGACUAUUUAUCUUAUCCGACUGAAAUAGUCAAUACAGUCCGAAGUACCAAACGAGGCUAAAAAAAAAUUUCGCGCUGCGCGCGCUAUGACCCCAUAAACAUUUUUUCCUGGAUCCGCCACUGCUUCUAUAGGUUGGCAUUCUGUCAUUUAUCUGAACAUCGACCACAAGAUGCUUGGCAAAGUUGAGUUGCAAACACUAACCUUCCUAGAAAUCAAAGUUAGUGCAUGUGCAUAGCUCACAUCCAGCUUGCUAGUUGUCUCAGACUCAUCUCGCAGCAUUGAAUAGAUAUCACCGACAGGAUCCCCCCGCCAGAUUCUGGCGAUCAUCUGAGUACAAAGAGAACUUCGACAUAUGCAUCAGCCUUAAUGCCUCAUCCACAUCAGAUUGAGCCACAGUUUCAGAAUGUCGGAGUCUUGCCUGUAAGCAAAAGAAGUUAGAUUCUGUUGAGCAACCCAUCCAACAAACCCAGAAAAUCUCUUUUAUCUAUAAUACCAAAAAUAGUAUAUGGCAUUUGUUAAAACUAGAUUUCCAUGCAAGAUAUUUCUUCCUCUACUUAUGGAUGGCAUUUCUUGAGCACACCAUCAAAUGGGUAAAAUGUGGCACGAACAACAUACUCAUACAUAAUUUACCCCUUUACAAUUCCAACCUAUACUACUACAAAAGGGCCUUAUAGUGUCAGUGGGUGGUGUCGGUUUAAUCUAAUAUAGUUGCGACACUAACUAAACAUGACGUCGGAUUUACUGUCACUUAUAAGCGUCAUAAAAUACUGGUGUCGCUUUAAACCGACGUACACAUACAUUGUAAUAUUUUAAAUACUGGUGUCGCUUUUAAGCGACAUAAAGUAUGAGUGUAGGGGCAAACGACUGGAAGAGCUUUUUUCAGUCAGUGUUGGCGUCGGUUUUAACCGACGCAAAAGUUUUCUUGUUUUGACGCCACAUCCAAGUGCACUGACAUGUCAGGCUCACGUCGGUUUGAACCGACGCAAACUUGUCCUAUUUCGAGGCCACCUGCUACGACUGUCAAGUAUGUCAGGGACACGUCGGUUUUAACCGAUGCAAACUUGUCCUUAUUUCGACGCCACACAAACUUGUCCUUAUUUUUUUUAAAUAUCUUAAAGCGUGCGUCGGUUCUGAGCGACAUAGAUUUUAGUUUUUUUUAAAUAUUCUAAAACCUGGUGUCGGUUGUAAGAAACAUAAUGAUGAUCUUUAUAUACUCUCCCCCGUGUUUUCUUCUUCCUCUCUUGCAUUUUUCUUAUUCGUUCUUCCAAUUUCAAACCCUCCCCGUGUUUUCUCUCUUGCACCUUUCUUAUUUGUUCUUCUUACUUCAUUUGUUCCGUCUUCACAACAGUAAGUGUUUCUUGCUUCUAAUAUUUUUAUUUUCUCCACUUAUGUUUAAUUUUUAUGUACAAUUUAUUUUUGUAGGGAAUUUAUUUGAGCUGGUUGAGUACAUAAAGAUUUGAUCGACGACGGAAUUCUUCCAUAAUUCAGGUUUCUAUCACUAAAUUCUUUAAUUUUUAAAUUGUAUAAUACACAAGUUUAUUUAUUUAAAAGUUCUAAUUUAAGUAGUUAGAUAAAUUUCUACUAUUUUUGUUAAAUUAAUAAAUAUUUAGUCAAAUUAAUUAAUUUUGUCACUUGAAUUGUUAUGAGAAAAUGGAAAUGAAUAAUAGUUAUAAGCAUUUAUGUGAAAUUGACAUAUUAAAUAUAACAUAAACUUAUAAUAUUUAGUAAUAUAAGAAUAUAUUAUGUUAAAUUAAUUUGUUUUGCACUCUAAUUGUUAUUUUAAUUUGUUUUUGUUGUUAUUUUGAUAACUUUUUGUUGUUAUUUUAAUUUUUUUUUACUAUAAUAGGUGUUGAAAAUUAAAAGAUUGCAAUUGUGAUAUAGUUCGAGGGUUGAAAGAUAGAAAUUGAAAAUUCUAAUAGUUAUGCCUACAUGAUAGGGAUUGAAAGAUUGUAGGCAUCUUAGUGUCAACGUAAUAUUUUGUCCUCGUAAAGUGGUAAAACAUGGACAGGAGUUGGUUGACGAUAGCUCGAAAUUUGGAAGCUUAUACAGCUGGAAUUAAUUUGUUUUUGGACCAAGCAGUUGCAAAUGGUGUUGGCCCUGAUAAGUUUAGAUGUCAUUGCCAAAGAUGUUGUAAUCGAUAUACUUUUGUUAAGAACACUGUUGUUGAACAUCUCAUAUUGUAUGAUAUGGAUAAAGAUUAUAAAAACGCUUGGUGGCGACAUCAUGGUGAGAAAAACAUUGGAAAGCAAAAUAUUGGUGGCGACAUCAUGGUGAGAAAAACAUUGGAAAGCAAAAUAUGGCAAUCAGAGAAGAAGAAACAGGAGAUGAGGUGGCUAGUAUGCAUGAUUUUCUUAAUGAUGUAUUUGUCCAACCAUUAACAGAAGAAGUGUUGGGCUGUCUACUGAACCCCCUAUUGGGGAUGGGCAUUCAGAAGAGGUGAAGACUUUUUUUAGGUUGCUUGAAAAGGCAGAUCAAGAUUUGUGGCCAGGAUGUAAAAAGUUUAAGGAAUUAGAAGCAGUUGUAAGACUGUAUUAGAUCAAAUGUUUAGCGGGAAUGCCAGACGAGAUCUUCACCACUUUACUGGAGUUAAUUAAAAGAAUGUCGCCUAAAGGGGAUUGUUUUCCUGAAUCCUGUUAUAAGGCAAAAAAACUUAUAAAUGACUUGGGUCUGACGUAUGUGAAAAUUGAUGCAUGUCCCAAUGAUUGCAUGAUCUAUUGGAAAGAUACUUCGAAGUUGACUGUGUGCUCGGUUUGUGGUGAAUCAAGAUAUAAAAUUACCAAAGCAGAGGAUAGCUUGAGAAAAAAGAUCGUAGCUAAGGUUAUGUGGUAUUUUCCUUUAAAACCACAAUUGCAACGAUUUUUUAUGUCGAAGCAUACGGCUGAACAUAUGAGGUGGCACGCAAUUGAAAUGUCCUAAGGAUGAGUUUAUGAGGCAUUCUUCAUAUUCUCCAGCAUUGAAGCAUUUGGAUAAUUUAUAUCCGGAUUUUGCGUCAGAAAUUCGAAAUGUUAUAUUAGGGUUGGCCAAUGAUGGAUUUAAUCAUUUUGCGAAAAUGAGGCAUGACCAUAGCACAUGGCCUGUGGUGCUUUCUGUUUACAAUUUACCGCCCUUGAUGUGCAUGAAGAAAUCAAAUUUGUUGUUGUCUCUAUUAAUACCAGGACCGCGCAGUCCUGGUAAAGAUAUUGAUGUAUACAUACGUCUACUGAUUGACGAGUUAAAUGAGUUAUGGGAGGUGGGCACUCCCACUUAUGAUGCAUAUUCCAAUCAAAGUUUUACAAUGAAGGCUGCCGUCUUAUGGACUAUAAGUGAUUUUUCGGCUUAUGGAAUGUUGUUAGAAUGGAGUACACACUAUGUGGCCAGCCCUAUCGCUGGGUUCCAGGACACUUUACUGCUUUGGCAUGAUCGAAUAAGACACCCUGGACGAGAUAUUAUGCGCCAUAUCCUCAAAGCAUCUCAUGGACAUCACUUGAAAUCUUAUACUAGCCAUCCGCUUUGCAAAGCAUGUUCCCUGGGGAAGUUGAACACUCAACCUUCAAUUACCAAGAUUAUUCACGACCCCCCUAAAUUUCUUCAGAGGAUUCAAGAGGAUAUUUGUGGACAUAUACAACCAAUGUGCGGACCAUUUAGAUAUUUUAUGGUGUUGGUUAAUGUUCGUGAAUCUUUCAAGAUGAUUGUAUCAAAAUUCCAAAUUUUUCUACCAAGCCAUUUGACCGUGGCGAUGAAAAGAAGACCCAGCGCGCAGCUUUUCUAGAUUGACGUUUCUGGACGUUUUGGGUAUUUUAGAGGUCAAGAUAGUAUAUUUGAGGAAUAUUCCUUCUGAGGAUUUGUAGAGGACGUUUCAAGCUUUCAAAAGAGACCUUUUGGGACCAAAUCAAAGUUGAUUUGGUCAGUCAAAAGACUAAUUUUCUGAGAACUCCGAAUUUCAGUUUAAAUAGGAAACCUUUUAUUUUCUGUUUUAUUAUUUUAUUAUGUUUCCUAGUUUUAUUCUAAGACCUUUUCUAGGUAGGAUUUUAUUUGAUAGUAGUAUAAAUAAGACUUUUUAGCCAUUAGAUCAGGGGGAGACGCAUUAUUUUGGAGACCUACUUUUUACCUAUAAGGUGUUUUCAUUCUUUUUUCUAUUUAAUAUAUUUUCUUUAGUUUUUAUUAUGAUUGUUCAUAACUAAUUUCUUUUGCUAGGACGAAGCCAUGAGCUUUAGCAUGAAUAUGUGAUUUUAUUAAUAUGCUUAUGAAUGGAUGCAUGCUUGCUUUGAAUUAUUAAUUACCGCGAUUAAACUAUUUAAUUGUCUAAGUGAUUCGCGACCAUUAGGAUUUUUAGACAAGUAAUUUGAUGUAAUUUAUGUUGGAACAUCACCCUAAAAUUGAGGAGGGCUUCUUGUGAUUAGUAAUUGUAAGUUCACUUAAGGCAAACAUCACGCUUUUAAGGGUUGCAUGGUUUUUCAAAUGAUUUUCACAAAACUUAAUGAGUCUUGCAUGUUUAUAUUUGAUCUGAACAUCACAGAUGGGUUGCAUGUUAGAUAUACGUUUUCGCUUGAACAUCACAAGGAAAAUAUGCAUUAGGGAAACCUAACCUUAAAAGCAUGUAUGUGGAAAUUCAUAAGUAAUUGGUAAAUUUGCAUAGGAUUGUUAAUGGUGACGGCAGAACGCUAGUGUUUAAAUUGUUUUCCAAAACCGUUUUCUUUUGCUUUCUUUACUUUGUUGAUCUAUUUAAUUGUUUUUAUAUUAAAUUCGUUUUUAUUAUUUUUAAAUUCAAAAUCAUCUUUUUCAAUCUUUGUUUUCAAAUAUUUAGCUAAGAAUUAGUUUAAAUACAUAUUAUUCAUUCAAUCCCUGCGGAAAACGACCUUACUUGAGCCGUUUAUACUACAACUACCUUGUUAUCUUGCAAGUAUUUUUAAGUGUUUUUAUUCAUACUUUUGCAGGUGGUAAAAAUCCUAUCAGACAUAGUCCCACUUAAUGGACAUCAUAACGUUCUGCUACCUUAUCAGUUUGGUAGUUUCCAAAAAUCUGAAUAUGCAACUUAUGAACGUGGUAACCGCGUAUCUUUAUGGGGAUCUAGAUACGGAAAUGUACAUAAAAGUUCCAGAAGGACUUCCAUUGGCUGGUUCAAAUAAUUCUAGACCACGCAACACUCUCUCGAUUAGAUUGAGGAGGUCACUUUGCGGAUUGACAAUCCGGGGGAUGUGGUAUAACCGUCUAAGUGAGUAUUUGACAAGUCAGGGUUAUGUGAACAACGAACUAUGCCCGUGCGUGUUCAUUAAGAAGUUAUAUUCUGGAUUUGUAAUCGUUGUAGUUUAUGUCGACGACAUGAACCUUGUUGGAACUUUUGCAUAGCUUAAGGAAAUUGCAGUGCACUUGAAAUCGGAAUUUGAGAAGAAAGAUCUUAAGGAAAACUCGAUAUUGUCUCGGCCUGGAGAUCGAGCAUUGUUCGGAUGAAAUCCUAGUACAUCAAUCGAACUACACCUAGAAGUUAUUGCGUCGUUUUAAUAAGGAUAAAGCAAAGCCCUCAAGUACUUCUAUGGUCGUUUGAACUCUAAAUGCUAAACGAUAUCCCUUCCGUCCGAAUGAGGGUGAGGAAGAGAUUUUGGAGCCUGAAGUUCCAUGCCUAAGUGCAAUUGAUGCUUUAUUGUACUUGGCUCAAUGCACUAGACUCGACAUCUCCUUCACUGUUAAUCUUUUGGCUAGAUAUAACAAUGCGCCUACAAGCAGAUACUGGAAUGGUGUUAAAGGCGUUUUCCGCUACCUUAAGGGUACAACAUAUUUGGGCUUGUUCUACAAACACAAAUCCAUGAGAGAAGACGAUGCCCCCCUUGAUCCUCGGGUUGAUUCAUGCCUCGUUGGUUACGCAAAUGUUGGUUAUCUGUCUGACCCUCAUAGGGCACAUUCUCAAACGAUUUUUGUCUUUACCAUUGGAGAUACCGCUAUAUCUUGGAGUUCUACCAAGCAAACGCUAGUUGCAACUUCUUCGAACCAUGCUGAGAUUCUCGUCCUGAAUGAAGCCUCGCGAGAGUGUUUUUAGCUGAGAGCAGUUAUGGAACAUAUUCGAAACACUAGUGGUCUUUCUUCAGUCGUUGACCUUUCUACAACGAUCUUUGAAGACAAUGCAGCAUGUAUCGAGCAGUUAAAGAAAUGAUACAUCAAGGGAGACAAGACCAAGCACAUAGCGUCGAAGUUCUUUUAUUCUCACCAGCAACAACAACAUCAGAACAUUGAAGUCAAGCAAAUCCGUUCCCAAGAUGAUCUCUUCACAAAGUCACUGCCCAAGUCUACUUUUCAGAAGCUCGUCCAAGGAAUCGGUAUGCGUAAAUUAUCUGAAUUAAAUCGCUUGUAGUCUCAUUUGUAAGUUAUGUCUAACUUAGGGGAGUAUCUUGAAGCAUACUCACUUGAUCUUAAUGUACUAUUUUUCCUACGAUUAGGAGCAUUUUUUCCACUAGAUUUUUGCUGCCUAACGAGGUUUUAACAAGGCACCCAUCCUAGGAUGAUCAUACUCCGUUGAGUUCACUACUUUCAUCCCGUUUGACGUUUGUUUUAGACAUUAUGCGUACUUCUCACUUUUCUCCUUAGUCUAUGGAUUUUCCUCAUACCUUGGGUUUUACCAUAGCAAUGUUUUGUGAGUUUUACUACCAAUGCAUACUUACGUUUAUUGUAUCUGAGACUCACGUUCACUCUUUAUGCCAACGACUUCAUCAAUUGUUCUACCCCAUUUGCUGAAGACCUGAUGCGACGUUUUGUUUCAGUAUUUACAUAGGGUUGCAGUCCUAUCGGAUUAGGAAUGUGAUUGUGUAAAUCCUAGUAUAUCUAGGAGUAUCUUGUAGUUACCUAUUAGGAGUUGAUUACCUAUUAAUCAUAAAGGGUAUGAAUUCUACCCAUCAUACUACUAUAAAUAAAGGCAUAAGGCGAUGAUAUAAUACACACUUCAAAAUUAAAUCUCUCAUUUUCUCUCUUGUUGCCGUUGGCCCCCUCUCCCUCUUUGUCCUUAUACAGUUCAGUCAAAUAGGUCUACAACACACUUAUUAUUUUUCUAUUUUUAGUUUUUCAGAUAACCUUACACGCACAUAUUACCUAAAUAAUUUAUUUCUUCAAGGUAAAAGGAGGAUGUGGAUGGUUUCUUUUGGACAUCUCGCCUAAUAUUAGAGUCAGUUUCUCGGCCACCAAUGAACCAAGAAAAACGAAAAAAAAUGGGAAGUCUCACAUCAGUGACAACUGGAACAUAAACAAUUUUUCUAUCUAGUAUUACUCUCGAUUUGGAAAUGUCUUCCAAUCUGGAUUUACCCCAAAAGAAAACGUUUUCAAAUCCGCUUUUAAAGUUAACCACAACUUAGCGCAAACAAAAUCUAAAUAACCGGUUGUAAAACUAAUUUAAGAUUUUGACCGGAAAAUAUUGCUAUCCAACUCUGUCUUUACAGCUAGGGAAGGCAAUACGUGCAAUUUAUCUACCUGCAUAGCAUGUCUAUGAAGCUGAAUGCUGUGCAGCAGAACCAGGCCCUGCUUACCUUGAAAAAAGACUGUCAAAGAGCCAUCUGCAACCAUCUGAAAGAGCGACUGAAGAGAAUCAUCCUCAAACAAACUUUGUGCUGCCAAAGGAUGGUUUGCCAGUGCCUUCAUAACAUGCUCAUCAUUCCCUUAUACCCGCAUAAUUAUAGGUUAGAAACAAAAAGAAAGUUAAAAACAUACCAUGAACCGAUAACAUAACAAACACAAGAGCACAAUAACGUACAAGCAAAGACUAAGUUUAGUAUGAAAAAAAAUGUCACGCACUACUACCGGCUGUUGUUCAAAUAUGUGAAAUAUACACCUCAAACAGGGGAAAAAAUACAGAUGUUAGAAUAACAGCAAAUCCUGGCAUGUUCAAAUAAUGUCACGAUUCAAAAUGCUACAAGGUUAUACUUGUACCAAACACUACAUAACAGCAAUUAAGCCUAUUGUGUUUUCAAAAUCAAACUUUGCAUACAUUGAUGAUCCAUGUGUAACAAACAUGUAUGGUUUUGUAUACCAUUAAUUAAAAGCUACCUCAAGCCGACGGACUUGACCAGCAUCACCGUCAUAACCUUUAUCAGCUGUAAAUAGUUCAUCACGAUCAGUAGCCUUUUGGGCUGUUUGAGACAUGUAGGCCAAUAUUGCAGACCAGGCAGCAAUAGGGGGAAACUGUUCCAUUUUCUACCAUUUUUCUCAAAACAGUGGCAUGCAAGAAUAUGUAAUCCGGCUUUGGCAACACGAAAAUACAGAUCAAUCAGUGUCUCCUUCUCUAACAAGUUUUGUUUUGUUUUUGCAAUAGCAUGCUCUACCAGCCCAUAAGCCUUCUCAAGCUAGACAUUGAACACGAAACCUUUCGACAAGACUCGUUAGGAGCUCAUUCAUAACAUAUUUCAUAGGAAAAUUUUCCGUCUGCACAUGCUGCUCAUGCAACUUCCAUGCAUCAUUUAGUCUAUGCUCAUCAAUUGCAUUCUGUAUGUCCCCGGUUAAUUUAGCCGGAUCUCAAGCCCGGCCUGGACCAAGAUCGUUCCCACCACAGUCGAAAAGCAGGUUCCUUUAACUGCAAGUCUCCCUGGUAAUCCCAAAACAUCUUGUAAACUCUACUUGGCCAACGAAGAAAACCCAAAAGAACACAGAAACCGGCCCCGCAUUUGAACAAGCUCGAAGCUGAGGAUUCCGAGAACAUAUAGAGCAGAAAGGGAAACCGAAGUUAUCCAACGAUGGAUGAAUUUUUUCACAGAAAAGAAUCUUAACCACAAAAACAAUUACCACUCAACUCCUAACCUGCCUAUUUCUAACUUGAGGAGCAAGUAACCAAGGACAUUGAAGUGGCCAGCUUCGUUGAGGCAUUUAAUCAAGCAGCUAGUGGUUGAACUGAGGUUGAAAGGAGAAAAGCGUUUUACUGGACGUCCAGGUAUAAGUUCAAGUUAAUUUGGCGUCGGUAUGUGCGGAUAAAAAAAAGGAGGAAAGUUCGAAUAUCUAACGUUACAGAGAGGGAGAGAAGGAGCUGUGGAAGUGAGGGGGCGAGGGAAAGAAGCCGGGUCGGUUUUGCGAACAAAUAAAAACGGGUUCUCUAUUGGGCCUUUUCAUGGAAUUUGGACCGGUGGGCUGCUUUAUUCUUUGGUGUAGUUGGUUUGGUUUGGUUUAAUAAAAGAGAAUGGGAAUUGACUUCCGCUUGCACCAAUUUUUCCAUGUAUUUAUCAAUAAUAACCAAAAUGAAACACACAAUUUCAUAAAUGUCAUUUUUUUAUAAAAUAUUUCAAAUAUAGCGGAAAAACCACUUAAAAGACCAAAAUACCCUCAAAAUUAAAACCGAAUAAACAUAAGAAGCAAAACCCUAUUAGAAGCUCAAUCGUUCCAAAGAAAUCCAAAACUAAAAUUGAAUUUCCAACAUGAUCAGAAUAACAAACUUGUAUAAUGAAAAGUGUGAUCGAUUCAUGGCAUCCAUACGCUUUGGGUAUAAGAAUUGGGACUAGUUGAGAUCAACAAUUUAGAACUUACAAAUAGGUGUUGUAGAUUAAUUAGAUUGACGGGGAGGAGAAGAAAGAAUAAAGUUGGAAUUAUCCUCUUGUGAAUUAGAUUGGAAUUUGAUUCUAAUGAGUUAGAAGCCUCAACCAGUAUCAUGUCUGCUAAAUUGAUUGAACAAAACAUACUCUUUUAGAACGAUCUUGUAUCACUUUUAGGACGAUCUUGUAUCAAUUAUUGAGGCCAAGUCCUGCUUGGCAUAUCGGCAGUCCUGUGUCACGAGAGUUUCACACGCAGAAAGUAGCUUUUCUGCAAUAGCUAUCGGUGUUUCCAGUUUGAUUUUCUUUCUUUCCAUUCCUGUGCUUGUUGACCCGUCUAAAAAACUAUACUAGAAAUUCUCAAGUUCAGAGAAAUUACUACUUUUCCACUGAGCAUCAGAUACUGAUAGUUCUGCGUAAUCUUUCCCAAACAUAGAAGCUGAAAGUUUCGCUUCAAGAGCAGAUCGCGCAGACACAGGAAAUAAAGUCACAUGUUCAGUAUUCAAUAGUUUCUGUGUGUUCUCCUUUAUGAAUGACGUAGCUUCCUCAAGCUGCAGAAAUAAUGCAUUUAGAUAAAGGCAACAUGAGGAGAAUUGAGAAGCUGAAACAGAUAGAACCAUCAUAUUAACUGGUCUUUUCUGCAAUACGAUUGCUAAAGGUAAUAUCAACAUUCAAUAUGAAUGAAAUGCUGGAACCUCAUGGGCACUGCGCGGUAGUAUCAGAUUUAUUCAAGACAAACACAACUUUCUACUUCCGUUGCUGAGUAUAACGAAGAAACGCAACCUGGAGAAAACACCAGUGACGAAACUGAAAUCAGCGUUGGUGAAAAUAACGAACAGGUAAAACUAUUCCACUAGUCUAACAUAUAUAAUUAACCAAAGUCAAAAUCAGUUAAAAGACUUUAAGGCCCGCAUCAAUGUCUUUUUAGCCAUAUAGCUCAGCUAUUUGCAGCUUUGGACUAUAAUCCACUAAAGGACAAUCCUUCCGUAAACCUUGUUAUGAAUCAUAUUGGAAAAGAGGGCAGUGAUAUUUCCUAGAUGUGUAAUUUAACUAGCAUCUUGUUAUUCCGGAUAAAUUAAUCUUUUUAUAAGAAAGAAGCCUGGACAAAAGAAUGAGAUGCAACCAUAUAAGCCCGUGAAAUCUUAAUUUGUCAAUUUGUAGUCUAUAGAUGCAUUGAGCAGCACGUCAUGCAAUUUGACGAACAAACAAAUCAUACCUCACCUUCAGUUAACGGGCGAUCAGCAGAGAACAAAAAGAAGCAAAUCAGCACGGGGCACAAAUUCCUCAGUAAGGCGUUGUUGCCUUUGGAGAAUCACAUUAGUUCCAGGUGUAUCAACAACGUUCAUCUGCGUCCAAUUUAAAAUAAAAUAAGUACAUACUACAAAAUGUAUUUUUAAUCAUAAAGUAGCAUUAAUCUAAUCCUGGGAAGAUGAUAGACUAGAUGUGCAGUAGAUUUUGUUCUGCCUACAACACACAACUUUUUAUCUUGUGCAUCCAACCAUCAUGACUCUCUGUGGCUACUUACGUAUGAUAUGUAGGAUAUUCAAUUAAACAAAGGCAGACUAACCAUAUAAAAAACCUAUUAAUAAGGGAUUGUACUAUUUGAACUGAAUAUAAGAGUUUGAAAUCUACUCACUUCUUUAAGAAUCGGAGCAGGAAUGUAGCAUAUAUAUUGACCAUCUGGAGGCCUUUCACAACGCUGUUCCUCACCAGCAUCCAUCUCAGUAUACCGUGAGAUGUUUAUUCCCGAGAAGGGCAUUAAUAACAGUUGACUUGCCAGAGUUAACUUCACCCUGUUGACAAAAAGAGAGAAAGUGUCAUAGGAGAACCACCAUAAACAUUCUGACAGAGUUCAUGAAUAAAGCCAACUGUAGAAAAUGACACGAUACUCCCCUCAUGAUUCUUCUAGCUCAAACAUGACAAAUAACUAAAUUAAGGUGAUGAUUAUUUUCAAUGAGUAGUACAGUCAUGCACCUUCUAAAACAGUCAGUUUGGAAGCAUUAAUCCAAACAAAGACCAAACAAGAACUAGUGCCUUUUGGCAAACUGAAGGCAAGACGACCACUCAUGUGACCAAACGUAUUGUCCUAGGCGUAUACAAUAGCAGAAGAGACGUAGUGUAGUUAAUUCCUAAAGGUUAGCUAAGGGUAUAUAGAUGAUAGAACCAAACUAUUUGUCGGAUCUAUAUUUGAAACCAAUAAUGGCUUACAAAUUUACAUAUCUCUGAACUUUUUUAUUAGCAAUUCUCACGAACUACUGCAUAACUGUUAUCAAAGGCCACCUAAAUUCUAAAUUCUAUAUUCUAUAAAGAAAAGAAGGAUUCACAUGAAAUAUAGAGCUAAUACCAAUGUAUAUUCCUGGAACCACAAUUUGUUGAAGUUCAGCACACAAUUACCACUAUAACCAGCAAAAAUGGCUCAUCAAUUUGAGAAACCGCAUCAACGAGAAGUGAAACCUCCUCCAUCUGUCAUUCAAAAUCAAUAUUCCACUUUUAAUCAUAAAGUAUACGAAUAAAAAUGAAUGAAAUUAUGAUUAUCUCAAUAUUAACCUUAACUACCAAAUUCUUUAAUUAAAUGAUCACCAGUGGAGCAGCUUUCUGGAUGACAUUUAUUGCUUUAAGCAACACUGAUCUUUCUGCUUCUACCAACUUUUUUUUCUCUAUCCUCCAAUUUAAGAAAACCAGCAACACUUGUACUGUUGAUGGGACCACCAUGGGCAUCCAAAUAUGUGAGCUUACUUAAGCCUUCAACUUCAUCUUGUGUUUCACUAUUCAGCAUGUACACAAUGUCAAACAAUUUGCUCAAAGCCUCAUCAUCAAGCAGCCGGAAAUAUUUCAAAGACGUAACUAAUCCACUAGCGCCAGAUGUCAAUAAUGCUGGCCCCUCCUUAUAUAAGGCGUUAUAAGAAGUGAACAUGACAAAUAUUGGUAUCUUUAAAGUUUUAAACAGACUGUUGAGUGCCAGAAGUGAUAGUGUUUGGUUUCUGGGUUAGUUUCAAUGGAAGUUCAAAGAUCAGUGAAAUACACCGAAGAAGAAGGAGAGAAAAUGUAUCCAAAGGAUUGUGUCGAUUCUAUUCACUCUGCAUACUUCAUGAAAACCUUUUCACAGCCUAUAUGACAGUUAGAGGAGUGAAAACAAUUUCACUCACUCUAUUACAAAGCAAUCACAACCAUUCAUUCUUAAGUCAUCGUGUAAGAUGCUUACACUUGUCAUGAGAUAUGACUUAUUACAAACUAAUCUAAAUGCCAUAUGGAAUAUGAUCCAAAGGCUCACAUUUGAACACAACUUGCUUAAAACAAAACUAUCACAGCAAAUACAUUUACACAUCAAUAAGAAGAACAUUUUCCUGUCCGGCAAUAUCGUAUAUAAGAAAGUCAGCUCCUUCAGAGUUGGAUGCAUUUAUGGCACCAUCUAUAUCUUGCACAUAUCUUGCUACCAAAGGAAGGACAACCGAAUCGGAUUUAGAAGCCAUCAUUGUGCUUCUUGCUACAAUGGUAGGAAGACCCAUGUGAGAAGAAACAAACCCAUCAUUCACCUCCGUUACCAAAAAACACAUCACUGACCAAGUCCACGGAUUUUCGAUACCAAAUGUACCGAAAUUCAGUAAAGAAAUGAGAUUUAAACAGAUUAUUCUUGUUUUGAUAUCAAUCCACUUAGGUUGUAUAAUUCAUUAAGAUUAAAACUUGCUGAACUUCAAUAAAAUACAAUGAGUCAACAUCAAUCAUCUUCUAAUAUCAGAGACGACACAAGCAAAGAAGUUUUAUAUACUAUCAUGUGUCUGUGUCUAUAUACACACACACAUGUAUCAGAAUACUGAUUACCCAAGUAGUAAAAUGACCUGAAAAUGAAGACUGACCUUGAUCGGAGAGCAAAACUCCACUGGCAUUAGCUGCGGCGGCGAUAUCGACCCUCUCGGAGAUCAACAAGUAGGCGCGGUCUCUAAUCACCGACUUCAGCUUACAGGCGGCUUCAUAGAGCCUGCCGCCGCUUGAAUCACGACCAUUAAGCAUCAGAACCCCGACACCGCCUUGUCUACCAAAUCCAAAGCAUCCUCGCCGGCAAGGACUUCAUCGGGGUCCAAUUGGAGCACGACAUUGGGGACCCUGACCUCCGGGCGCUUGAACCCACCUGGGAACUGGGUUCUCGGCGGGUGAGCUUGCGGGGGUUGGGGGUUUUGGCUGGUGAAUCGAUGAGAGUUCUGGGAGAUAGAUGAAAUGAUAAAUUGGGUUCGUCGGGGAGGAUGGGCCUUGGUGCGGGAGAGGUGGGGUUGGAGAGAUGGGGAGGCGGUUGGGGUAUAUAGGAGGGGUUGGGUUGUGGAUGUGUGGAGGGAAACGAGGGGUACCAUGGGAAGAACUUGGAGUUAACUUCAGACACAGAGAAACAGAGAGUAAAGGAAGAAGGAAGAAGACGAUGGGCUUAUCUUCUUAUCGUUUGAAGUGGUUCGUAAUUGCAGCUAAAAUAAAAAACAAUGUGAUUCUUAUGGUGGACAUUGUCGGUGAUGGGCCACUUGUGGAGAAAGUUGGUUUGAAUUUUUGCCAAAAAAAAAAAAGUUGGUUUGAACUUUGAAUACUAGUUACACUUAUAUUCCCUCAUAAGUAACACCAUGCGUGGAUGUAUAUUUAUAUAUCUCUCUCGUAAUGUCUCAAUGUAAUUAAAUGUAUUAACAAUGUGUACGUUCUUUCCUGUCCUCUCGUACUAAGAAAUGAUCUUUGCAAUGCUCUAACAUUCAUGUUGACAAUGGAUCGAACUCUAUCAUGAUAUUUUGAACUCAACUCACCUACCGUUUUAAUUGAUGAGCAAUCCAACCCUUGAAACGUGCAACUCCAGAUGGUGAAUAGCUAACAUUGACGUGCCAAAAAGAAUGUAAGCAAGCGCACUCUUAGUGCAUAAUAAAAUAGUUGGAGUCCUAAUAAUAGCACCCUAUAGAUAUAUAAUAUAUAUAUAUAUAUAUAUAUAUAUAUAUAUAUAUAUAUAUAUAUGUGUGUGUGUGGGUAUCAUAUGGUGAUGUACAUGUAAGAAUGUAAAUAGUAUAACCUUUGUGACAAUGAGUGGGAGGGGGGGUAACUGCUAUGGCUGGUAAUAGGAAAUGGUUUUUGCGGAGUACAUUGGAGUUUCGAACAAUAACCUCUAUAUUGAUUCUUGAUGCUGAUGAAUCAUAUGAUGGUAGUCAGAGGGUAGCUGAAAUUAGGGGUGGGUUCGGUACGGUUACCGUACCAAACCCCUUGUACCAAUUACCAUACCAAACUUUCGGUUUGGUAAAAUCUAUUGCCGUUACCGUACCAAACUUUCAGUAUACCGAAAUUCGGUAUUGCCAAAAGUUCGGUUGGUAUGGUAUGGCAAUGGUAAUUGCCAUUUUGUUUUGGGACAAAAUCUGUUUUUGUUUUUUAACCCAAUUCAAGGGAAAAACUCUUUUUUGUACCUUUAUCUUAUACAUUAUAGAUUAAAUUAAUCUAUUAUUCAUCAUUCACAAUUCACACACAUAAUAAUUCAAAAGAUGCAUCAAGAUUCAUCAUGAAAAUUAAGCUUACAAUCCAAAUAGAAGUUACGAAUCAAAACAAAUAGAAGUUAACAAUCCAAAUAGAAAUUAAAGUUUCAAACCAAAUGAAAGUUGGAAGUAAACUUCAAAAAGGAGAAUUCAUUGAUCAGUUAUUCAAACUUAAGAUGUCGAAGUUUUUGGAGGAGACAUUGAACUUGUAGAAGAUUGAGUUUGUGUCAACCCUACAUUACAAACAAAGAAAACAUAUUAAUUAGUAGUAAGAAGAAUUAAAGUUGAAAACCAUUUAAUAACAAAUUUACUAGAAAAAUUAAAGCAUAUCUUUCUUGUUUUCUCUUCUUCCAUUUCCUUGUAAAAUUGAAGCAUAUCUUCCGUUGGUUCCUUGUAGAAGUUUACUUCAUCUGCCCUAAGCCAACCACUAGUACGCACUAAUGCCUCCAUUAUUUUAGGAUAAAAUGAUACCCUAAAGGGUCCACAACCCUCCUCCCUAGGCUAAAUGCAUUUUCACUAGCAAAAGUAGAAGUGGCGGUUACAAAGAUAUUUUAGCUAUUUGUGAAAGAAUUAGGAACUCUUUUGUGUUUGAUUUCCACAAUUUCAAGAGAUCAAAGUCACCAACAACAAUGCUAAUAUAAGUAGGGUUUUAUUUUCAAAUUAUUGGAAUAUUAUAAAUAUGUGUUAUAUAAGUAUCUAUUAUAUAAUUUAUAAAUUAUAUAUUAUAUUGUAUUUUCGGUAUGGUAUGGUAAUACCGUGGUAAUGGUAUCCAUUACCAAUACCGUACCAUGAAAUUUCGGUACGGUACAAUACCAUACCAUUACCGAUUGGUACGAAAAAUUUGGCACAAAAUCGGUAUGGCACGGUUGGCAAUUUGGUUGGCACGGCAAUUUGGCAAAAAAUCCACCCCUAGCUGAAAUGUCUUUGUGAGUCUUUUCGGCCCCUAGAAGGGUGGACUGUCGUGACGAAGCCAUCAAUUUGUCCCUACUAUAAUCUCUCUCUCUCUCUCUCUCUCUCUCUCUCUCUCUCUCUCUCUCUCUCUCUCUCUCUCUCUCUCUCUCUCUCUCUCUCUCUCUCUCUCUCUCUCUCUCUCUCUCUCUCUCUCUCUAUAUAUAUAUAUAUAUAUAUGGUUGGCAUGAACGUCGAUUGUAUGAUGUAUGUUGUCGCUCUUCUUCAAAUUAGGUUUUAAAAGAGAAUUACGCUAAUUUGUAGUCGAGAAAUCUCCAAAUUAUAAUCUUGAAACUAUAAUUUUGGCUUGACUAUAUUUAUACUCUUUGGAUUUGGGGUGAUUUUAAAAAUUGGCUAUGAAUUUUUAAUUUUUUUAUAUUGCACUCUAAGGUUGAAGUUGUAUAAGUUUGUGCGUUUGGUCGGAUUAAUUGUUUGAUUAUUUAUUAAAUUGAGGACGUGGUGAGCUUGAGACUCUUAUAUGACUAACGUGUAAGUCAUAUUUAGACCACAUUAGAAAAGAACCCGUGAGUUUAAUGGAUGAUUAGACGUUCAAAUAGACAAAAGAUAUUAAAUGAUACGGUUUUUAAAACCUCAUGGUUCAAAUAGACCAAAGGGAAGUGAUUUCCGCAAACACCAUUUGUUCCGUCUACGUUUUUGUUUAUUUAUAUCUUUUAAACUAAUUUUUUUAUCUAAACUAAAAAAAAAAAACAAGAAGAAGAAGAAUGCUUGCAAAAGGAGUAAACGAGUGUGCAAAACUUAUUUAUGAAGAAAAAUAUACUCCCGAAAAUACUAUUAAACUAACUAGCACUAUAUUUGUAACUAAUAGUCUCAUUAUAUAUCGUCUCAGUAUGACAAACGUUAUGGCCUUUGUUCUGUCAUUAUACCGAUAAAAAAUAAUUUCAUAUACUUUUACUAGGGAUAUGCUAUUUGUACCAAAUAUCAUCCUUUGAACUUGAUCUUUAUUGUCCAAGUUCCCUACGGGGCAUAACUCAAAUUAAUACCACUAUUAUCUAAAUAAUCAUAUAUCAAAUCAUGACGGUAGAUUAUUUCGUACACGAAUAACAAAAAAACAUACUCAUUUCAAAUAAAUAAACAUGCUCCUAAAUUAGUUAUCGAUUCCUCAUUUAUUUCUUCCUAUUUUCCUUGAAAUUUCAAUAUUUCAGAUUGGAUUUUCCAAGAAAUUGACUCUUGUUUUCUCCUUGACAAAACUCUAAAUUAUAUAAAACUCUAGUAAACAAGAGAUUAAAAAAAAAUACGAGAGGAAUUGACUCUACUAACCAUUCUGAGAGAAUUAAAAAAAACAAAAAAAAAAGCCCAACCCGAACUGGACGGUGAAACCCAACUCAAACUGAACGGUGAAGCCAAAACCUAUAAAUAUAAGGGAACCCAGAACCUCCGCCUCCAAGUCAAACAAUCAAUUUGAUAACAAAGAGCGCGAUCGAUCUGCAAUCUCAGAGAGAGAGAGAGAGAGAGAGAGAGAGAGAGUAUGGCGUCGGUGACACGUCCCGAUCCCAAUAUUUCCUGAAUACCAGGAUAGGCAUGUGCUGGCUGACACCCUAAGGUGACGAAAGCCAUUUCUUGAGUGCAAAUGCUGAAAAUUAAGGGAUAUAUAAGACUUAAAAAUAUAAAAGAAUAAUGAAUAUGCAUUUAAGGAACAUGUUCAGAGCAUAUAACUAACUAGAACACUAAAAGAAAUAGUAUAAAGUUGAAUGAAACAAAGGAUGGAUCCUACACCGAGAGGACUCGAAGAUACCGAUGCGGAAGUGCCUGGAUGCCAGGAUUGUAUGCCUUGAUUCUAUGUCCUGAAGAGGGCGCAAAACAAACAUGAGUGGACCAAGUUGAUAUAUAUAUAUAUAUAUAUAUAUAUAUAAUAAAACAGUUAUCAACGUAUUAACCCCCAAAUUUUAUGAAAGCACAUAUAUAAGGAUAAACAUAGGUUUUCCGAAACCUAGCAUGUCGUGCAAUGUCUCAAAUCAUAACUUGUAUAUAUAAUAAUCACUAGUGAGUUGUCUGAUAACCCCCAGGCCCCAUGCCGGCUCCCCGUCUCUGAGCAGACAAUCAGAGGAAAAUACAAUUCAGGCCCCAUGCCGGCUCCCCGUCCUUGUGCUAAAUGGCCCGAGGAAACACAUUCCAAGCCCUAUGCCAACACCAAACCGUCGCCCGGAACGAACCGGAAUCUAUCCCUAUGUCCCGUAGUGGAAAUGACCACUAGGUAAGUACAAAACCAUUGAACAUAUAUAUAUAUUGAAAAACAACUUCAUAGUAUAAAGUCAUCCAUCAUCUAUACUAUAAAGAAGUGUUCUAAACAUGUUCUAAAUAUCAUAUCGUCAUCCAUCGGAUAUUCUAUAAGAACACGGUUUAUAGGAAAAAUAGUAAUAAUUCAAACUAGCCUCAGUAAGCAUGUUAUCUCAAAGCGUUUCAUAGAACAUAAUCAUCAAAUCAUGCUUUUCAUGUAUGCAUUUCUACUAUCAAAACAUGUAUUUUUAGAAGGGGUCCACUCACAGUACUUCGCCGUCGAAAAGUUACGCAGCUAGCGAAAACAGAAACGCCACUAUAAUUGCCCCUAAGCACAUAAAGAGUCCAAUAAAUAAAACUAUAUAAUAGCAAUUGAAUUUGGGAAAACGAACGUUGGAAAUGGAUUCAAAACGUCGAAUUACCCUAAGAAGGGUCCCGGAUAAAUUUCGUAAAAGCCAAUAGAAUAUUCCUAGAAUAUUCCCUUACAGAAUAUUCCACAUAAAAGGUUUGAGCCGGCUAGGGUAUAGGGUUUUGGUCUCAAAGGGCUUUGGGGUUUAAUAAUUAAAAAGGGUAUGGGUUUAAAAGGUUUAAAGGGUUUAGUGGUUAACGGGCUAAGGGUCCUAACAGAAAUGGCCCAAGGCUUUUGGGUUUUAAAACAAAAACAAAAUAAAUAAAACUAAAAAAGGUUUGAAAGGUAUUGGGCUUGAAAGCCCAAACCCAAUUGUUUUGGGUUUGAAAUAAAAUAAAUAGAAACAAAAUAAAAUAAAAGAGGUUGGGUUGGGUUUAAGCAUGGCCCAAAGGGCCUGGUUCGAAUGGGUUUAGGCCCGAAGGCCUUGGUUUCUUGGUCUCACCGGAGAAAAAGGCCGGAAUUCGGCCGGAAACUUCCCUAACUUUAAACAUUCAUAACUUUGUCAAUAUUCAACGAAAUUAAGUGAUUCAAAAAUGGAAAUCGUAGCCCUCGAAGAGACGAAGAGAAUGGUACCUUGUAAGACAUCUAACUUGCCGUGGUUUGGCCGUAAAACACCUCGAAAGCCAUCAGACUCGCCGAAAAAUGGGUAAGAUUCAAAUGGAUAUAACUUCUUCAAUACUCAACGAAAUUGGGUGAAAAAAAAAGGAAAAUUGUAGUACUCAGCGAGAUGAAGAGAUUGAUACCUUGCACGCUAGCCAACUCGCCAUGGUUUGGCCGAAAAUUGCCUCGAAAGUCUCCGGAGUCGUCGAGGGAGACUUGGGUGUUCUCUGGGUGUCCCGGAGCUUCGCCGAGAUAAGGGAGAGAGAGAAGAAAGUUCCAUAGGUGAUGGUGGUGUCAUGGCUGGGUGGUUGUGGUGGUGGGUGUGUGUGUGUGUGGGUUUGACGAUGAGGAUGGAAGAGUGAGGUCGAGAGAGAGGGAGAGUGAGAGAAUAUGAAGGUUGAGAGAGAUGGAAGAGUGACGGGAAUGGGGGACACAAAAACAGAAGGUGGGCCCUUUGGGCACAUCAAUUAAGAAUUAAAAACUAUUUUUAAAUAAAAUGGGGGUGGGGUGUUACAGUCAGGGUCAGGGUCAAGGUUAAGGGCAGACGCCGAACCUUACAUGUCGGAGUCGAUGCCAGUGUGGUUGUCCGAACGUUUAGAGGAUCCUCCUACAGUUCCCAACUAUUUGAACGGUCACGUAAGUCACGUCAACAUUGUGUAUUGAUUUUUUCAAAGAGAGAAGAAAAAAAGUGAUGGAGGAGGAGACGAGACUUCAAAACGAAAACAAAAGGAAUUUCCCCGAAUUACAGGCUUGGUCUCAAUCAAAUUACUAUUUAUAUUUGAUAGAUCAAUUUAAAGGCCCAUAUCAAAUUUAUUCAGAGGACUAAACCCAAUGUUGAAGCCCGACUCAACCAUCCAAAAGCUCGACACAACUCAGGGGAACAGUGUUUUGCUAGCUUGCCCUAAAACGAGAGUAUAUAUUCAGAUUUAUAACCCAAAGAAGGGCUUUUAAGCUUCUCUUUCGCCUCUUUGGAAGCCAUUCAUUAUUCCUUGUCUGCAAUUCCAUUUCCUGAGCAGGAAUAAAAAAGAAAAACUUUUCUCCAUCUUAUUCGUUAUGUCGACUUCGUGCACCGACUCCUCAACCAAUUCAGAUGAUGAAGACAGGAGCACAAUGACUUGUCUCACAAAAAUAUAGGAUUUGGUGGCAUCGGUAAUUAAACAGGUGAAAUUCACUUUUCAAUCAUAAAUUUACGUUUCUCUAUAUUUUUCUAAAAUAUAAGAUUUGGGAAACUAUAUAUGUUUGGGCGUCAAUUCUAAACUAACUUGUGUCGUGACCAAACGUACCACUAGAUCCAAGUUCUUUCGAUUAGUCGGAAUGUGUACCUCAUGGCUGGUCUAAGGUCGGGCUGGGAAGAAAUGUUCCGAGGGCUAAAAGUGAUGGUAAGUAAAAAGUCUAAACUUAUAUCUUAUUACCUCAAAAAUAUAUACACUGAUUUUUGACUUUCACACUGACAAUUUUCAGAUUUGCCUGAGGAGGCUCUAGCUCGUCUAGCGUACCAAUUUCCUAGUGUUGGUGGCUCGAUGUCUAGCCUCGUAGUGGAUUGGGACACUACUAGUCCCAACCAACCCUCAGAUGUUUAGGCACGGGUCAAAAAUAGUAAGCAUCAAUAACUUCAGUUGAGAGAAGAAUAUAUUGCUUUUGUUUUUUUCUUGUAAAUAUAUGAUAAUACUUAUGUUAUGGGUCAUUAUUUAUGCAGCAUAAACCUUGGUUGCUUGACUGAUUACGAUCACAUGGAAGUGGGACAUGAAACACAUGCGUUUUAGGACACCAUGAUGUUACUUAUUCAAGCAUGUCUUUUGGAUCGCUAUUGUGGGGGUCUUGUUCGAGGUAACAAUCGUUAUUUAAACAUUUUUAAUUAGUAUUUUACCGAAAAAUUUGUCAAUAAAAUUGUAUAUUUAACUUACUAUUUUUAAUUAUAGGACGGAUCCUGCACAGAGAUAACUGACCAUUUCCCUGCUAUGUGAACUUCAUCAAAUAGGUCAUGCCAAACAUUCUCCUGCAUGCACUGAAUGUUUCUCUUGAGGAUUCUGAGCAAGUGUUUUAGUAGAUCUUUUAACCUAUUAGUUUGGAAGUAUACAUCAUAUGUUUCCUUGCUUGAAUGUUGAAUCCUAACUUUCGUGCUCUUUAAUGAAGAAUUUAAGUUCAUCUAUAUUCUCUAAUCUGAUAUGUUUCCUUGCUGAGAGCUAAUGUUGGGAACUCUUUUUUGAAACUUAUAUGGGAAAAAGGUUGGAUUAUAAGAUACUUUCUGUGGAUGCAAAUUUCUUCCUCCUUGAUCUUGGACAAAAUUGCACCUAUAAAACAAUUAACACCUUAGGGUCAAGGCCAAGAGCCUCACGCGCCCACGAUGAAUGGAGGGGCUUUGGCCGAAGAAUCUCUGAAAGUUAAAAUUUAGAGAGAAAAGUGUUUGGAGAGUAUUGGGAAUUUUGCAAGUGUGUUGGAAUGAUCUUUUGGUGAAAAUGGGACCCUAUUUAUAGGGAUAGGGUGUAACUUAUGGUUUAAUGUGUGAUUUAAUGGAUUAAUUAGGUAAUUAAUCCAUUAAUUGGUUAAUCAACACAUUUUUUGAAUAAAUAUUUUGGGGGUUAUUUAAUUUAUAUGGGAUGUUUUGAAGGUUAUGAAAUAAUUACCUUGUGGAAAAUAUAGGAUGAGGAUGGAUGAAAUAACUUUGAAUUUGUUAUCUAUUUUGGGCACUUUUGAUUUGGUUGAAGGAUGAUUGCCCGCUGCUCGUGAGUAGGAAUCUCGUUGUACCUCAAGGGUAUUUUUGUCAUCUUUUGUCCAAAAAUCCACGUGUUGCCUUGUGAUUAUUUUUGGCUCCACAAAUGCCCCCACACCUGUUGGGCUGCUCGUAGGAAAUGGCAGCAGGUGUAGAGAUCUUGCUUUAGGAAACGUAGGACUGCUUCCUAUUUUGAUGUAGAUUCUAUCUUUAAUAGGAAAUUAGGUCCUUCUAGGAAAGGGAAAUAAAUUUCUCUCAAAGCCUAUUUAAGUCCACCUUAAGUGGGUUAUUAAAUCAACUUUGGAGAGUCUACCCUACAAGAGAGUGAGCUUAGAGGAUAUUUGUUCCCCUUCAGCAAUCUUCUACAUCUUGCCCGUGCAAAUGACCGUCUUUCGUUGAUUUCUUCGUCUUCUCCGUGCCGCACCGAUGUAAGAAAAAUUUAAUUUUUUCUUGUCUUCUUCUUGGAUAGUGCUAUUGCGGGGUAGCCGUUGGAGUGGUGUAGCACGUCGGCUGGCAGGGGCCAGGAGUCGGCUCGGCAUGGGUCGAUGAGGCGUCGUGGCAGGGGCCACUGCUUGGGCUAUUUGUCUUGGCUAGAGCCAAGGGCAACUUGUGCGGCCGGGGUCGUGGAUUGUGGCGCUGGGGCACUAUGCUAGGCGAGCCGUAUGGCUCAUGUCCUUUGGGCUCUUGAACCUGACUCGGGCCAGGCUAGCGACUGAGAGAAAUGAAGAGGUCGUGGGAGCUCAUGAGUUGAUGCAAUGCUGAAACACAUGCCCAUCCGUUUCGGGAUGCCCCGAACACGCCCAACAUUCCAUAUCAAGAUGCACCCCCUUCCUUACAAGAUUAACUUUAGUAGGAAUAAUGUUCUGACUAAUUUUCCAAGUAAAAUUUUUUACCUUGGGGGGAAUUUUAGCCCUCCAAAUGGCCUUCCAGAGAGGUGAAAAAGCAUUACUCCCUUCGGACGAAGACGCGCCUGCCGAGGUGGAUUGUACCAACGCCCUAGCCACCCGAUGGCCACUACUCACCGUAAAAGCACCCCGAAGGUUGUAGAGCCAUACUAACCGAUUCGGCGGUAAGCGGAAGCUGAUCGGCAUCGUCCUAAUCAAGCCAACCUCCUCCGACGACGAAAACAACUCCUGUAACACCUCCAAUUUCCACGAGCGAGACUCUGUAUCAAUAAGUGCAGUCGUGUGUCCUGACAAUUGAGAAUGUUAGUGAAAAUAAUAAUCGGGUGUGAAACACCACUUUCUCCCUUUUGGUCAUGUGGUUGAGGGUGUGCGGUCGAUGCCAGGACAUAACAUUGCAGAUGAUUUUACGGUUUAACCAUAUUGGUCAAGCUAAUGGUGAUGCACACCGUCUUGCUCGAUUUGCUUUACAUAGAGGUGUAGCUUGCACUUGUUUUCUAUACGUAUGAAUUGGGGAACUUAAAGGAAGGUAAGGAAUACUUGGAGUUGACGGAAGACUUGACGCAACAUUAAGCACAGUAGCCUUCUAGGAUUCACAUUUAGUGGGAUAAUGCUUGGUUGUUAUACUUUUUUUUUUCUUGGUUAAGUUGAAAGCCUCGACAAAAUUUUAUAACGCUAUAUUCUGCAUUCUAUCCUCUUGUACAAUAACUGUUAUCAAUGAAUAUCGUACUAUUCUCGGGGCACACUUAAUGGCAUGGAUCAGUACUUAGAAUUUUAAUAAAGAGUUGAGUAAUAUUAACCACCAAUUAAAGAGGAAAUGUUCACUCUCCUCCAUUAGCACCAACUUGACAAAAGUCAGCGCGAAUCAGUUCUGGGCGAUUAUAAAUUUACUGUAAAACGUGAGAGCACAGGUUUUUCAGUUCUUCCUUUAGCUCACUAUUUACCCCAUGUUACCGGAGCUUGAAAUUUGCUAAGCAUGUCAAACAAAUUUCAAGGGCGAGUCUUGGUGCAACAUAAAAGAUUACUCCUUUGUGACCAAAAAGUGACGGGUUCGAGUCGUAAAAAUAACCUAUUUGCAAAGCAAGGGUAAGGUUGCGUGUGAUGAACGCUCACCCUGACACUCGCCAAGCAAGGAACCUUGUCGGCUUGGAGUCGGCUUUCUGUCAAAGAAAAUUUACAUCCUUUCACUUCAAACUUUCAUGUAAUAUUUCUUAUUGAUAACUAACAAUAUAUUCCACUGAAAUACCCCAAAUCAGGGGAUGAAAUUUUAACACAUGAAAAAAGAUCAAACGUAAACCGUACAACGAUCUUACAACAAGAAGCCCUACGGAUUGCAUGUAUUCAUUACAAGGUGAAACUGCCUAGGACGGCUAAACUCCACCGGAGAUCACGAUACGUGAAAAUUUUGGAUUUCGAUUCGUAGUGUUUGAAGUUGUUUAUCAACAUUGGAUAUUUCAUCUUGAAGCUCUAGGAGUUUGUCUAGUCUCUGCUGCGCCGUAUCUUGGUAAGGCUGGCUAACGUUCUUCACGAAGAUUUCCAUAUUUCCAAUAGCUUCGGAAAGAUCAUUCUGCAUCGCCUCUUCAACUUCACGUGCCAAGGCGUCUGCAGUCCUUUUCACCUUCUCUAUCAUCUCUUGCCGACGAGCUGGAAAUUUUGAUAUUGCUAAUAACCUAUAUCAAAGAAGAAGCAAAUAAUACACAUGAAUUAUACGUCGCAGAGGAAAGGAGUUCUGCCAUGUUUGAGCAAAACCUUGACAUUCAAGGCUCAAGCUUCAAGAAUUGAAAGAUAUCUGCAAGUAAAUGACGGCAGACACGAAUAGUCAAAUUCCAGAAUACACGUUACCCGCCAGCUGAGGCAAGACCAAGAGCAAGAAGAUCUUCUAAUGUGGUCGGCAGCACAGAUGUCAGAAGUGAAGCAGAUAAACCUGCCGCUCCAAGUCCACCAAAAGUUGCCAGAGACUGCAGUUGAAGCAAAAAAUGUCCAAAACAGAUUGACUUAAUCAUAACUAGUUCUUCAUCAAGAACAUCAACUUUUAGUUCAUAUUCUAUACUGAGCUUACCACUUCACGUAUUUCUUGCUCAAACAAUUUGGAAGCAGCACUGGUACUGAAGCCCUCUUUCACUUUCAAGCUGAGUUCGUUUACUUUCUUCAGCGAAUUCUCCGAAUGCACCCCACUGUACGGAUAGACAAAUGAAGGCCAACGUUUUUCAAACAUUUCUGCAUACAUCCUUCCUUCACGAGCACUAUCUGAUUGCAACCAUGUCACAUAUUCUCCAAGUUGUUUCUUUAUGACAAGAUGUUGACAUUAAACAAAAAAAAAGAAGAAGAAUUAAAACCCACAAAACCAAUAGAUAAAGGAAGAAAAACAAUUAGAGAAUAUAAUUCUUUUAAUUCCUAUGCUGAACAGGAGAUGAAAUUCUGUCUUAUGAACUCAUACAGGCAUAAUCCUUGCAUAAUUCAAAUUAGACUGCAGGGCUAGACAAAGGAAUAGGGGAAAAAGCUAUUAACUUACUUGCGCAUCUGAAAAUGCAGUACCCAUUAUGUCAUUUUGAACCCUCAAGGUGGUAGCAAUCGUGGAGGAUUUUUCCCCUUUGAAAACAUAGUUAGCAACAGAUCAAGAUUUGAUAAUUGCUAAUAUCAAUCUGCAAUUUCAUGUGCAUGCACAAUGCGUUAACUCAUGUUUGAAAAUAUACAACCAAUUUGCCACUGGAUCAAAUUGUGCAAAACAUACCACAGAUAAAAUUCUUCUUCUCCAAGCUAUGCUUUCAUUUUUCCAUCUUAACUGCAUAGUUCUUAACACUGCCAACUAUAUCAUUUAUUGAGGCCAAGUCCUGCUUGGCAUAUCGGCAGUCCUGUGGGACAAGAGUUUCACAAGCAGAAAGUAGCUUUUCUGCAAUUGCUACCGGUGUUUCCAGUUUAAUUUUCAUUCUUUCCAUUCCUAUGCUUGUUGACCCGUCUAAGAAACUAUACAAGAAAUUCUCAAGUUCAGAGAAAUUACUACUUUUCCACUGAGCAUCAGAUGUUGAUAGUUCUGCAUAAUUUUUCCCAAACAUAGAAGCUGAAAGUUUUGCUUCAAGAGCAGAGCGCACAGACACAGGAAAUAAAGUCACAUGUUCAGUAUUCAAAAGUUUUUGUGCAUUCUUCUCGAUGAAUGACAUAGCUUCCUCAAGCUGCAGAAAUAAUGAAAUUAGAUAAAGCAACAUGAAGACAAUUGAGAAGCUCAAACUGAUAUAGAAGCAUCAUAUUAACAGGUUUUUUUUCUGCAAUAGGAUUACUAAAGGUAAUAUCAACAUUCAAUAUGCAUGAAAUGCUAGAACCUCAUGGGCAUUGCGGUAGAUAUCAGAUUUAUUCAAGACAAACACAACUUUCUUCUUCCACUGCUGAGUAUAACGAAGAAACGCAACCUGGAGAAAACACCAGUGACAAAAUUGAAUUCAGCUUUAGUGAAAAUAAUGAAUAGGUAAAACUAUUGCACCAGUCUAACAUAUAUAAUUAACCAAAGUCAGAAUCAGUUAAAAGACUUUGAGACCCGCAACAAUGUUUUUCUAGCCAUAUAGCUCAGCUACUUGCAGCUUUGGACUAUUAUCUACCAACGGAGAAUCCUUCGAUAAACCUUGUUAUCAAUCACAUUCGAAUAGAGGGGAAUGAUCUUUCCGAGAUGUAUAUUUUAACUAGCAUCCAGUUAUUCUGUAUAAAUUAUUAUUAUUAUUAUUAUUUUUUGUAAGAAAGAAGCCUGGAAAAAAGAAUGAGAUGCAACCAUAUAAGCCUGUGAAAUCUUUGUUUGUCAAUUUGUAGUCUAUGGAUGCAUUGAGCAGCAUGUCAUGCAAUUUGACGAACAAAACGAACAAAACAAAUCAUACCUCACUUUCAGUUAACGGGCGAUCAGCAGAGAUGACAAAAAGAAGCAAAUCGGCACGGGGCACAAAUUCCUCAGUAAGGCGUUGUUGCCUUUGGAGAAUCACAUUAGUUCCAGGUGUAUCAACAACGUUCAUCUGCGUCCAAUUUAAAAUAAAAUAAGUACGUACUACAAAAUGUAUUUUUAAUCAUAAAGUAGCAUUAAUCUAAUCCUGGGAAGAUGAUAGACUAGAUGUGCAGUAGAUUUUUUGUUCUGCCUGCAACACACAACUUUUUAUCUUGUGCAUCCAACCAUCAUGAUACGUAUGAUAUUCAAGUAAACGAAGGCAGACUAACCAUAUAAAAAACCUAUUAAUAAGGGAUUGUACCAUUUGAACUGAAUAUAAGAGUUUGAAAUCUACUCACUUCUUUAAGAAUUGGAGCAGGAAGGUGGCAUAUAUAUUGACCAUCUGGAUGCCUUUCACAACGCUGUUCCUCACCAGCAUCCAUCUCAGUGUACCGUGAGAUGUUUAUUCCCGAGAAGGGCAUUGAUAACAGUUGACUUGCCUGAGUUAAAUUCACCCUGUUGACAUAAAGAGAGAAAGUGUCAUAGGAGAACCACCAUAAACAUUCUGACAGAGUUCAUGAAUAAAGCCAACUGUAGAAAAUGACACGAUACUCCCCUCAUGAUUCUUCUAGCUCAAACAUGACAAAUAACUAAAUUAAGGUGUACUUCUAAAACAGUCAGUUUGGAAGCAUUAAUCCAAACAAAGACCAAACAAGAACUAGUGCCCUUUGGCAAAUUGAAGGCAAGAUGACAAGAUGACCACUCAUGCGACCAAACGUAUUGUCCUAGGCGUAUACAAUAGCAGACGAGACGUAGUGUAGUUAAUUCCUAAAGGUUAGCUAAGGGUAUAUAGAUGAUAGAACCAAACUGUUUGUCGGGUCUGCAUUUGAAACCAAUAAUGGCUUACAAAUUUAAAUAUCACUGAACUUUUUUAUUAGCAAUUCUCACGAACUACUGCAUAACUGUUAUCAAAGGCCACCUCAAUUCUAAAUUCUAUAUACUAUGAAGAAAAGAAGGAUUUACAUGAAAUAUAGAGCUAAUGCCAAUGUAUAUUCCUGGAACCACAAUUUGUUGAAGUUCAGCACACAAUUACCACUAUAACCAGCAAAAAUGGCUCAUCAAUUUGAGAAACCGCAUCAACGAGAAGUGAAACCUCCUCCAUCUGUCAUUCAAAAUCAAUAUUCCACUUUUAAUCAUAAAGUAUACGAAUAAAAAUGAAUGAAAUUAUGAUUAUCUCAAUAUUAACUUUAACUACCAAAUUCUUUAAUUAAAUGAUCACCAGUGGAGCAGCUUUCUGGAUGACAUUUAUUGCUUUAAGCAACACUGAUAUUUCUGCUUCUAUGAACUUUUUUUCUCUAUUCUCCAAUUUAAGAAAACCAGCAACACUUGUACUGUCGAUGGGACCAUCAUGAGCAUCCACAUUUUCCUUCUUAUAUAAGGCGUUAUAAGAAGUGAACGUGACAAAUAUUGGUAGCUUUACAGUUUUAAACAGACUGUUGAGUGCCAGAAGAACAUUUUCCUGUCCGGCAAUAUCGUACAUAAGAAAGUCAGCUCCUUCAGAGUUGGAUGCAUUUAUGGCACCAUCUAUAUCUUGCACAUAUCUUGCCACCAAAGGAAGGACAACCGAAUCGGAUUUAGAAGCCAGCAUUGUGCUUCUUGCUACAAUGGCAGGAAGACCUAUGUAAGAAGAAACAAAACACAUCAUUCACGACGUUACCAAAAAACACAUCACUGACCGAGUCCACGGAUUUUCGAUACCAAAUGCACCGAACUUCUAUAAAGAAAUGAAAAAGCAUUACUCCCUUGGGACGAAGACGCGCCCGCCGAGGUGGAUUGUACCAACGCCCUAGCCACCCGAUAGCCACUACUCACAGUAUAAGCACCCCGAAGGUUGUAGUGCCAUACUAACCGAUCCGGCGGUAAGCGGAAGACAACUCCUGUAACACAUCCAAUUUCCACGAGCAAGACUCUGUAUCAAUAAGUGCAGUCGUGUGUCCUGACAAUUGAGCAUGUUAGUGAAAAUAAUAAUCGGGUGUGAAACACCACUUUCUCCCUUUUGGUCAUGUGGUUGAGGGUGUGCGGUCGAUGCCAGGACAUAACAUUGCAGAUGAUUUUACGGUUUAACCAUAUUGGUCAAGCUAAUGGUGAUGCACACCGUCUUGCUCGAUUUGCUUUACAUAUAGGUGUAGCUUGCUGCACUUGUUUUCUAUACGUACGAAUUGGGGAACUUAAAGGAAGGUAAGGAAUACUUGGAGUUAACGGAAGACUUGCCUUCUAGGAUUCACAUUUAGUGGGAUAAUGCUUGGUUGUUGUACUUUUUUUUCUUGGUUAAGUUGAAAGCCUCGACAAAAUUUUAUAACGCUAUGUUCUGCACUCUAUCCUCUUGUACAAUAACUGUUAUCAAUGAAUAUCGUACUAUUCUCGGGGCACACUUAAUGGCAUGGAUUAGUACUUAGAAUUUUAAUAAAGAGUUGAGUAAUAUUAACCACCAAUUAGAGAGGAAAUGUUCACUCUCCUUCAUUAGCACCAACUUGACAAAAGUCAGCACGAAUCAGUUUUGGGCGGUUAUAAAUUUACUGUAAAACGUGAGAGCACAGAUUUUUCAGUUCUUCCUUUAGCUCACUAUUUACCCGAUGUUACCGGAGCUUGAAAUUUGCUAAGCAUGUCAAGAGCAUAAUAACGUACAAGCAAAUAUUAAGUUCAGUAUGAAAACAACUACUAGUAGCUGGCUGUAAUUCAAAUAUGCGAAAUAUACACCUCAAACAGGGAGGAAGAGAUGAUGUUAGAAUAACAACAAAUCCUGGCAUGCUUAAAUAAUGUUACGAUCCAAAAUGCUACAAGGUUCUACUUUGCAUACAUCCAUGUGUAACAAACAUGUAUGGUUUUGUGUACCAUUAAGUUAAAGCCACCUCAAGCCGACGGACUUGACCUGCAUCACCGUCAUAAUCUUCCUCACUUUUAAAUAGUUCAUCACGAUCAGUAGCCUUUUUCUUUUGAUUGGCUUCAUCAGGAUCCAGAAGGGCAUUGAGAAUAUGAAUGAGACAGCACGAAUCAAGGGAGAGAUUGUUAUCAAUAGGCUGCAAACAGAAAAAGGAAACAAGUAUGAAAAGCAUACGGUAUGAACAGCAUACGGUACGGAUGAAGGACCAAAAAAUCAAAGUUAAAACCAAAUAGAGGUCUCCAACUCAGACAUGAAUGACAUUGACAACCGAUUUUGGUAACUGGAUCCAACAAAAAUCAAAUGAGGAAAAACAAGUUUUCAGUGACACAAGGUCGAUAAAGUGGAGUAAACGUAGCUCUCAAUAUUCAUACGAACGAUAUAUUCAAUCAGUGAUGGUACUUUUGUUUUGUCAUCCAUGAACUUAAGUAACAGGUCAUUCUUCAUCAUGGCAACAUUUCAUGACCCACAAUCACGUCCUCUGAAAACGUAAAUUUCAAGGAAAAAUAAGACCUCUAUUUUCUAUUUUAUUUUGGAGGAAGAAGUAACAUUCAAUCGAAAUAAGGGUUCACACAGACAUAAAGUAAAAGAAAUGUACCUGAUGAAAGGAUGAAACCAUCAGAGCUAACUACUUAACAAAGAAAAACUCUUACAUAUAUGUUCUGAAAGGUAACAAGCGUUCAAUAGAAGCUGGUAAAAGAGAGGAGUAUACAGUAGAACCAGUUCUUUUACCAGCCAAGCACAUCUCCUAAUGAAUGGAAAGUAACAAAAAAGGAAACAGAACACAUCCUAAUGAAUUCUCUCCCAUUAGGAUCAAAUAAAUGGAUUCUCUCCCAUUUUCCAUUUCCCUGCCCCCUUCAUUCUUUUCUAUGAAGUCGGAUGCUACAAAUGAGAAAGUAACGUUUGGUACCUUUCAGAAACAUAUAUGAAAGAGCUUUUCUUUGUUCGGCAUUACGUAUAUCCUCCCUAAGCCAGACACCACCAGCUUCUACCGGCUAAAAAUGUUAUCAUAUCAGAACCAAGACAUACUAAGGCUGCAGAAAAUCACAUUAAAAUAACACAGCACAAGGAAUAGAUGUUUAGUUCAACGAAAAGAAGGAAGGCCGAUGAACCAAUUACCAGGUCUAUAUGAUACUUCCACACAUACAAGCGGCAAAUCCAUGAUGCCCAUGGUAUAUGUAGAAUCACGCAUAUAAUAUAUUACCAUACCAGAUGAUGUUUGCAAAUAUAUUUUGCUGUGCUCCUGUUGUCAUUGACCAAGAGAAGAACAAGAAUCUGGAAAGAUAACCACAACUUAGCACAAACAAAAUCCGAAUUACGGGUUCUAAAACCUAAUUUAAGAUUAUGACUCUGGAAAAUGUUGCUAUCCAACUAUGUCUUUACAAAUAGGGAAGGCUGUGCAGCAGAACCGGGCUCUCCUUAUGUCGAGAGAAGACUGUCAAAGAGCCAUUCGCAACCAUCUGAACGAGCAACUGAAGAGAAUCAUCCUCAAUCAAACUUUGUGCUGCCAAAGUAUGGUUUGCCAGUGCUUUCAUAAUAUGCACAGCAAUCCCAUGUACCCGCAUAAUUAUAGGUUAGAAACAAAAAGAAGGUUAAAAACAUACCAUGAACCGAUAACCUAACAAAUACAAGAGCACAGUAACGUACAAGCAAAGAUUAAGUUCAGUAUGAAAAAAAUGCCACGCGCUACUACUGGCUGUAGUUCAAAUAUGUUAAAUAUACACCUCAAACAGGGAAAAAGACAGAUGUUAGAAUAACAACAAAUCCUGGCAUGUUCAAAAAAUGUCGCGCUUCAAAAUGCUACAAGGUUCUACUAAUACCAAACACAACGUAACAGCUAUUAAGCCUACUGUGUUUUCAAAAUCAGACUUUGCAUAUGUCAAUGUGUAACAAACAUGUGUAGUUUUAUGUACCAUUAAGUAAAAGCUACCUCAAGCCGAUGGACCUGACCUGCAUCACCGUCAUAAUCUUUCUCAGUUGGAAAUGGUUCAUCACGAUCAGUAGCCUUUUGCUUUUGAUUGGCUUCAUCAGGAUCCAGAUGAGCAUUGAGAAUAUGAAUGAGACAGCACAAUAUCCCCGAAUCAAGGAGAGAGUGUUUAUCAAUAUGCUGCAAACAGAAAAAGGAAACAAGCAUGGACAGCGUAGGGUACGAAUGAAGGACAAAAAAAUCACUCAAGUCCGUCACAACCAAAGAGGUAUCCUAAUCUGGUGAAAUUAAGAAAUUCUACCCCAGAAGCUAGAACUUGUAGAGCAGUUAACAAACUUGACAUGACAACAGAUUUUGGUAAUUGGAAGGAAAAACAAGUUUUCACUUUUCAGUGACGCAGGGACACUCAAGUGGAGUGAACGUAGCUCAGGAUUCAUACGCACGAUAUAUUCAAUAAGUGAUGGUACUUUUGUUUUGUCAUCCAUGAACUUACAUAGAAGUAACGGGUAAUUCUUCAUGAUGGCAAGAGUUAUAUCUCGUCUGUUGUGUUCAAAUACUUCCUGGAAAAUUCAGAAUCGCGUCCUCUUUUGUAUAUUUUCGUCCAAACCAACAUAAAUCAACACGCAGAGUUGUGGCAGGCAAAAAGACACUAUAAACAGGACAGUAAACUUGAAGGAAAGCAUGCUUUGACUAACAUGGACAAAUACCAAGCAAGACAAAGAUAACACAACAUUUUUGCUAUGAUUUACAAAGUAUGGCUUUCGAUUAUCAGUGGCGGGAAACAAUCCUCUCCCCUACAGGCUACAGCCUUUUUAACAGAUGCACAAGGAAUUGGUAUCGUACCAAGUUUGUUGCAUCCUCCUCUUCAUCAUCAGUAAGCUCAAUCAAUGGAUUCUCAUCAUCGAAAAGCAAAAGCAUAGUGCAAAAUACUAAACACCAGCUUAAGAGAAAAUAAACUAAAUAGAAAGCUGAUACUAACACUUGCAUUUUCCAAACACAGUAUCCCCGAAGCACUCUUAGAAGCAGAACAAGAGGAAAAUAAAUGAGGUUUGUCAGUCUAGCACUCAAGCAUAAAGGAAAUUACAAACCAACCAACUCAACUAUUUAAUAACUAGUGGAUAAUUUCUAAUGGCGUUUCCAAUAUGGUUAUUCGAUCGUAAUUAGUUCGGGAAUUGAAGUACCAAUCAAGGUGAGAUACCGGCGAGUUUCUGCGGCGGAAGGUCCAGCGCAGGUCGACCUCGUUUCUUCGAAGUCACCGAUCGGCAGGUCGACCUCGUUUCUCAUGGUCCUCAGUGCUCUGAGUCUGAGUGUGAGCCUUAGUCCUCUUCUGCUACUCAACAACGAACGAACGAACGAACCAAAUCAGGUCAAAUUGUACAGACAACUUCACAGAAUUGAGAGAGGUAGAGAGAGAGGGGAGAAAAUAAUGAAACGUACUCGACGGUGGUUUCGUGGCGGUGGCCGACGGUGGCUCCUCCAUGGCCGACGAGCACAAGUCAUAGCUCCAAGGACGACAUGUCAUUUUUCAGAGUUCACACUGAUUUGAAAAAAAUAAAUAAAAUAAAACAAAUUAAGCACAAGUCAUAGCCCCAAGGGUUUUGAGUUUUGAGUUUUAACUCAUAUUUGCCCCAAGGGUUGCCUGUGGAGUUGCCCUCAGUCCAUUUGCUCCAGCCCGUGGAGUUGCCUGGCACCCAGCCCAUGCCAGGCAAUAGCCCAGCACGUUUUGGACUGACCAAGAAGCUGGCCUGUUUCUCAGGCACGUGCAACACAAGCGCGCAAGGCGCGAGUGGGUUUCAGGCUUUCCUGAAAAUGUGUCAGCCCACUUGGCUCAGCGACGUGGUGUUAUGAUAGCCGUUGGAUUUCCAACGGCUAGUUUUUCUAGACCGUUGGAUUUCCAACGGUAAAAAAAAAUUAAAUUUUACUUUUAAACUGGACCGUCCGAUCAAAGAUCAACGGUCCAUAUUAAUUAACUUAAUUAAAAUUUAUUAAAAAAUACAGAAAAAUUAUUAAAAAAUACAGAAAAUUUAAAAAAAAAUUAUUUUUUUCUUUCUAUAGUUUAUCUGAUGAGUUUAUGUAAUUUUAUUUUAGUGUGUUUUUUUUAAAUUUAUUUGAUGAGUAUGUAAUUUUAUUUCAAUGUGUUUUUUUUUAAGUUUAUUUGAAAUUUUAUCCAAAAUUGGUUAAAAAUCAUAUCCGAAAUAAACUUAAAAAAAAAAAAACACACCAAAUAAAUGCGCUGGGUGCCAGCGCAUUUUUUUAGGGAUGGAGAUGCUUUGGUCUGUUACUGUUCACUGGGGUCUAUUAUUGUUUACUUGAGUGGAUAAAUGCGCUGGGUGCUGGCACAAAGUCCUUAGGGGUGGACUUGCUCUAAGGUCUGCAAAAUGCUGCCCGCACCUUAGAAAACGCGACCAAACAAUACUCUAAACCCAUAAGACCUACUCCAACCCUUGUAGUAAAACUUAAAUUUUAGGUUCUAAAUUUACCCCAAUUUAUUUCAACCCUUGGGGCAAAUAUGAGUUAAAACUCAAAACUCAUUUUUGAGCCAAAUUAGAUCGUAAGGGAUUGGCACAUUGAAGAAAGGUUGCCUUAUACCUGUACGGACAGGUUUGCGGUCCCAGAUAAAACUAAUAACCACCAGAGAAGUCCACAAGCUUUCCGUGGGGAUUACAGGUGGGUCCCAUCCUAAGGCCUUCAUGUUUCAGCGCGCCGCAUAGCAUUAGCAUAGGGGGCUGUAAUGAUCGCUCUGUCUCUGACCCUCUGUGCCAACCCACAAAAUCAAACAAUCAUUUUUUUUAAUUUUUUUUAAAGAUAUUGCUGAGGUUUCAUUUUCCAUGGUGACCAACUCUCUUUGCCAUUUCUAUGAAUGACUGUAUACUUGUGCCUUGUCAUUCAGAAUUACGAUCUUGUGAUAUAUUUUUUUUAUUUGUGAGUGAAAUGUUUUAGGUUCGAAUCUCGUGGAUGACGAAUUCAAUACCAAAUUAGGUUGCCUAUUGUGUGGCUUCCAAACUCCCCAUCCCCUUAGUGUAAAAUAUAUCGUUGUACUAAAAAAAAAAAAAAAAAAAAAAAAAGACUUGUGCCUUGUAUUUGGUUAAAGGUGUUGCUAUGGAGACUAAUUAUUUAGGCCAAAGUUUGUAAUAUAAUUUUUAUGCAUUUUUUCAUGUGUUUGCACGCGUUUAGUUAUUUUCUCCAUCGCCGUAACCUAGGAAUGUUUUUGGCUAGCCAACAAAUGUGUUCAAGAGUUAAAUGUAGAGUUGAUAUAACUCGACGAUCUGAUUGAUGUUUGGCAAUACACUUGUAUACACAUCUGUGACUUGACGAACAAGAAACGCAAACAAGGCGAUUAAUUUGGAUAUUGAUGGUUAAAAUGUUCAUAAGAGAAAAGAAAAAGGGCCAAUAUUAGUGAUUACAUCCAUUUCUCUUUGUUUGGGCCCAAAAAUAUUGUUUUGGGUCGAGUUUAGAAUUGUUCUCGGCCCAGUGUUGGUUGGGCCGAGUUAAGAAUCCUUCUCGGGUCAAAGGCCGUGUACAUGUGUCGUUGGGGAUUAUUCAGCUCAUGGGCUACGCAGUCGAAGUUGGCAAUAUCCCAUUGGGAAUUGGGGAUGUGGGUGAGUCCUGUUAUGAGAAGGAAUUUCGACAGGAUCAAGAUGCUGGAAUUGAAUACGGCCUGGUAACGAGUUAUGUUCAAAGUCCUAGUAGGAAUAGGAUUUGGCCGAGAUAAAGUUGGAUCAGGGAAAAGAGUUAUAAUCCGGGAGUGAUUGGGAUUCAAUACAGGUUGGCUGCUAUAAAUAGGGAGGGAAAACAUCGAAACAAGCUCUCUCUAAUUCAACACACAAAUUGCCCUGCGCAUACCCUCGCUCUACGCGAAACCUCUAAACAACCUUGAGAUUUUUGUUUUCCCUUUUCCGCCAACACAUCUUCAGUUAUGAUAAACAGCAUUGUGGAGGCAACCGGCAAACAUCUUCAGUUUGGAUGAACAGCACUGUUGCCGUAGAAUCAGCCAACCGUGGAGCACCUUCAGUUUGGAUAAACAGCACUGCGACAUGGCCGACUAGUUAUAUAUCCAAGUCUUGAUCGAGAAGGAUUUUCGAAUCCUUAUCGGCAGAGGUCAUCUCGGCGAAGCGAGGUGUUACAAGUUACUAUACUCGGUGCUUUGAACGCCGAGUCGUUUAGGAUUGGUUAUUCGCAAGUAGGUUUUAAAGUUUGGCAUUCUGACGGGCGAACCACUUUCACAAUCAAGACAUAUAUUUGUUUUGAAUACUUGUGUCCCUAUACUUUGGUGUCGAUUCGGCGUGCUUAUACUUUUACGAAUAUAAUUACGGUGACCGAAUCCGGGGUCGACGAUUUGUAAACUUCGCAGAACUAGUAGCUUUGUCUUUAAGCUCUAGAACCUAAAGACAAUAACACCAUCCCAACAUCAUAUGUCAUUUCUCAUGCAUAUAAAUGAGAGGGAAAAAUAAAAUUAAGGAUAAGAAUUAGCGAGAAAAAAUAGAGUGAAAGUUUUGCUUAUUUAUUUGUUUUUAGUUUUUUAAUCAUUUUUAAGAGUGAAAUGACUUGACUAUCCUCACAUGUUGUGCACAUGGUCUCACUUAACGGAAAUAUGGAUGGAAUAUAUGAAAAACUAACGGUAGGGGGCAAAUCGGCUAAAAGUCCUUAAUUUUCCAAUAGCAAAGUUCAGAGGGAAAUCAAAAGUUAGGUGAAAGUUCAGAGAGUAAAUCGACAGUUUACUCAAAAUUUAAUAAUGUUCUCCCUUUGAAAAAUAAUUGUUGCCGGUCCUUUUGUAAUUGCACUGGAACAUACUAGCACCUAGCCACCCGCCAUAUCCCAAUCCAUCCCAACAUCACUUUUCACUACUAGUCAACUUUCCAAAAGACCAACUCUACGAAACAUUUUUGUACGGUUCAACGGUUAUCAAAUGCCAAAAGACGAGAAAAAUUAAUAUCGCCUUGCAUAACUCGAUGACAUAUAAGAAUAAUUAAAAUCUAGACGCUGGAGAAACAAUAGCGAAUAUGAGCAAAACCAAAUUAAAAGACCCGUUUGGUAACUAUUUGAUUUUUAGUUUGUACUUUUUUUUCGUGUUUGAGAUAGAUAGAUAGCGGAAACGAAUAAAAAUUUCUUUUGUUUUAUAUUUAUUGAAGCCAACAAGUAACCACUGCUCUUCUAGUUAAAACUCAACAAGGUCAAAAAGUUACAACUUAUCUCAACCAACUGGGGAUAUUAUAAGGGGUUUGCUAUUCGCAUAGUCUUUUUACUUUUUACUCACUCCUGUGAAUUUUUGUUCAUUGAUCUUCUUCAAUUCAUUCCCAAAAAUUAAGAUGAGUGUAUGAGAGAAAAAAUGUGAAAUCCCGUCUCCGAAUUCCAUUAUUUAUUUACGUAUUUAGUAUUUACGCAAUUUUUAUCUUUUUAUCUAUGUUUGCUGAUUAUUGAUUAGAGUUUAGUAUAUAUAACAUGAUUUUGGACACGUCUUGUCCAACAUGUAUAGUUUUGUGUGUUUGUGCCGUCGAAUUAAGAUGUAGGAUAAUAGAUACGUGUCUAAAAUCCUACGUAUCGAAUGUGAAGAUGUUUUUCUCAUUGGGUGUGAACUAGAGGUAAGGUGAACAACGCAUGCGUCUUAGCUCUCACUUAAAUUAGACCUCAUACCUUUCAUCAUUUAUCGUAUUGUUGAUAAAAAAGAAGAGGACACAAAAAUAUCUCAUUCUCAUAAAUUUAAAGAAAACUAAUGAAAAAGGCUUGAAAACUUUGAGUUUUAACGAUAAGGACAAAACAAAGGGUAAAAUGAAUAGUACUAGGUUUGACUUUUUAGUGUAAAAAUGUGAUUUUUCGUUAAAGUGAACAGUAUUGCGGGUUUUUCGUUAAAACUCCCUAAAUUCAAUGUGACGUGCCUUAUAUUCAUAUCGUUGUGGGAAAAAAAAAUCAUAUUAAGGUACUAAAGUAUAUGCAGGCCUCAUUUUAUUACCGCGUUAGACCUCAAUUUACAUUGGAAUGAUUUUGAUGUGGAGAAAUAAUUCAACCUCGAUAAAAUAUCUUUUAUGUAUUCAUUUUUUAUUAUCUUAUGCACCACCACCACCACAUCUAUUAUACUCGUAACGAGGCCGACCGAGCUCGGUUUCGAACCACUAUUAGACUAGACAUUGUAAUGCUUAGAAUUUCUCAAGAAACAUGUAUGUUUAGUAAUCCACGGAAAUCACAAUGAAAAUAAGGAGUAAUGUGGCACGGUAACAACGAAGUUGAAAAGGGACUGGGGCCCACACAAAAAUGGAAAUUGAUAUGCUGAUACGGGGUUUGAAGGAGCUAGCGGGUAUUUUUUUUAUGGCCGUAAGAUCUCAAAUAACAACUAAUCUGUCUGUCAUGCUUUAAUGGGGUGGAUAGAUUUUUAAUUUUCACGUACCUCUUCCUUAAUUUCAGCCGUGGGAUCAAAAUAAUUUGAAAACGAUCUAAGAAUAAAAAUGAGCAAAGAGUAUGUGAAGGGCACCAUCAACUCUGAAAUAUAUUUUUCAUCAAUUCAAAGGUCACAUCACUUCCUCCUCUCUCACAGCUACCCAACGCAGAAAAAGAACAUGAGUGCAUUUCGACAGUUCUUCAAGCGGCUGACUGGAGGCAAAGCAGGAGGUACCUCCGCUGCCGCCGUUGAACCAAAGGUGAAGGUGGAAUUCGACGUUUCUUCGUCCCACCCCAGACAUGUGGUCAAAUUUUUCAUCCAUCCAGAGGACGAAGAAAGUGUGAAGAAAAUGAUUGCUGCCAAGCCCCCUGGGAUUAUGGCUUGGCUUUCGAAUAUCAACCUCCUAGCCGGCAGUGCGGAUCUGUUGUGGAAGUCCGGAAAAACACUGUUAAAGGCGAAGGAGAGUAGCUUGAAGGAAGCGUUAAAGGGCGAAGGCUGUUGCUUCAGCAAGCAGAGUGAGCGGCGCAUCGUUUCCAUGUUUCACCAGUCGUGUGAGAACACCGCACGUCUUGCGUACCUGGAGCAGGUUGCAGAACAUUACGCAAAAUAUGGAGUCACCAAGGGGUCUCCUCCUCCUCCUGUCCGUCCUCUACCACCGUCGAAGCAGGAGGCAAAUGGCAACAACAACGGGAAAGGCAAUGGCAACGGGAAGGGGCAAGGGCAAGGGAAAGGCGAGGGCGACGGCAAUGGCAACGGAAAAGGCAACGGCAAUGGAAACGGAAAUGGGAAGGGGAACGGGAACGGAGGACCACCAGCCCUCCCUGAAAAUGACACCCUGCCGGAACCAUUCGAGUUGCCAUUUUAAAAGGUAAACUCGGGACUCUCAAAUGUCAAUGAGUAAAAAAAUUAAUUAUGGCAUUCUUCUUUCUUCUGUUUGCAGAUUAGGGUUUGUUUAGAGGUCGUUUUGGGAUUUAUUUUUUUCUGAAAGUCUUUUUAGAGGAGGAAGGUUGCAUAUAUUCACUGUUUUAACCCUCUUGAUUUUUCGUUUGGAUUUGAUUCAAUUCGUGAAUUUGCCAAUUAUGUUUGUUUUUGUGUGAUUAGAAAAUGGAAAGACAUUGUUGUUGGGAAAUAAAAAUUCAUGAAAGCAGUUUUUAUAAUUUUUGUGUGGUAGUAAAUUGGUAAUGAAGGCACUGCAUUGACUUUUUAUUGUUCAAUCGUAUGCAGGAUCAUUUGGUGGAAGAGCAGAAUGAUGUGAAUAAGAUUUUGAACAUUCAGGCUAAGAAAGGAACAAAAGAGUUUUUUGAUAGUUUCUUUUAGUGAACGAGGCAGAUUUUGUCAGUAGGUUUUGUUGCUCGAUGAAUUUGGAUUGUAAAAAUUGGAAUGCUUUUUAGCUGGUUAACCAACAUAUGAAACCUCCAUCUUCGUUUGUGGGUAUUUUGAACAAAGACUGUCUUCCAUGUCCUCUUUAGGUGGGGGGAUUUUUUUGUAUAGGGAUUUGGGAUGACGCUGGUGACCUUUGUGGUGGUGUCUGUUCGUAUCCUGCUUCUCUUUAGUUAUGUUUCUGGGUGUGCUGGGCACUCCUCUGUUUGUUUCUUGGCCUUGGGCCUUGUUGGUUCUAUGAACAUAUGAAACCUAUCCUAUCCUAGGCUCCUUAAUCCUUGCUAAGCUAAAGCUAAAAAGAAGCCCACUAUAUAGAAUGUGAAUAAAACCCGAGUUCCUUCAACUCAUCGUCAAAUCCUCCUCGUUUGCUUUUGAGCCCUUAAUAUUUACUCAUCGCCAUGGGCAAUUCCAUCUCCCACAGGCAAUCCCAUGCCCACCGGACAAGCUCUGUGCAUUAGUUCAAUAAGCCCCUCACCGUUGCUGAGCAAGUCAUCGUGGAAUUCGGGUCUGCUGUCUCCCAAUAAAGGGCAACCCCGGCCCAUUGCCUGCAGACGACACGGAAAAGGUUUACUUAAUGCUGCCAAUUGAGCGAGGGAAACCAGUGUUGUACAUCGUCAUCCUAAGAAAUCCGUGGUGUUCAUUUUACGUGCAAAUUUGGUUUUACAAUCGAUUUCGCCAAGGUUUUCACCUUUGUUUGCUAGAAUAUGCCUGGCAAGUGAUCCCGGGCAAGCUUUCGUGUUGCCAAACAAGGACAAGGAAUAUUUUCAUUACAUUAGAUUGGCGACUGGAGAUUUAAGGAAUUAAUAGGGAGAGAGAUGAUGAGGGAGCUUUCAUAUAGUUUUGACAAUCUAGCUGAAAAUACAAGAAACUUGUGGAAACUUGUGGAAACUGAAUGGUGUGCCAUAUAAGGCGGUUGUGAUGCCAAAAGAAUUUGAAUUGAAGUUGCCAUGGAGAAUCGCCGGUGAAUCUUCCAUGGGGUUUGAGGUGGAAGAGAACCGCUGGGUGUGGAAAGAGAUUUCAGUUUUGUUUAUUUCUUUUUUCAGUUUUAAUCAAAGGGUGAAUUAGGAAUUUUAAGAAAAUAUUUUUUGUAUUGGGUGUAGAAAGAGGUUGAAUGGAUUCCAAUAAAAUUUCACUUAGUUUUAUCUCAGACUGAUGGUAAUUAUGCAAUAGGAUAAAAAAAAUAAUUAAUAUUUAAAAUUUAAGUUGGGGGUAGAAAGAAGUUACAUGGGUUUAAAUAAAAUUUCUCAUUCUAAUUUCGAAUGACCCUCGUGGCUUUUGGUUGAAUGAGUUUUGUAAUGAAGUAGAUUAUGGAAAAAAAUGGAAAUGACUGUCAUCAGUGUUUUUGUGAAUUAAUUUAAUAUUUAUGCCUUGAAUAGAUUUGUGGCCAAUAAAUUAGAUUUAGAAUUCAUUCUUUGAUUCCGUAAUGUUCUCCUUAAUUACUACAUGGAACUUGCCCGGGAUUCUGGAGGCAGACGAAAUGAAUUUCAGAAGUGACAUGAUAUGAGAUGCAUCACAGGAAUGUUUCUGCUGCUACGGUUGAUGAAGUAACCCAUGCCACACUCCUAAGAAAAGCUCCAACUACCUUUAACAGAAGCCGAGUUGAGUAGCUUCUCACUCGCUCAUCUUUCAAAUGGCAUCAAUAAACCGGAUGUCAAAAGAAGGGGGAUUAAUCUGCCACACAUUUAUGUUUGCGUAUUCCUCCAAACAUUGUUUCAGUUGGGCUUCACUGUAUCCCUGUUCCAAAGCAACCAUUCCACAUGGCUUGAGACAAAAUAGGUAGAAUUUCGGACAGGAUCAUCACGUAUUUUCACUUUUGAGAUAUAUUUUGAAUUUCUGCUACUCUGAUUUAUAUAGCUAUAUUCUUAUCACUUCCAAGUUUUGUACUAGUUGUUUGACAUGAUAAGCAGUGCAGUUCUCUGACCAUCGAUCACAAGAUGCUUUGCAAAAACUAACCUUCCUGAAAUCAGUACUGCUGAGCCUUCCAAGGUAAAAGUGCUGCAAAAUUUACCGAAUAACUGAUGGCUCAAGUGGACUGAAACCAAGAGCCGGUGAUACUUUAUUCUGGUGAAAAUAGACAACAUGCCUAGCCAUCUCAACAUCACUAUCCCUAUCUGCUCGAUCCAGGAUUAACCAUCAAGGAUCAAAUCUCGACAAAAGGGCCAGUUGAAGAUUAAUGUUUUCAGCAGGAGUUCUACGCAGGUUAUUUCUCCCCCUUUAAGAAUAUAGCAACCAUAGUAAGAGUUCGCAUAGAUUUUACACGAAGAAAGUUAGCUUCCAGGUUCCAGCAGUAAAAAAGGUACCACAUAACUAGAACAAUAUGAUUUAGAAGAGAAGCAACAAAGAGUAAUGCCCCAAAUGAACCAGAUUAAAAAGAAGUAGAAAGAUUUGUACCGUGCUGGAUUAGCUGCAGCAAGGACAGGAGUUCGUGUAUAAGUGUUACCAUACAUGUCCAGUGACUGAUUAUGCAAUGUAACUUCUGGCAUGAGAUACUAGCUAGUCAAAACAAGAUUAAAAUGCAUAUGAUCCGUUACCGACCACACAAUUAAGUGAAUUUUCACACAUGUAAACCGAAAUUUCAUUCAAACAAGCGCGAUAGGAAUUAGGAUUUUGCUUUGAACUCACAAAUAGCGCUUGACUUCAGGAGGCAUCUUCUGAUGUGGAUCCGAACCAUCCAUAUUCUCUGGUCCAUCAUCAAACCUCUGAGUCAUCAGAAUGUCAUGAUCAUGAUCUGUCUCCGUGGGCUCCGGCAUGAGCUCAUCAAUACCAUCUGCAAAUACACCAAUAUAACGCCCGAGUGUUCACUUCAACUCGAUUGCGGGAUUCUUCAUUCAUUUCUGUGUACUGCAUGUGAGGUAUAAGAAAAUUAACAAGUCGUUCACAAAGACAAUAAUCAUAAUUUAGGCCUUGGCAACAAAAGGCAUAGGCGGAACUUACACUGAACAAGUCCUCAAUAUCAAUCUCGAUAGCUCGAAAUUUGCGGUUUGCAACUUCCUGCUGGAAAGGAAAAUAACAUUUAGAUACUGCUGCAGCAUAAUUCAAAAAAAAAAAAAAUUAGAAAAUGAAUCCGGCAUUCAAUCCAACGGGAAAUUAGGGUUUUCAGACAGCACAGUCAUUGCUUAUUAUAAGAUGUGGUAAUGAAGAAGAUGAGGAGGGGAACUCACAAGGAUGCGCAUAUAUUUGGUUCGCCAUUCGAAUUGGCAAAGUUGGAAAGGAAAUCCUUCGCAAGCUCUGUCAAAAACAAAAAUCAAAAUAAUAAAACGAGAUCGAGUAUUCACCAAGAAGAGAGAGAGAGAGAGAAAGAGAGAGAGAGAGAGUGAUGGGCAGUCGUCACACACAGAGAGACUUGAAAUGAAUGAGAGUUCAGAUUUGGCGGCAAAUGGGGAUGUGGGUGAGGGUUUUUAAACGGUUCAUGUACUUUAGAGUUUGGUUGAAAAAUGAGUGAGCCAAAUUCCGAUUCAAGAGUGAGAUAUCCAUUAAAUAAUUAUUUGUCUACCUGUCACCUGUCAGAAUCAAAUAAGUCAUUUGUAUAUCAAUUAUCUAUUGUAUCUAUUCCUAACAGAGUGCAUGAGGCCUUAGCAGAUUCCCGGUGGAAAGAUGCAAUGAACGAGAAAUUGAGAUCGUUGAAGAAGAAUGCUACCUGGGAAAUAACUGACUUGCCAGCUGGAAAGAAAUAUGUGGGAUGCAAAUGGGUUUAUACGGUGAAAUACAAAGCAGAUGGAACAAUAGAUCGCUUUAAAGCACGAUUGGUGGCUAAGGGGUAUACACAGAAAUAUGGCAUCGACUACAUUGAUCAAUACAAUUCGUGUUCUAUUGUCCUUAGCAGCAAAUCUAGAUUGGCCUUUGCAACAGUUCGAUGUAAAAAAUGCAUUCCUCCAUGGAGAUCUAACUGAGGAGAUUUCAUGGAUUCCACUAGGGUGGAGUGAUCCAGACAUACGGAAACAAAAGGUAUGUAGGCUUAAGAAAUCAUUGUAUGGGUUGAAGCAGUCUCCAAGAGCCUGGUUUGGUAGAUUUACCAAGUCCUUGAGAGCAUUCGAGUAUAGGCAAAGUAAUUGGGAUCACAAGUUAUUCCUGAAACGCCGGAAUGGCAAGGUUACAGCUCUCAUCGUAUAUGUGGAUGAUGUGGUGGUUACUGGUAACGAUCCUGUUGAGCAAGUAGCCUUGAAAAAAUAUUUGUCCACAUAAUUUGAAAUGAAAGAUCUUGGUUCUUUGAAAUAUUUCCUUGGGAUUGAAGUGUCGAGAUGCAAGUCCGAGAUAUUUCUAUCACAAAGGAAGUAUGUUCUUGACCUGUUGAAAUAAACCGUAUGACGGCGUGCAAGCCGGUGUCUACUCCGUUGGCCGAAGGAAUGAAGUUGGGUAUCGAUCAGAACCAAGUAUCGAUUGAUAAAGGGAGGUAUCAAAGGUUAGUAGGAAGAUUGAUGUACUUGGCUCACACUAGGCCGGAUCUUGCUCAUGCCUUAAGUGUAAUUAGUCAAUAUAUGCACAAUCCAGGAGAACAACAUAUGAGUGCACUUAUGAGAAUAUUGAGUUACUUGAAAGGAAGCCUUGGUAAAGGAAUUUUAUUUCAAAAAAAAUGGGCAUUUCAGAAUUGAGUGCUAUACGGAUGCUGAUUGGGCAGAAUCAACAGAUGAUAGGCGCUCAACAUUCGGGUAUUUUACCUUUGUUGGGGGAAAUCUAGUAACGUGGAGAAGCAAGAAGCAGAAUGUUGUAUCAAGGUCAAGCGAAGAAGCCAAAUUUAGAGGUGUGGCACUCUGUAUUUGUGAACUCUUGUGGCUUAAGUUUCUGUUACAAGAUGUGGGGGUCUAACAUAGUUAGCCGACGAAGUUAUUUUGUGACAAUAAAGUUGCUCGUGAUAUUGCUCAUAAUCCAGUGCAACAUGAUAGGACCAAACAUGUAAAGGUUGACAGGUUCUUUAUUAAAGAGAAGCAAGAUAACAAAGUAAUUGAGGUUCCUCCCAUAGGAACGGACAACCAAGUAGCAUAUAUUCUCACUAAGGUGGUUUCUAGUGACAAGUUCUCCAGGUUUCUAGACAAGUUGGGCAUGUGUAACAUCUAUGCAUCAACUUGAGGGAGAGUGUUGACUUGUAUUAGGAUUCCUACCAUAUUUGGUUUCCUGGUUUAGGAUGUAAUUAUUCAUUCCUUUAUUCUGAUAGGAAUAUACAUGAUUGUAUAGGGUUGUAUAUAUACUUUUGUUUUGAGAUGAAAUACAAUAUUCAUUGAAAAGCAUUCUUUCUUCUUUGCAUGUAUAAUAGCAUAGCAUGAAUGGUUGAUAUGACCUAACAAACUAACUCUGAAUUAUGUUCUGUAUGAAAAUAUCUUUGUCUUUUUUUUUUAAUGGCAGCUGACCCUUUUUAACGGGCCUGAUUAUUGGGAGGUUAGUCUUUACGACAGAUGCCUAAAACGUGCUUAUGGCAUUGAGCUGGAUGUUGGUUCGUUGAAGAAUGUUAAUUCGACUUCCACUAGAUCGUCACAUGAUUAAUGAAGAUCCACAACUAUGUAUUAUUCAGAUAAAUAAUAAUACAUAUUUGAUUGUACGCAAAUUGAUUGUAAUUUAUUGAAAGCUUUUUUUUUCGUCAAAAACAAACAUGGAAUUGGAACCUUUUAAAGGUUUAGGGCAAAGGGGUCGGCACUUUGUGGUGGGGACAUUUGGAGCCAACAAAAUACAAUACAAUAUAAUACCGACCUCUUUUUUUCUCUACCUGAAAAAGUCGAGUCGAGAAGGUUCGAUAAGUUCAUCUUUGGCAGCAGCUAAUGGCGUCCGCAUCCUCACCCUCCAUCCUUUAUAUGGGAAUUUGAGGUUCCAAAAGCAAAGCAAGGAAGCCAACACCACCAAUAGGCAAAUUUGACGUACCCAAAACCAGAAUUUUUUUUGGUAUAGUAAGCAGAAUAAACGCUUAGAAUGAAAUACUAAGGGGGUAGGGGAGUCAAACACCUCAUAACCAAAUUUCGGUUUUGCUCAAAUUUCAUUGGCCUAAACCACAAGGCACACAAGGAGGAGUUCAAACACCUCAUAACCAAAUUUCAGUUUUGCUCAAUCCGCAUUAACUUAUAUAUGAAAAAUUCUCUCUUUUUGUUUUUUGUUUUUGAACAAACGGUAUGAUCCACAUUGGGGGUAGGCGAGUGGGCCUUGCCUCAUAAUGAGCUAGCAAUAAUAUGGUUCGACAAAUUCUCAUCUUGACGAGUGUUAUAAAUUUGAUACGUUUUUAAAACCUUACAUUUAGGCAACAAACUAAACAAACAGAUACAACGGAGCACAAUUGGGAGAGGAUUACCACAUGAUUUGAAGUUUUGAACUUACAAUUUUCAACUUCCAAUCCUACUUCUAGUAUAGCGUUAGAUUCGAAUGGUCGACUAUUUCAGAUAAGUCGGAUUGUUAGAACGAUUGGGAGAGGGGUAGAUAGUUGAGAUCUUUGGGGUUUUCUUUGUAGGUGGUAGGAAAGGUGGCGGUGGGGGUUGGUAACGUAGGGGAGCCAAUAGAAAGAGUGGAGAACUAAUAGGAUCGUAGCUCUGGAAUCACUCAACCAGGCAAGAGACUGGGACUCACUAAGCCAGAAAAUCGAAAGAGCAAAGAGUUUGCUAGAAGCUUUCAAUUACAUUCAAAGUCUGACCGACAAUCCCUUUAGCACAAGAAUUAUGAAGGCUUAUAAUAUUAAAAGACUCCUACUUCCUAUGAGACUCUUACAAUCUCCAACAAUAACUUGACAAUUUCUAAGGGACAACUUAAUUAAACCUUGUACUCCUAAUAAACAUGAACUUGACAUUUAAGGACUGUCUGCUGCAUCAAUCUCCCCAUCCCGAAAAAAAAAAACUCGUCAUCGAGUUCGGGAUUGUGAAUUCAUUCCCAUAAGUUAUGAUCAUCUUCUCGCAGUUCUUGUUUGCUGAUUCAUGUAGCUUCGCUCAGGGUUGGUUCUUCCAACGAGUAAGAUAUUGUCCAUAGGUGCCUCGACGAGUAGAGGUUGAACGUUUGUCUAGGAUUUCCAAUGAAUUAGUAUAUGCAUGAGGGACAUUAGUAGUUUCGGGACUUUGUGGCUGUGGGAACUAACUCAGGUUCGCCAUGGAACAAAUAUAGAUCAGAGAUGUUGAAAAUGGGACUUAUUUCCAUUCCCUCUGGCAGUUCAAUUUUGUAAGCAUUGGACCCAGUUUUCUUAAGCACUCUGCAAGCACCAAUCUUCUUCAACUUGUUGUCUGUGGGGAACCUUUUUUUUUUAAAUAAGCCAUCACCAAGUCACCUUCUUGGAACUCCACAUGAUGCCUAUGUGCAUCAGCAGCUCUUUUGUUGUUGUUGUAGGCCCUCUCAAGUCGGACUUGACUUUUGCAUGGAUUUCUUUGAUAUGGUCAGCAAGUUCCUCAGCCUCCAUGCUAUUCCUACCAAAAUGAGGAACAGACACUUGAUCCAAGAUAUGAUUGGGGUUUCGACCAUAAACCACUAUCACCUAAUUUUCGAUUUGUCCUUGAACUUUUUAAUUGGAAAAUUAAGGACUUCACUAAUUUUUUUGGCCGAUUUGCCCUUGCUGUUAAUUUUUCAUUCAUCCCAUCCAAUUUUUUGUUAAAUGGAAGCAUGUGCACAACAUGUGAGGGUAGUUUGGUCGCUUCACUCUUUAAAAUAAUUGAAAACCUUAGAUUUUUAAAAUAUAAACCUAUGCAAAUAUUUGUGAUUAUAUAACUUUUGUGUCUAAAAGUCUAGCGAAGUGAUGCUUUUGUCCACAAAGGAGAAUCACAUGGUGUACACGUGAUAAAAGUUAACGUUAAUUUGGAUAAAAUCUAUGAAAAACUAACGGUAGGGGGAAAUUGACCAAAAAAAAUAGUUUAAGUCCUUAAUUUUCCAAUUAAAAAGUUCAUGGGGAAAUCGAAAGUCAAGUGAUAGUUCAUAAGACAAAUUGGCAAUUUAGCCUAUUAUGAUUAACCCAGUGUGAGACUUAACCCACUCACACAUGCCUUUAAUGUAGAUAAUAUUCUUGUUACAAAAAAUGAUUAUUUGUGUUAGAGAAAUUUUAUUUGGACCCAACUAUCCUAUCUCUACCCCCAACUAAAAAAUUUUCUCUACUAAACUUUCAAGUUUGCCCUUAAAUAAAUAAGAAUAAGAAAAUAAAAGAAAAUAAACAUUGGUGUUUUUAUCUCUACACCCAAUAACUCAAAAAAAUGGCACACAUCUCCACUCCACCAUUAUUUCCCUCGAAACACACCCAAAUGACAACAAAAUAUGCUCCUAAGUUCAUCAACAAGUAAGCUUGCUAAAAACCCGUGUUGCAUGAAACCCUAAGCAGCCCUCAUUUAUAAUUUCAACAGAGAAAACUUCUUACCAAUUCGUUGGGCAUGAAACAAAUUCCUGCAAUAUGAGAAAAAAACUUCCAUGUCAGUGUCUAUUUAAAAGAGAUAGCAACAAGAGUUUCUAGCAAGCUGACUUGUUAGUUUUAAUAAUUUAUGCAAGUAGUCAACUCCUAGAUAAUGGUUCAAACAAGCAAACAUAUCAGCCGAAAACUUAUGUUGAAAUUAUAAAUGAGGGCUGAUAAGGGUUUCUAGCAAGCUGACUCGUUGAUGAACUCGAGAGAAUAUUUUGCUGUUAUUUGGGUGGGUUUUGCCGGAAAUAAUGGAGGAGUGCACCGGUGUGCCAAUUUUGGAGUUAUGGUGUGCACCGGUGUGCUAAUUUUGGAGUUAUGUGGUGUACAGAUAAAAACACCAAUGUUUAUUUUAUUUUAUUUUCUUAUUCUUAUUUAUUUAAGGGUAAAUUUGGAAGUUUGGUAGAUAAAACUUGGUAGUUGGAUGUAGAUAUAAGAUAACUGGGUUCAAAUAAAAUUUCCCUUUGUUUUACGCGGUAUGGCCUAAUUAUCUCCUCGUAACAGUUAGAAUUUAAAAUGAAAAAUUUAUAAUAUUUUAUGGAUACGGAUACCGGCCCGGCCCGCUUGGCCCAUGAAACAAACUCCAAAGCUGAAGCCUCGCUCAUUCUUUCUCUGCGGUUAUAAAAAUUCAAAAUUCAACCUCUUACUUUGUUUGUUUUAAUUUUUAUGAUUUUUAAUUUUCUAAAUUUUUGCUUUCUGUUUGCUUUGGAUCUCAAUAUCUCAUUGCUUACAUGUUGGUUAGGGAAUUUAACAUGUAAUUCACAAAUAGACAGAGGCAGGGGAUUUAAACAUGGGAGUUUUAACGAAAAGUCUACGGUACUAUUCACUUUAACGAAAAAUCAUAUUUUUACACUAAAAAAGUCAAUCCUAAUACUAUUCACUUUAUCCUUUAUUUUGUCCUUAUCGUUAAAACUUAAAGUUUUCAAACCAUUUUUAUUAGUUUUUCUUUUAAACAUAUAUUCCCAGAAUCCUAAUUUGGGUUUUUUUUUACUUUAUUUUUUAUUACUGUUCGUAUGUUUAAUACUUUAUGGGAUAACAAGAUUUAUUAUUGGGUGUGGACAAUUUAAAUUCAGCCUCAGUAAGAUCGAUCUUUUGUGUUCACUUUGGAUUAUGCAGCUUAUUGUGUCUUAUGCGCGCUUAAAGUUAGCUUUCGUUCAUCAGUUUGGACUCCAUAGUAAUCCAAAUGAGCUCCGGGCUAUGGUUUUCUUGUCAUAAACGUUUUGGGAUAUAUCUGGAAUCCUACCCCAGUAGUUUGAUGAUCACGCCCCCAAAUUGUUUUUAACUAAAAUUGUUAGCAUGCGAGUUUGAUGUCUAUUGUAAUUGCCUCAGUUUUGAGAUUUAAGGGUUAGCAUCUAAUUCUGUCAUGUCUUUGUGGUGGGAUUGAAUCGCUUGGAACAGUUUUUUGUUUCCAUUUAUAUUCUCGUUUUGUUUCUGUAAGCCAGCCUUUGUCUUAUCUCGCAGGAACUAAACUUUAAUUUGUAAACUUUUAGUUGGGACGGCUUGUGGAAUUCUUGAACCAGAAUUAUGGCUUGUUUUAGUUACUAUAUUUCCCGUUAUCAGCACGCUCUUGAUGCUGCGCUAACAAGAGAAUUUAUUCUUCAAUCAGGAGAGUAUUAUGUUUUAAUCAUUGUUUUUAUGAUUAAUUUAGUAUUUUAUUAAAUUGAUCUACAUGUUAUUGAUUCAAUUUAAUUUUUCUAUGUUGAACGUGAUACAACACAUUGGAGAUGCAAUUUCGGCUUUUCGAGAAGGAUCUUCUACAAAUUCAAAGGUUUUUGUUGUUUCUGCCAAUUGGGUACGCUUAAAAUAAAGUAAGAUAUUUGAAACAACCAUGAAGCAUGAAAAAAUAUAUAUACAUUACGCAAUUUUUGCUAUGUGGAAUUUGUGAGUCAAAGAAUCGAAAGAAAUUAGAAGCAAUUAGGGUUUUUCAAACCCUAAGAUUGUCGGAAAAAAAAAACAAUAAAAACUUUUGGGAAAAUUUUUGCGGCUAAGCCCAGCCUCGAAACACACCAAGCCUGAAGCUUGGGUAUGCGACUAGACUGUUUUUUUUAGGCUUAAAUUGGACCAAGCCUGCUGCUUGGGUAUGCGACUAGACUGUUUUUUUUAGGCUUAAAUUGGACCAAGCCUGCUGCUUGGGUCCACUGGUGCAUGGGCUACGAGCCCGCUGUCCGUUCCAGAAGCCAGCAAACUUGCUAGACUUCUCGUGCCUUGGCCCAUCGCCAGUAGCCUUUGCGUUACUAGGCCUUCCUCUAGCUCGGCCCGCUUUCAACUGCAAGCUUGCAGCUUGCUUUGUAAACUAGGCUGCACAACAGCCUUUCCCAAGCCCAAUAGCAGCCAAGUUUUUUUUUUCUUGCUUUGAUGGGCUGUUUAUCUUAGCUGUGGCCCACCCUUGCAGCUUAUCUGGGCUGCCUAACGCAGCCUGACCUGAGCCCAAAGGCCUACCAUUUUUACUGCAGGGCCGUGCCUCACACAACCAACCCACAUGUGAUGGACUAUGCCAUUUUAAGUUAUUUUGGACCAUAUGCCAUAUUUUGGCAUCUCGUGCUUCUUAACCAUACCUAAAUAUUUUUUUUGGGGAUAUUUUUUGUUAACGUUUAAUAAGCUAAAACUUGUCACUUGGCCCGCUGCCAAUUAAAACUAAUAAGACCCGCAUGUCAUUAUUUUGCUUCUACGAUCGAUCCCAAAUGAUCCUGAUCUAUUGAAUUAAUUAAAAGUGACCAGCAGUCCAUUAAUCUUACAAGACAUCCAAAAUUAUUGGCCUGAAGCCCACUUUUGGACAUUAACGAUUUAAUAAUUUAUUUCUCUUCUUUGAACCAUUGACUCACUUUCGUGGUCCCGAAGCACUCACACUUGAAAUUCCGAAGAAACUCAAAUCCACUACACUUAAAUCAACAUAUUGCAUUAUGUGUUUUUGUAGGAACAUCUCUUUUAUGAACUAAACGUUCAUAAACUAAAAUUGAACAUGUAGUUUCAAAUUUAAUGUCUUUGAAACCCGAAGUUUUCAUAAAACAAUACACCCAUGAAAACCCGACGUUUUUCAUGAAAACCAUGUUUUUCUCCCACCUUGGGUUUUACCAUAGCGAGGUUUUAUGAGUUUUAUUUUUUUUUAUGCAUUUUUUCGUUGAUUUGAGACUCGCAUUUGCUCAUUGUAUCGACAACUUCAUCAACUGUACUUACUUCAUCGCUAAAGACCUGAUGCACCAUUUACUUGAGUAUUUACACACUCAAAGGGGGCUGUUGCAAUCCUAUUAGAUUAGGAAUGUGAUUAUGUAAAUCCUAGUAGAUCUAGGAAUAUCUCUUAUAUUCCUAUUAGGAGUUGAUUACCUAUUAAGAAUUGUAAUCCUAAAAGGGUAAGGAAUUAACCAUCCCUACUACUAAUAAAGGCACAAUGGGGUGAAAUAGAACACACCCCACAAUUACACAUCUCUCUCUUCUCAAUACUAUUGCCGCACCUCCCUCUCUCUGACCUCCAUAAUUGUUCAGUAAAUUAUGCCUACAACACCUCUUACUUUGUUUGUUUUAAUUUUUGUGAUUUUUAUUUUUCUAAAUUUUUGCUUUUUGUUUGCUUUGGAUCCCAAUAUCUGAUUGCUUACAUGUUGGUUAGGGAAUUUAACAUGUAAUUCACAAAUAGACAGAGGCAUGGGAUUUAAACAUUUAUUCCCAGAACCCUAAUUUGAUUAUUUAUUUAUUUAUUUUCGUUUGUAUGUUUUAUAUCUGGAAUCCUACACCAGUAGUUUGACGAUCGCACCGAGUACCCCAAAUUAUUUUUAACUAAAAUUGUUAGCGUGCGAUGCGAGUUUGAUGUCUACUUUAAUUGCCGGUCCUUGCGAUCAUUUUUGAGAUUUAAGGUUUAGCAUCUCCAGUGAUCAUGAUCGUUCAUUGUAUGUCGUGAACUCCAAUGUACAAUGAACAUAAAUAGUACAUUGUACAAUGAACAUAAAUAGUACAUUGUAAUGAACAUAAAUAGUACAUUGUACAAUGAACAUAAAUAGUACAUUGUACAAUGAACAUAAAUAGUACAAUGAACAUAAAUAGUACAUUGUACAAUGAACCGGCAAUGAUCACUGUACAUUGUACAAUGAUCGGUCAUUGCGAUUAGUUUUGAGAUUUAAGGGUUAGCAUCUCUAGUGAUCAUGAUCGUUCAUUGUACAUCGUGAACUUCAAUGUACAAUGAACAUAAAUAGUACAUUGUACAAUGAACCGGCGAUGAUCACUGUACAUUGUACAAUGAUCUCCAAUGAUCAGUUUUGAGAUUUAAGGGUUAGCAUCUCUAGUGAUCAAUUUUAAAUUUAAAAUGCUUGUGGAAUUCUCGAACCAAAAUUAUGGCUUGUUUUAGUUCUUCUAGUUCCCGUUCACGUUCGAGUUCCAUUUCCACUGGUGAGUAAUUACGCUAGGAAUUCAAUUGUUUAAAUAAUAUGUCAAUCUGUGAGAUGAUUUUGUUUGAUCAGAUAUGAAACAGCCUUUCAAUCUUUUUUUAUAGCCAUUUAUGCUUUUUCUUCUUAAUUUGCAGUACCCCCCACUUACUUUGCUUUAUCUGGCAAAAGGAGUAAGUAUAAAAAGCGCCCUUGUAAUUUAGUUUUGUACACUGCUUGUGCUUGUUAUUGGGGCUUCAAUGCCUAGAAUAAUAAUAAUUUUCUCGCUAUCUAAUACGUAAUUAUUGUAACUAGCUAAUAAAAUGUAAUAUUUCUAUGAGAUAGGUCCUAGUGCCAGUGACGAGGUUGCGGUGAGAUAUCCAAACAGAUGUUCUACGUUUUUUAUCAUUCAAAAUUUCGUGCAAGUGCAAUCGGUCAUGGCAUUUUUGAUGACCAAUGUCAGUGGUUGAUCCGGGUCAUCAGGCUCGCCAAAAAGGCUUAGCUACCAUUAAAAGAGAAAGAUAGAUGCAACACUUGUCAAUAAUUAUGUAGAGACAUGAUCUAACAUCUGUUUUCCAUUCCAAAGAUUGACAAGGCCAACACAAGAAGCAGAACAAGAUAGCAUAUAGACCAUUUUUUUUUCGAUCAAGCAACUUAAAGUACCUCAAUAGCCGCCCGAAGAAACCAAUAGCAUUGGUCAUCAGAAAUGCCACGACCAAUUGCACUUGCACGAAAGUUUGAAUGAUAAAAAACCGUAGAACCUCUGUUUGGAUAUCUCACCGCAACCUCGUCACUGGCACUCGGACCUAGCUCAUAGAAAUAUUACAUGUUAUUAGCUAGUUACAAUAAUUAUGUAUUAGAUAGCGAAUUAGGGUUCUGGGAAUAUAUGUUUAAAUCCCCUGCCUUUGUCUAUUUGUGAAUUACAUGUUAAAUUCCCUAACCAACAUGUAAGCAUUCAGAUUUUGAGAUCCAAAGCAAAAAUUUAGAAAAAUAAAAAUCAUAAAAAUUAAAACAAACAAAGUAAGAGGUGUUGUAGGCAUAAUUUACUGAACAAUAAUGGAGGUCAAACAGAGGGAGGUGCGUCAAUAAUAUAGAGAAGAGAGAGAUGUGUAAUUGUGGGGUGUGUUCUAUUUCACCCUGUUGAUGCACAAAAUCAGCGAGGACUUUGGUACAACAGAAAGUGUUAAGUUUGUGACCUUUGCUAGAUUGCUCCGGUCACUAGUGUGGAUAAGUAUGUAAAUGGAUAAAGACAGGGAAGCAAACACAAGAUGUGCGUGGUUAUCCUAAAUUGGCUACGUCCAUGGAGUAGAGGAGUUCUCAUUAAUUGUGAAGGGUUUGCACAAGUACAUAGGUUCAAGCUUUCCUUUAGUAAGCACUAGUGAAUGAUUUAGUACAAAUGACGUUAGGAAAUAUUGUGAAAGAGAAUGAUCUCCUUUUAUAGAAGAGAGUUUUUAGCUUUGUUCUGACUUUGACACGUAUCGUGCUAUGAUUGGCCUCUGAUGUUGACACUUGUCGUGCUAUGAUUGGCCUCUGAUGUCGACACAUGUCACGCUGUGAUUGGCCUCGGAGGGAAACUCUUGUGGAUCCUUGACGGUAUAAUGUUGACCGGUGCUCAUUAGUUUCGGGAUUUGUCAAGUAUGGUACAAACAGUGCUCCCCUAAUUUUCCGAGUGAGGGAAGCUCCUCGGUUGGGGACUUGCAAGAUCCAAGCCACUGAGUAAUCACGAAGCUUCUAAGUACUGAAGUGUGGUAUCGUUUUCACUUACCUUAUUUGUCUCAUAAGUAGAUGUGGCAUUUUCUUUGGAAGUACUUUUCUUCCAUCAAGGGGUGGUAUCUUUAACUGGGGGAGAUGCACAAGGUAAUGUAUCAAUUUCACUUGAAGCUUACUUGUAGUUUCCAGCUUGGUCAAGUGCGAUACAAACCAUAUAGUAGAAGUCUCCCAAGUCGCCGAGCUAGGAGAUCUACCAAAAGAUGUGAUAGACAAGGCAAGCAAUCAGUCCCAGAUCAGAAGUUUGAUUUCGAGAUCCGGCUGAUUGUUCUCAUUCUACCUAUCUUGCAGGCAGCAAGAAGGAUAAAGAGAAGAAAAAUGAGAAGAGAUGAUAUGAGAUACUUUUGCUUUUGAAGAAGUAACUUUCCACAGGCUUAUUCUUGAACUGGGCUGGAGGGUUUUCUGGUUUCCUCCAGAUUAUAAACUGACUCAAGAAUUUGAGGGUUAAAACAAGUCUAUCAAAUUAAGAGUUCGUUCGACCUUGAUGAUAUGGGAUACUUUUGCCUUUUGAAGAAGUAAUAGAUGAAUCGGCACAUGUCCUGCUGCGCUUGUCUCCAUAUGCUUCAUAGUAUCCUUUUCACUUACCCUAUCUGUUCCUUAGGCAUUUAUGGUAUCUUCUCUAGAAGCACAAGAUGUUGAAGAUGAGUACUCGAGAGCAAUGCUAGGUAAAUAAUCAGACAAGGGGUUCCAGGUAGUCAGUUCCUGAUUGGAAAAUUGAUUCCAAGUGCUGACUGAUUGCUCUAUUUCUUAUUGUCUUGCAGGUAAGAGCAAUGGUAAAUGAAAAGCCAGGGAAAAAGCAUGAUAUGAGAUACUCUUGCUUUCAACCCUGAUGAUAUGAGAUACUCUUGCUUUGGCGUGACUUGUUUGUAGAUGUAUUAUCGGGGGGAAGGAAGCUGAGUAUUUCGAAAGACUUCGUUGGGAGUGCCCUCUCGAAUGUGAGGAAGAGUUGAGCAUUUUUUGCAGGUCUGCCUGGCUGUGGAGGAUGGAGGUUGACAUAUAUAGGAAUUUCCCUAACAACAAGUAGUAAUGCUAUUCAUUUACCUUUCUCGGUCAUAACAAUGUAGUGGGAGUUGCAAGCUUUACAUGUUUUAACUUUGUCAGAGCACUUUGAAAAAGUGGAUUGUGGUAUCCGGAAAGUUGAUGUUGCGUGUGAAGAUUGCAAACAAGUUUUAUCCAAGGAAAUCUAGCUCUUGAAGCUCGGAGAGUGGUGCCUCUUCGAUUUUCGAGCAAGAAGAUAUGUUAAAGAUCUGGCUCUCGAAAUUCAGAGAGCGUUGCCUCUUCGAUUUUUGAACAAGCAAUCCUGUUGAGAGUCUAACUUCCGAGAUUCGGAGAGCGGUGCCUCUUCGAUUUUUGAGCAAGUAAUCAUGUUGGGGGAUCUGGCUAUCAAGAUUCGAAGAGUGGUACCUCUUCAAUUUUUGAGCAAGUAAUCGUGUUGGGGGAUCUGGCUCUCGAGAUUCAGAAAGCGGUGCCUCUUCGAUUUUUGAGCAAGCAAUCCUGUUGGGAAUGUUUUCUCGGAUGUGAGUAAAGGUUGGGCAUUUUUGCCAGUCUGCUUUGCCACUGAGCAUGGAGGUAGGGACUUUACAGUUAUCAAGUAGUGGUGUUGUUCCUUUACCCUUGUGGGUAAUAGUAGGGUAGCUAGACCUUCAAAUUUUAUGUGUUUAAACUUUGUCAGAGAUCUUUGGCAAAGUUAUCUGUGGUACCUGAGGAGCUAAUGUUGCGUGUGGAGAUUGUCGACAAAUCUUACCCAAGAAAAUCUGCUUCUCAAAAUCCGAAGAGUGGUGCCUCUUCGAUUUUUGAACAAAUGGCCUUGUUGCCCUUUCUUUUAUAGGGGCACCAAUUGUGUUCAAGAAGUACGUUCAGAGAGUUACUGCUUGUAGGAAUUCCUCCCUUAUUUUUUUAUUUCUGAGAUUUACUGUUCCUCAUUUUUUCUUCAUUAUUUAUGAAAAUGUCUGGCCCAUCCGACUGUCAUUUAGACUUGAAUGUGGUGGAAGAGGUAGCCAUGUCUCCUCAAGACAACAUAUGGCGCUUAUCCUUCUUAUCCCUUACUGGUCUCCUUACCAUUGGAAACUCUAUGAUGAAGAAUGAUAUGACUGCUGCGGUGGUGGCCAUGAACCUUUUCACUCCCAGAGAUAACAAACUACUUUCCAAACGGUCCGAUGAGUUGGCUGUUAAGGAUUCUCUAGCUCUCAAUGUUCAGUGUGCGGGUUCUAUGUCUAAUAUGGCCCAACGCCUAUUUGCUCGAACCUGCCAAAUUGAAUCAUUGGCGGCUGAAGUGGUAAGUCUCAAAUAGGAGAUCAGAGGGCUCAAGCACGAGAAUAAACAGUUGCACAGGCUCGCACAUAGCUAUGCUACAAACAUGAAGAGAAAGCUUGACCAGUUGCAGGAAUCCGAGAGUCAGAUUUUAAGUGAUCAUCAAAGGUUUGUGAGUUUGUGAGAAAGACAUUUAUUGCAUUCGUCUUCUGGGGCUGUACCACGUACUGAAGCUCCAAAUGAUCAACCUCUGAUGUCUCUUCUUUCUGGGGCUUUGCUCAGUACUGAGGCACUAAAUGAUCACCCUUCGAUACCUCCUAUUUCUGGGGCUUUGCCAAGUGCUGAGACUUCUCAUGAGCAACCUUUGUGAAAGCCCCUUCUUGUUUGUUUGUUUUGAUUCAUGUGUAUGCACGUAUCUGUAAUUUAUUGGAGAUAUCAAUAAAUAAGCUUUACUUCAUUCAGCGUAUUGUGUUAAAUACACUAAGGCAUCCUUCACUAAGUUCUUUGAAUUUUUUCUUUUGUAGAAACUUGUAUGUUGAAGCUUUAUGAGUGAAGCAUGUAGGUUGAGGUAGUGCUCCCUUAAUUUCUCGAGUGAGAAAAACUUCUCGGUUGGAGACUUGAAAGAUCAAAGUCACUGAGUAGUCGUGAAACUUCCAAGUACCGAGGUGUAGUAGCAUAUGGUAGGAGUCCGCUAAGUCUCCGGUCGAGGGAGUUGAUGAAGGAGGUGUCUUGCUAGUAGCUAAGUUUCCAAAGUAACAAACUUCACUAUUUUCCUUUCUAAGUGGUAGCCCAAACUUCUCAUUCAUGUAUAUUUGUAAUGAAAGUUGUUAGGCCCAAAGAAGGGGAGGCCUAGGCUUUUUUUUUUCGAAUUUUUUUUUUUUAAUUUUCAAAUUUUCAAAAGUAUUUCUCUCUCUCUUUUUUUUUUUUUUUUUUUUGGUAUCAUGAAUUGAUUUUGCUUCACACUAUCUUGAUCAAGAUUGUGUGAAGCUUUUGGCAUUUGUAGUUGCCCUCCAUUUGUUGAAGCUUUGUUGGUGAAGCUUGGUGGGUGAAGCUUUGUAGGUAAAGCUUGGUAGGUGAAGCUUUGUAGGUGAAGCUUUUUAGGUGAAGCUUUAUAAGUGAAGCUUUUGUGUUGAAACUUUUUAGGUGAAGCUUUGAGGUUGAAGUUUUGUGUUAAAGUUUUUUAGGUGAAGCUUUGAGGUUGAAGCUUUUGUUGGUGAAGCUUUAUUGGGUACCAUGAAUUGAUUUUGCUUCACACUAUCUUGAUCAAGAGUGUGAAGCUUUUGGCAUUUGUAGUUGCCCUCCAUUUGUUGAAACUUUUGUUGGUGAAGCUUUGUAGGUGAAGCUUUUGUGUUGAAACUUUUUAGGUGAAGCUUUGAAGUUGAAGUUUUGUUGGGUACCAUAAAUUGAUUUUGCUUCACACUAUCUUGAUCAAGAGUGUGAAGUUUUUGGAAUUUGUAGUUGCCCUCCAUUUGUUGGAGUUUUUGUUGGUGAAGCUUUGUAAUGAAGCUUGGUAGGUGAAGCUUUUGUGUUGAAGCUUUUUAGGUGAAGCUUUGAGGUUGAAGCUUUGUAGGUGAAGCUUUAAGGUUGAAGUUUUGUUGAUAAAACUUUUGUGUUGAAGCUUUUUAGGUGAAACUUUGAGGUUGAAGUUUUGUAGGUGAAGCUUUUGUUCAUGAAGCUUUGAGGUUGAAGCUUUGUUGGGUAUCAUGAAUUGAUUUUGCUUCACACUAUCUUGAUCAAGAGUGUGUGAAACUUUUAGCAUUUGUAGUUGCCCUCCAUUUGUUGAAGCUUUUGUUGGUGAAGCUUUGAUAUUGAAGCUUUGUAGUGAAGCUUGGUAGGUGAAGCUUUGUAGUGAAGCUUGGUAGGUGAACCUUUUGUGUUGAAGCUUUGUAGGUGAAGCUUUGAGGUUGAAGCUUUAUUGGGUACCGUAAAUUGAUUUUGCUUCACAUUAUCUUGAUAAAGAAUGUGUGAAGCUUUUGGCACUUGUAGUUGCCCUCCAUUUGUUGAAGCUUUUGUUGGUGAAGCUUUGUGGUGAAGCUUUGUAGGUGAAGCUUUGUUUUGUUGGGUACCAUGAAUUGAUUUUGCUUCACACUAUCUUGAUCAAGAGUGUGUGAAGCUUUUGACAUUUGUAGUUGCCCUCCAUUUGUUGAAGCUUUUGUUGGUGAAGCUUUAAGAUUGAAGCUUUGUAGUGAAGCUUGGUAGGUGAAGCUCUUGUGUUAAAGUUUUUUAGGUGAAGCUUUGUAGGUGAAGCUUUUGUGUUAAAGCUUUAUAGGUGAAGCUUUUGUGUUAAAGCUUUAUAGGUGAAGCUUUUUUGUUGAAGCUUUUUAGGUGAAGCUUUGAGUUUGAAGCUUUGUAAGUGAAGUUUUGAGGUUGAAGCUUUGUUGGGUUCCAUAAAUUGAUUUUGCUUUACACUAUCUUGAUCAAGAGUGUGUGAAGCUUUUGGCAUAUGUAGUUGUCCUCCAUUUGUUGAAGUUUUUGUUGGCACUAUAAAUUGAUUUUGCUUCACACUAUCUUGAUCAAGAGUGUGUGAAGCUUUUGAGAAUUGUGGUUGAACUCCUUUGAUGAAGCUUUGUUGGCACCAUAAAUUGAUUUUGCUUCACACUAUCUUGAUCAAGAGUGUGUGAAGCUUUUGAGAAUUGUAGUUGCCAUCCAUUUGUUGAAGUUGUUGAAUUUCCUAAUUUCCUUUUUUUUUGGGAAAACUGGAAAUUUGAAAAUGUGAGAGAGACAACAUAUACAAAUUUUGUUUCCACACUGUUGAGCAAGAGAUUGUGAUGCAAGCCACACCUUGUAGUAUUCGAAGGUUUGGAUGUACCAUAUAAAUUGAAUUUGCUUCGAACUGUCUUAAUUAAGAGUGUGUGAAGCUUUCUACGAGUUGUAGUGUUUGCAUUGUUACAGAGAAGAAAUGUCUGGAGCAGAUGCAAGAGGGUUGAAGAGCUUGAUCUUCGUAUACCAUGCACUGAACUUGCAAUAAGACUUUGUUAGUGACUAUAACUCUUGUUAGGCAUAAGUGCUCCCCUAGUUGAAUUGUAAAGAUUGAGGGUUUUUUAUUAUUUGUGAAUGCUAGGAGUUCACAUGUACAAGUUGUACCACUCGUCUUCUAGUUGGUGGAAUGAAUAGUGAGUUGCUUUUAUCACUUGGUUAGUGGUACGAAGGUAAGUUCCUUCAUCACCGUUCAUCACAUUUCAUAACCUGGUUGGUGGCACGAAGAUGAGUUCUUUCUUCACCCGGUUGGUGAUAAGAGUGGCAAGUUGCCAAAUAAUAUUAGAGUACGGGUUGUACAUUUCAUCACCUGGUUGGUGGCAUGAAGGAGAGUACAGGUUGUACAUUUCAUCACCUGGUUGGUGGCAUAAAGAUGAGUUCCUUAUUCAACUAGUUGGUGAUAAGAGUGGCAAGUUGCCAAAUAAUAUUAAAGUACGAGAUGUACAUUUCAUCACCUGGUUGGUGGCAUGAAGAUGAGUUUCUUCUUCACCUGGUUGGUGAUAAGAGUGGCAAGUUGCCAAAUAAUAUUAGAGUACGGGUUGUACAUUUCAUCACCUGGUCGGUGGCAUGAAGGAGAGUACAUGUUGUACAUUUCAUCACCUGGUUGGUGGCAUGAAGGAGAGUACGGGUUGUACAUUUCAUCACUUGGGUUGUGACACGAAGGUGAGUUCCUUCAUCACCUAGUUGGUGAGAAUAAGGGCAAGGUGCCGAGACACAUUGUAAUAAGUGUCGAAUGACACAAAGUAUGUUAAACCCUUUCGAAACACAGUUGGCUUAUGUAUGAAUGUGUUGGAAUGUAUGAUAUUUAUGUAUGAAUGUAUUGGAAUGUAUGAUGUUUAUGUAUGAAUGUAUUGGAAUGUAUGAUGUUUAUGUUGAUUGAUAUGAGUGAUGCUUAUGAAUGUUUUACUAUGCAUGAAGGAAUCCAUGCUUUCGAUAUGUGAACCAUGUUGGUUGUAACACUUAGUAUCACUUACUUUGUAUCAAAGUACGCAUGUUGGAGCUCUGAGUUGGAGUAUAGAGGUAGGUCAGCGUAGAUCAAGUGUUCCAAUGCUAGGAAUGCAAAAGACUCAGAAGAAGUUGUCUGAAUUCUCUCUUCUUUAAAUAUUUGCCGAAUGGCUUGUGUGACAAAAGAUUUCAAGCGGUUGAGGGUUAAAACAUUUGUAAUGUGUAUGCCUUCUUAUAAUAGCAUUUCCUUCAGUACCUAGUCUUCCACUUUGAAAGGGUGAGGCUUGGCCCCAUAGUCAUAAUAGUCGACGGUACGUUCAUCCCUGGUUGUCUUGAUACAAACUUUUAUCCCUCUUGUUGUAAUGAGCUUGCUGAGAGUAAAAUCCUUCCUCUUACCAAGAGACGAAUACGUUUGGUGACUUAACGAGUAGCUAAAUGAGGCAGGAGAGGAUGCAAUAGGUGUUUGAAUGGCCAAUAUCUCCUCACUUGGUAGAAAUGAGUAACUAAAUGAGGCAGGAGAUGAUGUAAUGGGUGUCUGAAUGGCCAAGAUCUCCUCACUUGGUAGAACUUGACUUCCAUUUCCCACUUGUUGAUAGGGGUUAACCAUAUGGGGAUUCCCUUGGUAUGUCCUUACCUCGGCAAAUGCAUGAUUGUAAGCUUGCAUCAUUACCUCAGAGUAAGUCUUCCAAGUGUUAGCAUUCAUCAUGUACUUGAAGAAGCAUUCAUGCAUGCCUACCGUGAAGGCCUUGAGUGCUGUUUUAUCAUCUACCUCAGCACAAAGAGAGUACUCAUAGCAGAAGUGACCGGCAUAUUCAUGCAAUGACUCAUUUGAUUUCUGACGAAUAAUGUAUAUCUCAUCAGCGGAGUGUACACGAUCAACUUGGAAGAUGUGUUGAGCCACGAAAAGUCUCCUUAGCUCAGCGAAGGAAUCCACAGUAUUAGGUCGAAUACGACAAUACCAAUUAAGAGCUCCACUAGAGAGAGUUGGGGGGAAUAUGAGAAAUCAUUCCUCAUCAUUGUGUCUUCGGUAUGCCAUGUAUAUUCAAAGAGGUAUAUAUGCUCAAUCAGAUCUUCCCUCCCAGUAUAAGAUUGCAAGCCUAUCUUUUGUUUCGUUUCUCCUUGUAGAGGGGUGCUAAAGAUUAUCUUUGUAAGAGAGCCGGGCCUUGGUUGAUCUUAUCCAGGGAUUUGGGCAUGACGCUCAGCCUUUAGCAUGUUCAUCUCUUCGAGGAGAUGCAGGAUAAAAGGGUCAUGAGUGAAGUCAGGCAUCAUUAGAACUCUCAUUCGCAAGUUUUCCUCAUCCCUUGGAAAUAUGGAAGUUUAGUCAAAGGCAUGUGGCUUUUUCUUAGAUUCACCGUACUGGCUUUCGAGAUGUGUCGUUUGGAAGUCCCCCGAGUCUCCUUCACCUUCUUGUCCCUCCAAAGCAUGUGGUUCCUUUCUUGGAUUAGGCGUUGGCCUACGUUGUGGUAGAGGACCGAGCUCUUCAAUGACUCUUGGGUCUUUGACCCUUGAGCCUAUGUGGAUAAAAUUUUCUCGACGCUGUCUUAGGAAGUCUCGACGGUCACGAUAAACGGCUCUUGAUCUUUCCAUUCCUUCUGCAAGAACGUGCCUUCCUCCAGUUCUCAUACUUCGGGUCGAAACAGCUGGGUUGAGAGAAGUCUCAUGUUAAUCGACAUUUCAAUGAGUAGCUUGCUCCUCGUUAGGAAUACCCAUGUCGAAGGCAAGUGCCCCUCGGUGUUGAGGGGCACCCAGUUGAUAGUUGACUUCCACGGGGGUGAUGAACUCGUGUGUUUGAGUAUGCCUAGCCUCAUGGAGCUUCUCAUACUGCUCCUGGAUGACCUUGUUCUUCAUUGCUAUUUUGUUGUUCUGAGCCUCAAACUCUUCGACUUUAGCUUGAAUAGUGAAUUUCUUUCGCUGCCUUACACUAGGCGCGAUGAGGGUGUCGUUCUGUGUGUUAUGACUUCCUUUGCAUGGUCAAAAGAGAGUGUACGAAUGGUGGAAACCAGCUUGACAAAGCUGAAGAGAGUAUAAAUAAGUGUGUUUCCCACAGACAGCGCCAAAUGUUGAUGCACAAAAUCAGCGAGGACUUUGGUACAACAGAAAGUAUUAAGUUUGUGACUUUCGCUAGAUUGCUCUGGUCACUAGUGUGGAUAAGUAUGUAAAUGGAUAGAGACAGGGAAGCAAACACAAGAUGUACGUGGUUCACCUAGAUUGGCUACAUCCAUGGAGUAGAGGAGUUCUCAUUAAUUAUGAAGGGUUUACACAAGUACAUAGGUUCAAGCUCUCCUUUAGUAAGUACUAGUGAAUGAUUUAGUACAAAUGACAUUAGGAAAUAUUGUGAGAAAAUGAUCUCCUUUUAUAGAAGAGAGUUUCUAGCUUUGUUCUGACUUUGACACGUGUCGUGCUGUGAUUGGCCUCUGAUGUUGACACGUGUCGCGCUAUGAUUGACCUCUGAUGUCAACACGUGUCACACUGUGAUUGGCCUUCUGGUUGGAGGAAACUCUUGUGGAUCCUUGACGGUAUAACGUUGACCGGUGCUCAUUAGUUUCGGGAUUGAUCAAGUAUGGUACAAACACACCUUAUUGUGCCUUUAUUUAUAGUAGUAGGGAAGGUUAGUUCCUUAUCCUUUUAGGAUUAGAACUCUUAAUACGUAAUCAACUCCUAAUAGGGAUAUAAGAGAUAUUCCAAGAUCUACUAGGAUUUACACAAUCACAUCCCUAAUCUAAUAGGACUGUAACCCUCAUCUUUGAGUGUGUAAAUACUCAAGUAAAUGGCGCAUCAGGUCUUCAACGAUGAAGUAAGUACAGUUGAUGAAGUCGUCGACACAAUGAGCAAAUGCGAGUCUCAAAUCAACGGAAGAAUGCAUAAAAUAAAAUAAAAAAACUCACAAAACCUCGCUAUGAUAAAACCCAAGAUAAGAGAAAAACUCAUAGACUAAGGAGAAAAGUGAAAAGUUGCAUUAAGUCAAAACUAUACGUCUUUUGGACGCAAGUAGAAGAGCUCACAAUGGUAUGAUCAGCCCAGGAUGGGCGCCUCAUUAAAACCUAGUUAGCUAGCAAAAACCUAGAGGGAAAAAUGCUCCUAAUCGUAGAGAAAAAGAGUACAUUAAGAUCAAGUGAGUAUACUUCUGGAUACUCCUCUGAGUUUGACAUAACUUCCAAAUGAGAACAACAAGCAUUGCAUAUGAUAGUUAGGCAUAUCAAUUCCUCGGACAAUCUUCUGGAAGGCUGACUUCGGCAGUGACGUUGUGUAGAGGAUGACAAGGUUGUCUGGGAAACCACAUAAAAGCUUAAACUCCGGGUCAUUAGGCUCGCCAAAAAGGCUUAGCUGCCAUGAAAAGAAAGAGAUAGAUGCAACACUUGUCAAUAUUUAUGUACAGACAGAUGAUCUAGCAUCUGUUUUACAUUCCAAAGAUUGACAAGACCAACACAAGAAGUAGAACAAGAUAGCACAUAGACUUUUUUUUUUUUUCAAUCGAGCAACGGAAAGUACCUCAACAACCGCCCGAAGCAACCACUGGCAUUGGUCAUCAGAAAUGCCAUGACCCAUUACACUUGCAUGAAAAUUUGAAUGAUAAAAAACCAUAGAACCUUCGUUUGGAUAUCUCACGGCAACCUUGUCACACUCACUAGGACAUAACUCAUAGAAAUAUUACAUGUUAUUAGCUAGUUACAAUAAUUAUGUAUUAGAUAGCGAGAAAAUUAUUAUUAUUCUAGGCAUUGAAGCCCCAACAACAAGCACAAGCAGUGUACAAAACUAAAUUACAAGGGCGCCGUUUAUAUUUACUCCUUGUGCCAGAUAAAGCAGAGUAAGUGGACUAGGGGUACUGCAAAUUAAGAAGAAAAAACAUAAAUGACUAUAAAAAAAGAUUGAAAGACUGUUUCAAAUCUGAUCAAACAAAUCAUCUCAUAGAUUGACAUAUUAUUUAAACAAUUGAAUUCCUAGCGUAAUUACUCACCAGUGGAAAUGGAACUCGAACGUGAACGGGAACUAGAAGAACUAAAACGAGCCAUAAUUCUGGUUCGAGAAUUCCACAAGCAUUUUAAAUUUAAAAUUGAUCACUGGAGAUGCUAACCCUUAAAUCUCAAAACUGAUCACUGGAGAUCAUUGUACAAUGUACAGUGAUCAACCGGUUCAUUGUACAAUGUACUAUUUAUGUAACAAAUCAUAAUGUAACGAAGGCAGCCAUUAUGGACGCUAUUCAUGUAACAAAACUGAGAUCGGACAUCUUCGACACUAGCAAAAAACAUAAAUCAUAAUGUAAUAAAGGCAGCCAUUAUAGAUGUUAUUCAGGCAUGCGUUGAUACUCAUAACCGUGUUCACUUAUCCAUAUUAUAUUUGAAUAUGAAUGAGGAUAAAUGGUUGAUACUCAUAACUGUGUUCACUUAUCCAUUAAAUUUUAAAAGGAUGAAACUUUUAAGGCUAAACUGCCAAUUUGCCCCCAAAACUAUCACUUGACUUUCGAUUUCCUCCCUGAACUUUUUAAUUGGAAAAUUAAGGACUUAAACUUUUUUUUUUUGCCUAUUUCCCCCCUACCGUUAAUUUUUCAUAGAUUUCAUCCAAAAUAAUGUUAACUCUUAUCACGUGUAUACCACGUGACUCUCUUUUGUGGACAAAAAACGUUACUUCGCUAGACUUUCAGACACAAAAGCUAUAGAAUCACACAUAUUUGCAUAUGUUUAUAUUUUAAAAAUCUAAAGUUUUCAAUUAUUUUAAAGAAUGAAGCGACCGAACUAUUCUCACAUGUUGUGCACAUGCUUCUAUCGAAAGCCAAGUGAUAGUUCAGGAGGUAAAUUAGCAGUUUAGCCUAUUAUGAUUAACCGAGUGGGAGACUUAACCCACUCACACAUGCCUUUAAUGUAGAUAAUAUCCUUGUUACAAAAAACGAUUAUUUGUGCUAUGCGAUAUGGCCUAAUUAUCUCCCGUAACUGUUAGAAUUUAAAAUGAAAAAUUUAUAAUAUUUUAUGGAUACCGAUACCGGCCCGGCCCGCUUGGCCCAUGAAACAAAGUACUAUCUUUAAAAUCCGAGGCACCUUUUCCCCUUUCACUUUAGGGUUUGUGUUCAAUGUCCGCGGAAAACUCCAAAGCCGAAGCCUCGCUCAUUCUUUCUCUGUGGGUAUGAAAAUUCAAAAUUCAACCUCUUACUUUGUUUGUUUUAAUUUUUAUGAUUUUUUUUUCUAAAUUUUUUCUUUCUGUUUGCUUUGGAUCUCAAUAUCUCAAUGCUUACCCGUUGGUUAGGGAAUUUAACAUGUAAUUCACAAAUACACAGAGGCAGGGGAUUUUAAAAUAUAUUCCCAGAACCCUAAUUUGGGGUUGUUUUUAUUUUUAUUUUUUACCGUUCGUAUGUUUCAUACUUUAUGGGAUAACAAGAUUUAUUAUUGGGCGUGGACAAUUUAAAUUCAGCCUCAGUAAGAUCGAUCUUUUGUAUUCACUUUGGAUUAUGCAGCUUGUUGUGUCUUAUGCUCGCUUAAAGUUAGCUUUCGUUCAUCGGUUUGGACUCCAUAGUAAUCCAAUUGAGCCGAGGGCUAUGGUUUUGUUGUCAUACACGUUUUGGGAUAUAUCUGGAAUCCUACACCAGUAGUUUGAUGAUCACGCCGAGUACCCCAAAUUGUUUUUAACUAAAAUUGUUAGCAUGCGAUGCGAGUUUGAUAUCUAUUGUAAUUGCCGGUCCUUGCGAUCAGUUUUGAGAUUUAAGGGUUAGCAUCUAAUUAUGUCAUGUCUUUGUCGCGGGAUUGAAUCGUUUGGAACAGUUUUCUGUUUCCAUUUAUAUUCUCGUUUUGUUUCAGUAUGUAAGCCUUUGUCUUAUCUCGCAGGAACUAAACUUUAAUUUGUAAACUUUUAGUUGGGACGGCUUGUCGAAUUCUCAAACCAAAAUUAUGGCUCGUUAUUAUACUUCCCGUUCACGUUGGAGUUCACGUUGGGGUCCACGCAGGGGUUCAUGUUCGAGUUCCAUUUCCACUGGUGAGUAAUUACGCGGGGAUUUCGAUUGUUUAAAUAAUAUGUCAAUCUGUGAGAUGAUUUGUUUGAUUAGAAUGAAACAGCCUUUCAAUCUUUUUUUUUAUAGUCAUUUAUGCUUUUUCUUCUUAAUUUGCAGUACCCCAAUCCACUUACUCUGCUUUAUCUGGCAAAAGGAGUAAGUAUAAACGGCGCCCUUGUAAUUUAGUUUUGUACGCUGCUUGUGCUUUUUGGGGCUUCAAUGCCUAGAAUAAUAAUAAUUUUCUCGCUAUCUAACACGUAAUUAUUGUAACUAGCUAAUAACAUGUAAUAUUUCUAUGAGUUAGGUCCUAGUGCUUGUGACGAGGUUGCGGUGAGAUAUCCAAACGGAGGUUCUACGGUCUUUUAUCAUUCAAAUUUUCGUCCAAGUGCAAUUGGUCGUGGCAUUUCUGAUGACCAAUGCCAGUGGUUGCUUCGGGCGGUUGUUGAGGUACUUUCAGUUGCUCGAUUGAAAAAAAAAAAAAAAAAAGUCUAUGUGCUAUCUUGUUCUGCUUCUUGUGUUGGUCUUGUCAAUCUUUGGAAUGGAAAACAGAUGCUAGAUCAUCUGUUUCUACAUAAAUAUUAACAAGUGUUGCAUCUAUCUCUCUCUUUUGAUGGCAGCUAAGCCUUUUUGGCGGGCCUGAUGACCCGGAGUUUAAGCUUUUCCGAGGUAGCCUAUGGAAAGAGUGUGGCAUUGAGGUGGAUGUUGAGAAUGGUUCGUCCAAGAAUGAUUCGACUUGCGCUAGUUCGGCUCAGGAUUGAAUAAAGAUGAAGAAUAAAUGUGUGAUUUUGGACCUUGGUGCCGACUAGUGCGUGUAGUUAGCUUUGUUUAUAAAAGUAGUAAAUCCACAUGCAAAAAGGACCAAUUUGCUUUGGAUUAAGGUUAUGUUGGGAGCUAUCUAUGGACUUUACUCAUAUGAUCUGAUAUCAGCUAUUCCUCAUUUUUAAGUCUCCUAUAAUUUAACUUGAAAAUAUCAUUUAUUCUUCAAGUCGUAUUUCAUUUCUUGAGUAUUAUCAUAUAUAUUUAUGAAACAAUGAGCAUUAGGAGAAGAAUGCAUUACCUGCGCAAAAUCAACUUUGGUAAAAAUCUCAACUUUUUGCUUUAAGGAAAACAGGCAUUUGGCCUUGGUUGUUUAUUUAUGAGCCAUUUUUGGGUGGUCGUACACACAUUUGGCUCACUAAUGGAUAAUGGCGUUGAGAAGGAAAAGAGGGGUGUAUGAUGAGCAAUUGAGCCAACUGAAUUUGCAGCUGGAAUCCACUCCUAUUCAAAGUUUGGAGCCUGACUAGACCCGGCAUUUUGGAUCCGAUCUGUUAACCUGAUCCAAUCCGUUAAUAUUAGUAUUUAAGUGGAUGCUUAACAGGUCGGGUCGUUAACAGGUGAACCCGUUAAAUAACGGGUCACUUUGGGUCAACACGUUAGCAUCCGUUAGUUGAUGAUGUUUUAGUAAUUUCAGUAAAGUCUUAACAACAAAAAAUAAACUCUGUGCAAAUAAUAAUAAUAAUAAUAAUAAUUGUUAACGGGUGAAAUUGAUGAUCUGUUAACUUAACGGGUCGGGUUCAGGUGACCUGUUAACUUAACGGGUCGGAUUGAACUCAACCCAAACCUAAUAAAUCCGACCCGUUUACAGGUCUAAGCCUGACAAAUUGUUGCAAGCUUUUAAGGCAAAGUUUUACCAAGUUUUACAAAGUUCUAACUUCAGGAACUUCCUUUUUCUUUCUUGUUUAACUUUUUGUGAAAUUAUUUCCUUUAAAACAGCCAAGUUACAUGUGCAUCUAUCUCACAACAAUUUGGUUUGGAGCAACAAGCGCCUGUAAAUCAUGUGUCUUGGAUUAUCUAAUAAAUCAUUAAAGCUUAAUUACAGAUGCAACAACGGCAAAGUAAACCUUAAUUACAUCCGAGGCAAAGUAAACCGUAAGUCAUCUAAAUGUAUCAAAACAAAUUAACAGUUUAUCAUGAAUAUGAUAUUUGGUACCUACACCGUUGAUUUAUUCAUAUAUUUGGAUGACUACAUGAUUCCUCAUUCGAAUAAAUUUUUUGCAUGGAUGAUCUUCAAAUAAAGGUUGCGAGAUUAAACAGUUCCAAUUAUGAAAUUUACUGGUUGAAGAUAUUAUUACAUUUGCAAGUUGGGAUUCACUGUAUUCCUGUUCAAAGCAAACAUUCCAUUUUUGAGAUAUAUUUUGAAUUUCUACUACUCUGAUUUAUAUGAUUAUGUUCUUAUCACUUCCAAGUUUGUACUAGUUGUUUGACAUGAUAAGCAGUGCAGUUAUUUCGGCAUUAGAUCCACUUAUAUAGGUUGGCAUUCGGUCAUUUAUCUGAACAUCGACCACAAGAUGCUUGGCAAAGUUGAGUUGCAAACACUAACCUUCCUAGAAAUAAAAGUUAGUGCAUGUGCAUAGCUCACAUCCAGCUUGCCAGUUGUCUCAGACUCAUCUCGCAGCAUUGAAUAGAUAUCACCGACAGGAUCCCCCGGCCAGAUUCUGGCGAUCAUCUGAGUACAAAGAGAACUUCGACAUAUGCAUCAGCCUUAAUGCCUCAUCCACAUCAGAUUGAGCCACAGUUUCAGAAUGUCGGAGUCUUGCCUGUAAGCAAAAGAAGUUAGUUUGUCUGUUGAGCAACCCAUCCAACAAACCCAGAAAAUCUCUUUUAUCUAUAAUACCCAAAAAUAGUAUAUGGCAUUUGUUAAAACUAGAUUUCCAUGCAAGAUAUUUCUUCCUCUACUUAUGGAUGGCAUUUCUUGAGCAAACCAUCAAAUGGGUAAAAUGUGGCACGAACAACAUACUCAUACAUAAUUUACCCCUUUACAAUUCCAACCUACACUACUACAAAAGGACCUUAUAGUGUCAGUGGAUGGUGUCGGUUUAAUCUAAUAUAGUAGCGAAUAAGAUAGUUGCGACACUAACUAAACAUGACGUCGGAUUUACUGUCGCUUAUAACCGUCAUAAAAUACUGGUGUCGCUUUUAAACCGACAUACACAUACAUUGUAAUAUUUUAAAUACUGGUGUCGCUUUUAAGCGACAUAAAGUAUGAGUGUAGGGACAAACGAUUGGAAGAGCUUUUUCAGUCAGUGUUGGUGUCGGUUUUAACCGACGCAAAAGUUUCCUUAUUCUGACGCCACAUCCAAGUGCACUGACAUGUCAGGCUCACGUCGGUUUGAACCGACGCAAACUUGUCCUAUUUCGAGGCCACCUGCUACGACUGUCAAGUCCGUCAGGGACACGUCGGUUUUAACCGAUGCAAACUUGUCCUUAUUUCGACACCACACAAACUUGUCCUUAUUGUUUUUAAAUAUUUUAAAGCGUGCGUCGGUUCUGAGCGACAUAGAUUUUAGUUUUUUUUUAAAUAUUCUAAAACCCAGUGUCAGUUGUAAGCAACAUAAUGAUGAUCUUUAUAUACUCACCCCCGUGUUUUUUUCUUCCUCUCUUGCAUUUUUCUUAUUUGUUCUUCCAAUUUCAAACCCUCCCCUUGUUUUCUCUCUUGCACCUUUCUUAUUUGUUCUUCCUACUUCAUUUGUUCCGUCUUCACAACAAUAAGUGUUUCUUUCUUCUAAUAUUUUUAUUUUCUCCACUUAUGUUUAAUUUUUAUGUACAAUUUAUUUUUGUAGGGAAUUUAUUUGAGCUGGUUGAGUACAUAAAGAUUUGAUCGACGACGGAAUUCUUCCAUAAUUCAGGUUUCUAUCACUAAAUUCUUUAAUUUUUAAAUUGUAUAAUACACAAGUUUAUUUAUUUAAAAGUUCUAAUUUAAGUAGUUAGAUAAAUUUCUACUAUUUUUGUUAAAUUAAUAAAUAUUUAGUCAAAUUAAUUAAUUUUGUCACUUGAAUUGUUAUGAGAAAAUGGAAAUGAAUAAUAGUUAUAAGCGUUUAUGUGAAAUUGACAUAUUAAAUAUAACAUAAACUUAUAAUAUUUAGUAAUAUAAGAAUAUAUUAUGCUAAAUUAAUUUGUUUUGCACUCUAAUUGUUAUUUUAAUUUGUUGUUAUUUUAAUUUGUUUUUGUUGUUAUUUUGAUAACUUUGAUAACUUUUGGUUGUUAUUUACUAAAAUGGAUUAGAUGAGCAUAAUUUUGAUAACUUUUUGUUGUUAUUUUAAUUUUUUUUACUAUAAUAGAUGUUGAAAAUUAAAAGAUUGCAAUUGUGAUAUAGUUCGAGGGUUGAAAGAUAGAAAUUGAAAAUUCUAAUAGUUAUGCCUACAUGAUAGAGAUUGAAAGAUUGUAGACAUCUUAGUGUCAACGUAAUAUUUUGUCCUCGUAAAGUGGUAAAACAUGGACAGGAGUUGGUUGACGAUAACUCGAAAUUUGGAAGCUUAUACAGCUGGAAUUAAUUUGUUUUUGGACCAAGCAGUUGCAAAUGGUGUUGGCCCUGAUAAGUUUAGAUGUCCUUGCAAAAGAUGUUGUAAUCGAUAUACUUUUGUUAGGAACACCGUUGUUGAACAUCUCAUAUUGUAUGAUAUGGAUAAAGAUUAUAAAAACGCUUGGUGGCGACAUCAUGGUGAGAAAAACAUUGGAAAGCAAAAUAUUGGUGGCGACAUCAUGGUGAGAAAAACAUUGGAAAGCAAAAUAUGGCAAUCAGAGAAGAAGAAACAGGAGAUGAGGUGGCUAGUAUGCAUGAUUUUCUUAAUGAUGUAUUUGUCCAACCAUUAACAGAAGAAGGUGUUGGGCCGUCUACUGAACCCCCUAUUGGGGAUGGGCAUUCAGAAGAGGUGGAGACUUUUUUUAGGUUGCUUGAAGAGGCAGAUCAAGAUUUAUGGCCAGGAUGUAAAAAGUUUAAGGAAUUUGAAGCAGUUGUAAGACUAUAUUAGAUCAAGUGUUUAGCGGGAAUGCCAAACGAGAUGUUCACCACUUUACUGGAGUUAAUUAAAAGAAUGUCGCCUAAAGGGGAUUGUUUUCCGGAAUCCUGUUAUAAGGCAAAAAAACUUAUAAAUGACUUGGGUCUGACGUAUGUGAAAAUUGAUGCAUGUCCCAAUGAUUGCAUGAUCUAUUGGAAAGAUACUUCGAAGUUGACCGUGUGCUCAGUUUGUGGUGAAUCAAGAUAUAAAAUUACCAACGCAGAGGAUAGCUUGAGAAAAAAGAUCGCAGCUAAGGUUAUGUGGUAUUUUCCUUUAAAACCACAAUUGCAACGAUUUUUUAUGUCGAAGCAUACGGUUGAACAUAUGAGGUGGCACGCAAUUGAAAUGUCCUAAGGAUAAGUUUAUGAGGCAUCCUUCAGAUUCUCCAGCAUUGAAGCAUUUGGAUAAUUUAUAUCCGGAUUUUGCGUCAGAAAUUCGAAAUGUCAUAUUAGGGUUGGCCAGUGAUGGAUUUAAUCCUUUUGCGAAAAUGAGGCAUGACCAUAGCACAUGGCCUGUGGUGCUUUCUGUUUACAAUUUACCGCCCUUGAUGUGCAUGAAGCAACCAAAUUUGUUGUUGUCUCUAUUAAUACCAGGACCGCGCAGUCCUGGUAAAGAUAUUGAUGUAUACAUGCGUCUACUGAUUGACGAGUUGAAUGAGUUAUUGGAGGUGGGCACUCCCACUUAUGAUGCAUAUUCCAACCAAAGUUUUACAAUGAAGGUUGCCGUCUUAUGGACUAUAAGUGAUUUUUCGGCUUAUGGAAUGUUGUCAGGAUGAAGUACACACUAUGUGGCCAGCCCUAUCGCUGGGUUCCAGACACUUUACUGCUUUGGCAUGAUCGAAUAGGACAACUUGGACGAGAUAUUAUGCGCCAUAUCCUCAAAGCAUCUCAUGGACAUCACUUGAAAUCUUAUCCCAGCCAUCCGUUUUGCAAAGCAUGUUCCCUGGGGAAGUUGAACACUUAACCUUCAAUUACCAAGAUUAUUCACGACCCCCCUAAAUUUCUUCAGAGGAUUCAAAGGGAUAUUUGUGGACAUAUCCAACCAAUGUGCGGACCAUUUAGAUAUUUUAUGGUGUUGGUUAAUGCAUCGACACGAUGGUCACAUGUCUGCUUACUGUCCACACGCAAUGCUGCAUUUGUGAAACUCCUAGCAUAAAUUAUUAAGCUUAGGGCUCACCACCCCAAUUAUCCGAUCAAGUCAAUUCGACUGGAUAAUGCUGGAAAGUUUACGUCACAGACCUUUGACGAUUAUUGCAUGUCUGUUAGGAUUGAAGUUGAACACCUUGUACCCCAUGUUCACACCUAAAACGGUCUGGCAUAAACUUUCAUAAAGUGCCUUUAAAUGAUAGCUUGGACUUUGGUUAUGAGAACCAACUUGCCGGUAUAUGCCUGGGGUCAUGCAAUAUUGCAUGUAACUAUAUUGAUCCGCUUGAGGCCCACCAUUACCCAACCCCAUUCACUGUUAUAGUUGGUUAUUGGAUACGAGCCUAACAUCUCGCAUUUACAUGUGUUUGGAUGUGCAGUCUAUGUGCCAAUAGCGCUGCCACUACGUACCAAAAUGGGUCCUCAGAGAAAAAUGAGAAUCUAUGUUUGUUAUGAUUUGCCAUCAAUUAUAUGCUACUUAGAGCCAUUGACAUGAGAUCUCUUUACCGCAUGUUUUACGGAUUGUCACUUUGAUGAGACAAUCUUCCCGUCGUUAGGGGGAGAUAAGAUCACUAAUGUUUCUAUAGAAUGCCGCGAAUUGUCGUAGAAUACUCCCAAUCGUACGCCGUAACAUCACCAUGGAAGGCCGAACCAUCCCCAAGGGUGGGGUGGCCGCACCUGCCACACGGUAGGGUACACUGGUGGCUAGCCAAUCACUUGCUCCUACCCUAAAGCAUGUUAGGCCUCCUAGUUCAAAGGAUUCACAACCCGAAAGAGGAAAUUGGCACAAACUAGUGAACCUAGUAUGAAUCCAACCAUUGCUUACUCAUUCGUUCCAACGUAUAAGGUUAUUCUAGAUUACAGUGAUGUUUUAUGAAACAUGAUGACCUCCUAUAAUCGUGAUAUUUCGGUCCAUUACGCAGUUUUGGAUGAGGUUUGGAAUCCGAAUUAGAUGAUAGUCGAUGAUGCAUUCGUGUAUACCGUUGCUUCCGACAUCAUGUUUAGCGAUGACAUUGAACCACGGUCCAUUGAUAAAUGUCGACGUAGAAUGGAUUGGUCAAACUGGAAACAAGCAAUCCAGGUCAAACUUGAUUCACUAGCAAAACGUAAGGUGUUGGGGCUACAAAUGGGUUUUCUUGAGGAAGCAUAAUGAGAAGAAUGAAAUAGUAAGAUACGAGGAAAAAAAAAAUAGUACGAUACAAAGCACGCCUCGUAGGGCAAGGCUUCUCUCAACGCCCUGAGAUUGAUUGCGAAGAAGACGUUGAUGAGUCGAUAUUAUACCAUAUAUUUUACCCUAUUCUUAAUUAUAAUUUAUUAGUUUAUUUUGGUGAAUUUUUGAUACUUUGUUAUGUAUUUUUAAUAUAGGACAUUUGACUUCCUCUGGAGAAAGGUGAUCAAACGGAUUAAUUUUGGUGUGAUUCCAAUUGGAGGAUGUUCGUGAAUCUUUCAAGAGGAUUGUAUCAAAAUUCCAGAUUUUUUCUACCAAGCCAUUUGACCGUGGCGAUGAAAAGAAGACCCAGCGCGCAGCUUUCCCAGAUUGACGUUUCUGGACGUUUUGGGGAUUUUGGAGGUCAAGAUAGUAUAUUUUGAGGAAUAUUCCUUCUGAGGAUUUGUAGAUGACGUUUCAAGCUUUCAAAAGAGACCUUUUAGGACCAAAUCAAAGUUUAUUUGGUCAGUCAAAAGACUAAUUUUCUGAGAACUCCGAAUUUCAGUUUAAAUAGGAAACCUUUUAUUUUCUGUUUUAUUAUUUUAUUAUUAUGUUUCCUAGUUUUAUUCUAAGACCUUUUCUAGGUAGGAUUUUAUUUGAUAGUAGUAUAAAUAAGACUUUUUAGCCAUUAGAUCAGGGGGAGACGCAUUAUUUUGGAGACCUACUUUUUACCUAUAAGGUGUUUUCAUUCUUUUUUCUAUUUAAUAUAUUUUCUUUAGUUUUUAUUAUGAUUGUUCAUAACUAAUUUCUUUUGCUAGGGCGAAGCCACGAGCUUUAGCAUGAAUAUGUGAUUUUAUUAAUAUGCUUAUGAAUGGAUGCAUGCUUGCUUUGAAUUAUUAAUUACCGCGAUUAAACUAUCUAAUUGUCUAAGUGAUUCGCGACCAUUAGGAUUUUUAGACAAGUAAUUUGAUAUAAUUUAUGUUGGAACAUCACCCUGAAAUUGAGGAGGGCUUCUUGUGAUUAGUAAUUGUAAGUUCACUUAAGGCGAACAUCACGCUUUUAAGGAUUGCAUGGUUUUUCAAAUGGUUUUCACAAAACUUAAUGAGUCUUGCAUGUUUAUAUUUGAUCUGAACAUCACAGAUGGGUUGCAUGUUAGAUAUACGUUUUCGCUUGAACAUCAUGAGGAAAAUAUGCAUUAGGGAAACCUAACCUUAAAAGCAUGUAUGUGGAAAUUCAUAAGUAAUUGGUAAAUUUGCAUAGGAUUGUUAAUGGUGACGGCAGAACCCUAGUGUUUAAAUUGUUUUCCAAAACCGUUUUCUUUUGCUUUCUUUACUUUGUUGAUCUAUUUAAUUGUCUUUAUAUUAAAUUCGUUUUUAUUAUUUUUUAAAUUCAAAAUCAACUUUUUUCAAUCUUUGUUUUCAAAUAUUUAGCUAAGAAUUAGUUUAAAUACAUAUUAUUCAUUCAAUCCAUGCAGAAAACGACCUUAUUUGAGCCGUUUAUACUACAACUACCUUGUUAUCUUGCAAGUAUUUUGAAGUGUUUUUAUUCAUACUUUUGCAGGUGGUAAAAAUCUUAAAAAUCCUAUCUGACAUAUUCCCACUUAAUGGACAUCAUAACGUUCCGCUACCGUAUCAGUUUGGUAGUUUCCAAAAAUCUGAACAUGCAACUUAUGGACGUGGUAACCGCGUAUCUUUAUGGGGCUCUAGAUACGGAAAUGUACAUGAAAGUUCCAGAAGGACUUCCAUUAGCUGGUUCAAAUAAUUCUAGACCACGCAACACUCUCUCGAUUAGAUUGAGGAGGUCACUUUACGGAUUGAAACAAUCCGGGGGGAUGUGGUAUAACCGUCUAAGUGAGUAUUUGACAAGUCAGGAUUAUGUGAACAACGAACUAUGCCCGUGCGUGUUCAUUAAGAAGUUAUAUUUUGGAUUUGCAAUCGUUGUAGUUUAUGUCGACGACAUGAACCUUAUUGGAACUUUUGCAUAGCUUAAGGAAAUUGCAGUGCACUUGAAAUAGGAAUUUGAGAAGAAAGAUCUUAGGAAAACUCGAUAUUGUCUCGGCCUGAAGAUCGAGCAUUGUUCGGAUGGAAUCCUAGUACAUCGAUCGAACUACACCUAGAAGGUGUUGCGUCGUUUUAAUAAGGAUAAAGCGAAGCCCUCAAGUGCUUCUAUGGUCGUUCGAACUUUAAAUGCUAAACGAUAUCCCUUCCGUCCGAAGGAGGGUGAGGAAGAGAUUUUGGAGCCUGAAGUUCCAUGCCUAAGUGCAAUUAGUGCUUUAUUGUACUUGGCUUAAUGCACUAGACUCGACAUCUCCUUCACUAUUAAUCUUUUGGCUAGAUAUAACAAUGCGCCUACAAGUAGAUACUGGAAUGGUGUUAAAGACGUUUUCCGCUACCUUAAGGGUACAACAUAUUUGGGCUUGUUUUACACCCACAAAUCCAUGAGAGAAGAUGUUGCUCCCCUCGAUCAUCGGGUUGAUUCGCGCCUCGUUGGUUACACAAAUGUUGGUUAUUUGUCUGACCCUCAUAGGGCACAUUCUCAAACGGUUUUUGUCUUUACCAUUGGAGAUACUGCUAUAUCUUGGAGUUCUACCAAGCAAACGCUAGUUGCAACUUCUUCGAACCAUGCUGAGAUUCUCGUCCUGAAUGAAGCCUUGCGAAAGUGUUUUUAGCUGAGAGCAGUUAUGGAACAUAUUCGAAAACACUAGUGGUCUUUCUUCAGUCGUUGACCUUUCUACAACGAUCUUUGAAGACAAUGCAGCAUGUAUCGAGCAGUUAAAGAAAUGAUACAUCAAGGGAGACAAGACCAAGCACAUAGCGCCGAAAUUCUUUUAUUCUCACCAGCAACAACAACAUCAGAACAUUGAAGUCAAGCAAAUCCGUUCCCAAGACAACGUGGCCGAUCUCUUCACAAAGUCACUGCCCAAGUCUACUUUUCAGAAGCUUGUCCAAGGAAUCGGUAUGCGUAAAUUAUCUGAAUUGAAUCGCUUGUAGUCUCAUUUGUAAGUUAUGUCUAACUUAGGGGAGUAUCUUGAAGCAUACUCACUUGAUCUUAAUGUACUAUUUUUCCUACGAUUAGGAGCAUUUUUUCCACUAGAUUUUUGCUACCUAACGAGGUUUUAACAAGGCACCCAUCCUAGGAUGAUCAUACUCCGUUGAGUUCACUACUUUCAUCCCGUUUGACGUUUGUUUUAGACAUUAUGCAUACUUCUCACUUUUCUCCUUAGUCUAUGGAUUUUCCUCAUACCUUGGGUUUUACCAUAGAGAGGUUUUGUGAGUUUUACUACCAAUGCAUACUUACGUUUAUUGUAUCUGAGACUCACGUUCACUCUGUAUGCCAACGACUUCAUCAACUGUUCUACCCCAUUUGCUGAAGACCUGAUGCGACGUUUUGUUUGAGUAUUUACAUAGGGUUGCAGUCCUAUCGGAUUAGGAUUGUGAUUGUGUAAAUCCUAGUAUAUCUAGGAGUAUCUUGUAGUUACCUAUUAGGAGUUGAUUACCUAUUAAGAUAUGUAAUCAUAAAAAUUCUACCUAUCAUACUACUAUAAAUAAAGGCAUAAGGCGAUGAUACAAUACACACUUCAAAAUUAAAUCUCUCAUUUUCUCUCUUGUUGCCGUUGGCCCCCUCUUCCUCUUUGUCCUUAUACAGUUCAGUCAAAUAGGUCUACAACACACUUAUUAUUUUUCUAUUUUUAGUUUAUCAGAUAAACUUACACGCACAUAUUACCUAAAUAAUUUAUUUCUUCAAGGUAAAAGGAGGAUGUGGAUGGUUUCUUUUGGACAUCUCGCCUAAUAUUAGAGUCAGUUUCUCGGCCACCAAUGAACCAAGAAAAACGAAAAAAAAUGGGAAGUCUCACAUCAGUGACAACUGGAACAUAAACAAUUUUUCUAUCCAGUAUUACUCUCGAUUUGGAAAUGUCUUCCAAUCUGGAUUUACCCCAAAAGAAAACGUUUUCAAAUCCGCUUUUAAAGUUAACCACAACUUAGCGCAAACAAAAUCUAAAUUACCGGUUGUAAAACUAAUUUAAGAUUUUGACCAGAAAAUGUUGCUAUCCAACUCUGUCUUUACAGCUAGGGAAGGCAAUACGUGCAAUGUAUCUACCUACAUAGCAUGUCUAUGAAGCUGAAUGCUGUGCAGCAGAACCAAGCCCUGCUUACCUUGAAAAAAGACUGUCAAAGAGCCAUCUGCAACCAUCUGAAAGAGCAACUGAAGAGAAUCAUCCUCAAACAAACUUUGUGCUGCCAAAGGAUGGUUUGCCAGUGCCUUCAUAACAUGCUCAUCAUUCCCUUAUACCCGCAUAAUUAUAGGUUAGAAACAAAAAGAAAGUUAAAAACAUACCAUGAACCGAUAACAUAACAAACACAAGAGCACAAUAACGUACAAGCAAAGACUAUGUUCGCGUCAGGAAUUUCCGUCGGGGAUGGUUUCCUGGCCGACGAGCACACAGCUCCCCGAGAGGUUGGCGCCGGUUGAGGGCAGCUGUCGGGCUUCUAUUUCACUAUCGGGCUUGGUCGGGCAAGUCUCGUCGGGCAAGUCUUUUAUCGGGCAAGACUCGUCAGGCAAGGCUGAAAGAGAAGGACAGAGUUAAUUUGAAAGGUGCCUUUGUGGGGCCUUAGGUGUAGGCCUUGAGGCUCACAAUCAAGAUUAACUUUGAGGUGCUCAGGCGUGCCACUGCCAUCUUUAGUAUGGCAGAUGUAGAAUGGAUGUCGUGUUUUAGUUGUAAAUAUGUAUAUACCCGAGCAACCGUGUUAGAUAUGACAGGUGCCUUUGUGGGGCUUUAGGUAUAGGCUUUGAGGCUUCCUGUCAAACUAAACCAGUGCUCGAACACAUCAUAUUCGGUCUCGUGAUUGCAGGAGUCUUUUAACUAUUAUACUUCUGAUUACCCGAGUCCGAGAAGUAGAGCGAACCCAAAUAGGUGCCUUUGUGGGGCCUUAGGUAUAGGCCUUGAGGCUUCCCAUUAGAGUUCGUUCUUAUACUCGAACAGUCUAGACCGUAAGAACGAAAUGAAUCCAAAUAGGUGCCUUCGUGGGGCCUUAGGUGUAGGCCUUGAGGCUUCCUAUCAGAAUCCAUUCCAUACUUAAGCGUUCUAUGAUAAUUAUGAUAUAAUAGAAACAAAACCAAGAGGUAGGUCGAUUACUUGCGCCCCAAGUAACUUCGGACUUCUCGUUUAUCAAGGACUGUCGUGGAUGGGUUAAGUCCACAUAAAGUUCUUUUUUAUGCCUUGAGGCCAAGGACUUUUAAACUGAUCAGAUUUACAUGCCCGAGGGCUUAGGACUUGGAUCUGAUUUGAACACUGAAGAUAUAUUCAAAUCGGAUCUAAAUACUGAGAAAGCAUUUUCAUCAUUAUUAUGCUAGAAAUAACUUGCAUAUAACUGGAAGUACACAACAUAUUGCUAGGCUUUAAAGAAUGAAAAGACAAAGACAAAGCAAAGAAGGUCGGACAAGAUUAAACCUUAUCAGUUAAGGCUGAUCGUCUUGCAGGUUCAUAUAUUUGUAGUUUUGUCAAAGGUCUGAAAGCUUAGAGGGAGAGAGGGGGAGAGGGAGAUACAGAAAGUGAAUCGAUACUACAACAAGUUCGAACAAGGUAGCAGAGCUAUUGCAAAGGUUUGAAGAGAAAAUUAUCCCGCGGGGGAUAAAGGCUUGUCCCGAAUGGGAUGAAGGCUUGGGCUGACUACAGCUUCGUUUUGAAGUCAAAUCUGGCUUUUGAGCAGAGUUUGGGCUUGCAUUUGUUUGUUUGAUUAAGUGUCCUUAUUUCUGUCUUCUCUUCCUCUUUUUAUAGACAACUCGGUUUGGCCUUCUGUAGCUGCAGCCUUGCCCGAAUGCGGUUUGAGGGUGAUGACUCAUCAGUUUUUUUACAUGUAAUGCCACCAUAAAGUACUUUAUGGGAUGUGCAGUCUGGUCAGUCUACACCACUUGGUCUUUGGGUAGGUAAGCAAGUGGUCAUUUAUGAAUUGUAUCAAGUCAGAAAAGGCCCUUUCCUGCUUUCCUAGGUUUCGGCCGGGCCUUGAUCUUCUAUUCCUCCAGGCCUCCUUUUGGGCCAGCUUCUUCCUUGAGCCCAAAGUCAAGUUUUAAUCCAAACAGUAUCUUGGUAAGGCUGGCUAACGUUCUUCACGAAGAUUUCCAUAUUUCCAAUAGCUUCGGAAAGAUCAUUCUGCAUCGCCUCUUCAACUUCACGUGCCAAGGCGUCUGCAGUCCUUUUCACCUUCUCUAUCAUCUCUUGCCGACGAGCUGGAAAUUUUGAUAUUGCUAAUAACCUAUAUCAAAGAAGAAGCAAAUAAUACACAUGAAUUAUACGUCGCAGAGGAAAGGAGUUCUGCCAUGUUUGAGCAAAACCUUGACAUUCAAGGCUCAAGCUUCAAGAAUUGAAAGAUAUCUGCAAGUAAAUGACGGCAGACACGAAUGGUCAAAUUCCAGAAUACACGUUACCCGCCAGCUGAGGCAAGACCAAGAGCAAGAAGAUCUUCUAAUGUGGUCGGCAGCACAGAUAUCAGAAGUGAAGCAGAGAUAAACCUGCCGCUCCAAGUCCACCAAAAGUUGCCAGAGACUGCAGUUGAAGCAAAAAAUGUCCAAAACAGAUUGACUUAAUCAUAACUAGUUCUUCAUCAAGAACAUCAACUUUUAGUUCAUAUUCUGUACUGAGCUUACCACUUCACGUAUUUCUUGCUCAAACAAUUUGGAAGCAGCACUGGUACUGAAGCCCUCUUUCACUUUCAAGCUGAGUUCGUUUACUUUCUUCAGCGAAUUCUCCGAAUGCACCCCACUGUACGGAUAGACAAAUGAAGGCCAACGUUUUUCAAACAUUUCUGCAUACAUCCUUCCUUCACGAGCACUAUCUGAUUGCAACCAUGUCACAUAUUCUCCAAGUUGUUUCUUUAUGACAAGAUGUUGACAUUAAACAAAAAAAAGAAGAAGAAUUAAAACCCACAAAACCAAUAGAUAAAGGAAGAAAAACAAUUAGAGAAUAUAAUUCUUUUAAUUCCUAUGCUGAACAGGAGAUGAAAUUCUGUCUUAUGAACUCAUACAGGCAUAAUCCUUGCAUAAUUCAAAUUAGACUGCAGGGCUAGACAAAGGAAUAGGGGAAAAAGCUAUUAACUUACUUGCGCAUCUGAAAAUGCAGUACCCAUUAUGUCAUUUUGAACCCUCAAGGUGGUAGCAAUCGUGGAGGAUUUUUCCCCUUUGAAAACAUAGUUAGCAACAGAUCAAGAUUUGAUAAUUGCUAAUAUCAAUCUGCAAUUUCAUGUGCAUGCACAAUGCGUUAACUCAUGUUUGAAAAUAUACAACCAAUUUGCCACUGGAUCAAAUUGUGCAAAACAUACCACAGAUAAAAUUCUUCUUCUCCAAGCUAUGCUUUCAUUUUCCAUCUUAACUGCAUAGUUCUUAACACUGCCAACUAUAUCAUUUAUUGAGGCCAAGUCCUGCUUGGCAUAUCGGCAGUCCUGUGGGACAAGAGUUUCACAAGCAGAAAGUAGCUUUUCUGCAAUUGCUACCGGUGUUUCCAGUUUAAUUUUCAUUCUUUCCAUUCCUAUGCUUGUUGACCCGUCUAAGAAACUAUACAAGAAAUUCUCAAGUUCAGAGAAAUUACUACUUUUCCACUGAGCAUCAGAUGUUGAUAGUUCUGCAUAAUUUUUCCCAAACAUAGAAGCUGAAAGUUUUGCUUCAAGAGCAGAGCGCACAGACACAGGAAAUAAAGUCACAUGUUCAGUAUUCAAAAGUUUUUGUGCAUUCUUCUCGAUGAAUGACAUAGCUUCCUCAAGCUGCAGAAAUAAUGAAAUUAGAUAAAGCAACAUGAAGACAAUUGAGAAGCUCAAACUGAUAUAGAAGCAUCAUAUUAACAGGUUUUUUUUUCUGCAAUAGGAUUACUAAAGGUAAUAUCAACAUUCAAUAUGCAUGAAAUGCUAGAACCUCAUGGGCAUUGCGGUAGAUAUCAGAUUUAUUCAAGACAAACACAACUUUCUUCUUCCACUGCUGAGUAUAACGAAGAAACGCAACCUGGAGAAAACACCAGUGACAAAAUUGAAUUCAGCUUUAGUGAAAAUAAUGAAUAGGUAAAACUAUUGCACCAGUCUAACAUAUAUAAUUAACCAAAGUCAGAAUCAGUUAAAAGACUUUGAGACCCGCAACAAUGUUUUUCUAGCCAUAUAGCUCAGCUACUUGCAGCUUUGGACUAUUAUCUACCAACGGAGAAUCCUUCGAUAAACCUUGUUAUCAAUCACAUUCGAAUAGAGGGGAAUGAUCUUUCCGAGAUGUAUAUUUUAACUAGCAUCCAGUUAUUCUGUAUAAAUUAUUAUUAUUAUUAUUAUUUUUUGUAAGAAAGAAGCCUGGAAAAAAGAAUGAGAUGCAACCAUAUAAGCCUGUGAAAUCUUUGUUUGUCAAUUUGUAGUCUAUGGAUGCAUUGAGCAGCAUGUCAUGCAAUUUGACGAACAAAACGAACAAAACAAAUCAUACCUCACUUUCAGUUAACGGGCGAUCAGCAGAGAUGACAAAAAGAAGCAAAUCGGCACGGGGCACAAAUUCCUCAGUAAGGCGUUGUUGCCUUUGGAGAAUCACAUUAGUUCCAGGUGUAUCAACAACGUUCAUCUGCGUCCAAUUUAAAAUAAAAUAAGUACGUACUACAAAAUGUAUUUUUAAUCAUAAAGUAGCAUUAAUCUAAUCCUGGGAAGAUGAUAGACUAGAUGUGCAGUAGAUUUUGUUCUGCCUGCAACACACAACUUUUUAUCUUGUGCAUCCAACCAUCAUGAUACGUAUGAUAUUCAAGUAAACGAAGGCAGACUAACCAUAUAAAAAACCUAUUAAUAAGGGAUUGUACCAUUUGAACUGAAUAUAAGAGUUUGAAAUCUACUCACUUCUUUAAGAAUUGGAGCAGGAAGGUGGCAUAUAUAUUGACCAUCUGGAUGCCUUUCACAACGCUGUUCCUCACCAGCAUCCAUCUCAGUGUACCGUGAGAUGUUUAUUCCCGAGAAGGGCAUUGAUAACAGUUGACUUGCCUGAGUUAAAUUCACCCUGUUGACAUAAAGAGAGAAAGUGUCAUAGGAGAACCACCAUAAACAUUCUGACAGAGUUCAUGAAUAAAGCCAACUGUAGAAAAUGACACGAUACUCCCCUCAUGAUUCUUCUAGCUCAAACAUGACAAAUAACUAAAUUAAGGUGUACUUCUAAAACAGUCAGUUUGGAAGCAUUAAUCCAAACAAAGACCAAACAAGAACUAGUGCCCUUUGGCAAAUUGAAGGCAAGAUGACCACUCAUGCGACCAAACGUAUUGUCCUAGGCGUAUACAAUAGCAGACGAGACGUAGUGUAGUUAAUUCCUAAAGGUUAGCUAAGGGUAUAUAGAUGAUAGAACCAAACUGUUUGUCGGGUCUGCAUUUGAAACCAAUAAUGGCUUACAAAUUUAAAUAUCACUGAACUUUUUAUUAGCAAUUCUCACGAACUACUGCAUAACUGUUAUCAAAGGCCACCUCAAUUCUAAAUUCUAUAUACUAUGAAGAAAAGAAGGAUUUACAUGAAAUAUAGAGCUAAUGCCAAUGUAUAUUCCUGGAACCACAAUUUGUUGAAGUUCAGCACACAAUUACCACUAUAACCAGCAAAAAUGGCUCAUCAAUUUGAGAAACCGCAUCAACGAGAAGUGAAACCUCCUCCAUCUGUCAUUCAAAAUCAAUAUUCCACUUUUAAUCAUAAAGUAUACGAAUAAAAAUGAAUGAAAUUAUGAUUAUCUCAAUAUUAACUUUAACUACCAAAUUCUUUAAUUAAAUGAUCACCAGUGGAGCAGCUUUCUGGAUGACAUUUAUUGCUUUAAGCAACACUGAUAUUUCUGCUUCUAUGAACUUUUUUUCUCUAUUCUCCAAUUUAAGAAAACCAGCAACACUUGUACUGUCGAUGGGACCAUCAUGAGCAUCCACAUUUUCCUUCUUAUAUAAGGCGUUAUAAGAAGUGAACGUGACAAAUAUUGGUAGCUUUACAGUUUUAAACAGACUGUUGAGUGCCAGAAGAACAUUUUCCUGUCCGGCAAUAUCGUACAUAAGAAAGUCAGCUCCUUCAGAGUUGGAUGCAUUUAUGGCACCAUCUAUAUCUUGCACAUAUCUUGCCACCAAAGGAAGGACAACCGAAUCGGAUUUAGAAGCCAGCAUUGUGCUUCUUGCUACAAUGGCAGGAAGACCUAUGUAAGAAGAAACAAACACAUCAUUCACGACGUUACCAAAAAACACAUCACUGACCGAGUCCACGGAUUUUCGAUACCAAAUGCACCGAACUUCUAUAAAGAAAUGAAAAAGCAUUACUCCCUUGGGACGAAGACGCGCCCGCCGAGGUGGAUUGUACCAACGCCCUAGCCACCCGAUAGCCACUACUCACAGUAUAAGCACCCCGAAGGUUGUAGUGCCAUACUAACCGAUCCGGCGGUAAGCGGAAGACAACUCCUGUAACACAUCCAAUUUCCACGAGCAAGACUCUGUAUCAAUAAGUGCAGUCGUGUGUCCUGACAAUUGAGCAUGUUAGUGAAAAUAAUAAUCGGGUGUGAAACACCACUUUCUCCCUUUUGGUCAUGUGGUUGAGGGUGUGCGGUCGAUGCCAGGACAUAACAUUGCAGAUGAUUUACGGUUUAACCAUAUUGGUCAAGCUAAUGGUGAUGCACACCGUCUUGCUCGAUUUGCUUUACAUAUAGGUGUAGCUUGCACUUGUUUUCUAUACGUACGAAUUGGGGAACUUAAAGGAAGGUAAGGAAUACUUGGAGUUAACGGAAGACUUGCCUUCUAGGAUUCACAUUUAGUGGGAUAAUGCUUGGUUGUUGUACUUUUUUUUCUUGGUUAAGUUGAAAGCCUCGACAAAAUUUUAUAACGCUAUGUUCUGCACUCUAUCCUCUUGUACAAUAACUGUUAUCAAUGAAUAUCGUACUAUUCUCGGGGCACACUUAAUGGCAUGGAUUAGUACUUAGAAUUUUAAUAAAGAGUUGAGUAAUAUUAACCACCAAUUAGAGAGGAAAUGUUCACUCUCCUUCAUUAGCACCAACUUGACAAAAGUCAGCACGAAUCAGUUUUGGGCGGUUAUAAAUUUACUGUAAAACGUGAGAGCACAGAUUUUUCAGUUCUUCCUUUAGCUCACUAUUUACCCGAUGUUACCGGAGCUUGAAAUUUGCUAAGCAUGUCAAGAGCAUAAUAACGUACAAGCAAAUAUUAAGUUCAGUAUGAAAACAACUACUAGUAGCUGGCUGUAAUUCAAAUAUGCGAAAUAUACACCUCAAACAGGGAGGAAGAGAUGAUGUUAGAAUAACAACAAAUCCUGGCAUGCUUAAAUAAUGUUACGAUCCAAAAUGCUACAAGGUUCUACUUUGCAUACAUCCAUGUGUAACAAACAUGUAUGGUUUUGUGUACCAUUAAGUUAAAGCCACCUCAAGCCGACGGACUUGACCUGCAUCACCGUCAUAAUCUUCCUCACUUUUAAAUAGUUCAUCACGAUCAGUAGCCUUUUUCUUUUGAUUGGCUUCAUCAGGAUCCAGAAGGGCAUUGAGAAUAUGAAUGAGACAGCACGAAUCAAGGGAGAGAUUGUUUAUCAAUAGGCUGCAAACAGAAAAAGGAAACAAGUAUGAAAAGCAUACGGUAUGAACAGCAUACGGUACGGAUGAAGGACCAAAAAAUCAAAGUUAAAACCAAAUAGAGGUCUCCAACUCAGACAUGAAUGACAUUGACAACCGAUUUUGGUAACUGGAUCCAACAAAAUCAAAUGAGGAAAAACAAGUUUUCAGUGACACAAGGUCGAUAAAGUGGAGUAAACGUAGCUCUCAAUAUUCAUACGAACGAUAUAUUCAAUCAGUGAUGGUACUUUUUGUUUGUCAUCCAUGAACUUAAGUAACAGGUCAUUCUUCAUCAUGGCAACAUUUCAUGACCCACAAUCACGUCCUCUGAAAACGUAAAUUUCAAGGAAAAAUAAGACCUCUAUUUUCUAUUUUAUUUUGGAGGAAGAAGUAACAUUCAAUCGAAAUAAGGGUUCACACAGACAUAAAGUAAAAGAAAUGUACCUGAUGAAAGGAUGAAACCAUCAGAGCUAACUACUUAACAAAGAAAAACUCUUACAUAUAUGUUCUGAAAGGUAACAAGCGUUCAAUAGAAGCUGGUAAAAGAGAGGAGUAUACAGUAGAACCAGUUCUUUUACCAGCCAAGCACAUCUCCUAAUGAAUGGAAAGUAACAAAAAAGGAAACAGAACACAUCCUAAUGAAUUCUCUCCCAUUAGGAUCAAAUAAAUGGAUUCUCUCCCAUUUUCCAUUUCCCUGCCCCCUUCAUUCUUUUCUAUGAAGUCGGAUGCUACAAAUGAGAAAGUAACGUUUGGUACCUUUCAGAAACAUAUAUGAAAGAGCUUUUCUUUGUUCGGCAUUACGUAUAUCCUCCCUAAGCCAGACACCACCAGCUUCUACCGGCUAAAAAUGUUAUCAUAUCAGAACCAAGACAUACUAAGGCUGCAGAAAAUCACAUUAAAAUAACACAGCACAAGGAAUAGAUGUUUAGUUCAACGAAAAGAAGGAAGGCCGAUGAACCAAUUACCAGGUCUAUAUGAUACUUCCACACAUACAAGCGGCAAAUCCAUGAUGCCCAUGGUAUAUGUAGAAUCACCGCAAUCAGGAUUGAAAUCUUUGACAGCCAUUAAAAGAGCUUUGAUCUGCACAGAGGAAACAUAAAAUCAUAAUGUGAGAAUAAUUUUAAAACAAUAACAAGAAAAGCAUGGAUAACGCCAUGAUUUGAAAAUCCACAUACUAAAACAGUCAGCAUAGCCUGUGUAGUCAUCAUUGGCUAGCUUAUGUUGCUGAUAGAUAAUAAAACUAUAUGCUUAUCCAACAUUAGAGUGUAUAUGUGCGGUAUGCAGGUCAGUUGAGCAGUCAUAAUUAGUAUAUUUAGGAUUUAACCAUUGUCAAUGAAGUGCACGCAUAUAAUAUAUUACCAUACCAGAUGAUGUUUGCAAAUAUAUUUUGCUGUGCUCCUGUUGUCAUUGACCAAGAGAAGAACAAGAAUCUGGAAAGAUAACCACAACUUAGCACAAACAAAAUCCGAAUUACGGGUUCUAAAACCUAAUUUAAGAUUAUGACUCUGGAAAAUGUUGCUAUCCAACUAUGUCUUUACAAAUAGGGAAGGCUGUGCAGCAGAACCGGGCUCUCCUUAUGUCGAGAGAAGACUGUCAAAGAGCCAUUCGCAACCAUCUGAACGAGCAACUGAAGAGAAUCAUCCUCAAUCAAACUUUGUGCUGCCAAAGUAUGGUUUGCCAGUGCUUUCAUAAUAUGCACAGCAAUCCCAUGUACCCGCAUAAUUAUAGGUUAGAAACAAAAAGAAGGUUAAAAACAUACCAUGAACCGAUAACCUAACAAAUACAAGAGCACAGUAACGUACAAGCAAAGAUUAAGUUCAGUAUGAAAAAAAUGCCACGCGCUACUACUGGCUGUAGUUCAAAUAUGUUAAAUAUACACCUCAAACAGGGAAAAAGACAGAUGUUAGAAUAACAACAAAUCCUGGCAUGUUCAAAAAAUGUCGCGCUUCAAAAUGCUACAAGGUUCUACUUAUACCAAACACAGCGUAACAGCUAUUAAGCCUACUGUGUUUUCAAAAUCAGACUUUGCAUAUGUCAAUGGGUAACAAACAUGUGUAGUUUUAUGUACCAUUAAGUAAAAGCUACCUCAAGCCGAUGGACCUGACCUGCAUCACCGUCAUAAUCUUUCUCAGUUGGAAAUGGUUCAUCACGAUCAGUAGCCUUUUGCUUUUGAUUGGCUUCAUCAGGAUCCAGAUGAGCAUUGAGAAUAUGAAUGAGACAGCACAAUAUCCCCGAAUCAAGGAGAGAGUGUUUAUCAAUAUGCUGCAAACAGAAAAAGGAAACAAGCAUGGACAGCGUAGGGUACGAAUGAAGGACAAAAAAAAUCACUCAAGUCCGUCACAACCAAAGAGGUAUCCUAAUCUGGUGAAAUUAAGAAAUUCUACCCCAGAAGCUAGAACUUGUAGAGCAGUUAACAAACUUGACAUGACAACAGAUUUUGGUAAUUGGAAGGAAAAACAAGUUUUCACUUUUCAGUGACGCAGGGACACUCAAGUGGAGUGAACGUAGCUCAGGAUUCAUACGCACGAUAUAUUCAAUAAGUGAUGGUACUUUUGUUUUGUCAUCCAUGAACUUACAUAGAAGUAACGGGUAAUUCUUCAUGAUGGCAAGAGUUAUAUCUCGUCUGUUGUGUUCAAAUACUUCCUGGAAAAUUCAGAAUCGCGUCCUCUUUUGUAUAUUUUCGUCCAAACCAACAUAAAUCAACACGCAGAGUUGUGGCAGGCAAAAAGACACUAUAAACAGGACAGUAAACUUGAAGGAAAGCAUGCUUUGACUAACAUGGACAAAUACCAAGCAAGACAAAGAUAACACAACAUUUUUGCUAUGAUUUACAAAGUAUGGCUUUCGAUUAUCAGUGGCGGGAACAAUCCUCUCCCCUACAGGCUACAGCCUUUUUAACAGAUGCACAAGGAAUUGGUAUCGUACCAAGUUUGUUGCAUCCUCCUCUUCAUCAUCAGUAAGCUCAAUCAAUGGAUUCUCAUCAUCGAAAAGCAAAAGCAUAGUGCAAAAUACUAAACACCAGCUUAAGAGAAAAUAAACUAAAUAGAAAGCUGAUACUAACACUUGCAUUUUGCAAACACAGUAUCCCCGAAGCACUCUUAGAAGCAGAACAAGAGGAAAAUAAAUGAGGUUUGUCAGUCUAGCACUCAAGCAUAAAGGAAAUUACAAACCAACCAACUCAACUAUUUAAUAACUAGUGGAUAAUUUCUAAUGGCGUUUCCAAUAUGGUUAUUCGAUCGUAAUUAGUUCGGGAAUUGAAGUACCAAUCAAGGUGAGAUACCGGCGAGUUUCUGCGGCGGAAGGUCCAGCGCAGGUCGACCUCGUUUCUUCGAAGUCACCGAUCGGCAGGUCGACCUCGUUUCUCAUGGUCCUCAGUGCUCUGAGUCUGAGUGUGAGCCUUAGUCCUCUUCUGCUACUCAACAACGAACGAACGAACGAACCAAAUCAGGUCAAAUUGUACAGACAACUUCACAGAAUUGAGAGAGGUAGAGAGAGAGGGGAGAAAAUAAUGAAACGUACUCGACGGUGGUUCCGUGGCGGUGGCUGACGGUGGCUCCUCCAUGGCCGACGAGCACAAGUCAUAGCUCCAAGGACGACAUGUCAUUUUUCAGAGUUCACACUGAUUUGAAAAAAAUAAAUAAAAUAAAACAAAUUAAGCACAUGUCAUAGCCCCAAGGACGACAUGUCAUUUUUCAAGUUCACACUGAUUUUUUUUUUUUUUAAAAUAAUAAUGAAAAAGAAGGAAGAAGGAGAAGGAGGUACCCAUGCAAGUCAUUGGCUUGGCUUGGCUUAUGUGGGGGUCCCACUGUCAAAGUUUGGCUGUGCAAUUAAAAGAAGGAGGAGGAUUGUCCAAGUUCCCGUGCCCUCCCAUGCCUUCCUGAUUGUGUGGUCACGGUUAAACCACGUUAAUAUUUUAUAUUAUUAUUUAUUUUUGUCUUAUUAUCUCUAUAAAAAAAUAAUAUAAAAUAUUAACGUAACUUAACUGUGACCACACAAAACAGAAGGGCAUGGAAGGGCACCGAAACUUGGAGGGCAGACAAUCCUCCUCCUUAAAAGAAAAGGGAGAAAGGGCUAGCAUUGCGCUGCACCGUUUGUAAGGGUAUUUUGAACCAUGUUGGACUUGCAUGUACCAUUUUUUUACUUUUCUUUUAUUUUUUUUUAUAAAAACUUGUACGUGUACAUGUUAUCACAAAAGGGAUUAGUGUAUUUUUUUUCUUUUUUUUCCUCAAUUUUUCUAAAUCGGCAUUUUUUAUUUUUAUCAAUUCUACACCUAUUCGUGGUUGCACAUGACUCAUGUUUUAUUUAUUUGCAAUCCAGGGUGAAUACCGAGUUCAGUUAAAAUUAUGAUGAUUUAUUUAUGUUAACUAGUAAACAUACAUACAGAAAUUAAACACGAGUGAAGCCCGCACAAUGUUAGUAAUUAAAAUCUUGAUUUAAGAGGGAAUGGUUUUAGGAUUAACGACCGAGAAACAAUUCAUCAUGUGUCCAAAUUUUGUACCUAUCAUUUAAUGUGUCAAGCAACAGUUAAAUUUUAUUGUGAUAAUUGAGCUAGAUUUAUGUAAAUUUUUUGAGCAAUUAUAUAAUAUAUCUCUCACACAUUUUCUUCGAUCCAAUGAUCGAAUAUUAAAAGGUGUAAGUGAAAGGUAAAAAGAGUGUGUUGGUAAAUAAUCUUGACCGGGCUAAUUUCUCCAACUCUUGAACGUUUAAAGAUGCUAAGAAUAUCACAAGCUCCCUUUUCCUUGCUUCCAAGGCCUUCGGGGUACCAAUCACAUGGAUGCUGGAACACACUAAGAUUACAUGCCCAUCAACCUUAUCCCCACGAUUCUCUUCUCUCUCUCUUUCUGGAGGCCCACGUGUUCACUUUUUGGGAACGCACACUCCACUGAUAACAAAUUGAAGGUUUUCUGUUUCACUUUUCUGUAUCGACCAACUUUUUUUAUUUUUUUAUUAAAUAAAAAACAUUAAUUAAAUUUUAUGGUGAAUCCCUUUCUUGUAAGGGAUUGGCACAUUGAAGAAAGGUUGCCUUAUACCUGUACGGACGGGUUUGCGGUCCCAGAUAAAACUAAUAACCACCAGAGAAGUCCACAAGCUUUCAGUGGGGAUUACAGGUGGGUCCCAUCCUAAGGCCUUCAUGUUUCAGUGCGCCGCAUAGCAUUAGCAUAGGGGGCUGUAAUGAUCGCUCUGUCUCUGACCCUCUGUGCCAACCCACAAAAUCAAACAAUCAUUUUUUUUAAUUUUUUUUAAAGAUAUUGCUGACGUUUCAUUUUCCAUGGUGACCAACUCUCUUUGCCAUUUCUAUGAAUGACUGUAUACUUGUGCCUUGUCAUUCAGGAUUACGAUCUGGUGAUAUUUUUUUAAUUUGUGAGUGGGAUGUCUUAUGUUCAAAUCUUGUGGAUGACGAAUUCGAUACCAAAUUAGGUUGCCUAUUGUGUGGCUUCCAAACUCCUCCUCCCCUUAAUGUAAAAUAUAUCGUUGUACUAAAAAAAAAAAAAAAAAAAAAGACUUGUGCCUUGUAUUUGGUUAAAGGUGUUGCUACGGAGACUAAUUAUUUAGGCCAAAGUUUGUAACAUAAUUUUUAUGCAUUUUUUCCUGUGUUUGCACGCGUUUAGUUAUUUUCUCCAUCACCGUAACCUAGGAAUGUUUUUGGCUAGCCAACAAAUGUGUUCAAGAGUUAAAUGUAGAGUUGAUAUAACUCGACGAUCUGAUUGAUGUUUGGCAAUACACUUGUAUACACAUAUGUGACUUGACGAACAAGAAACGCAAACAAGGCGAUUAAUUUGGAUAUUGAUGGUUAAAAUGUUCAUAAGAGAAAAGAAAAAGGGCCAAUAUUAGUGAUUACAUCCAUUUCUCUUUGUUUGGGCCCAAAAAUAUUGUUUUGGGGCGAGUUUAGAAUUGUUCUCGGCCCAGUGUUGGUUGGGCCGAGUUUAGAAUCCUUCUCGGCCCAAAGGCCGUGUACAGGUGUCGUUGGGGGUUAUUCAGCUCACGGGCCGCGCAGUCGAAGUUGGCCAUAUCCCAUCGGGAAUUGGGGAUGUGGAUGAGUCCUGUUAUGAGAAGGAAUUUCGAUAGGAUCAGGAUGCUGGAAUUGAAUACGGCCUGGUAACGAGUUAUGUUCAAAGUCCUAGUAGGAAUAGGAUUGGCCGAGAUAAAGUUGGAUCAGGGAAAAGAGUUCUAAUCCGGGAGUGAGUGGGAUUCAAUACAGGUUGGCUGCUAUAAAUAGAGAGGGAAGACAUCGAAACAAGCUCUCUCUAAUUCAACACACAAAUUGCCCUGCGCAUACCCUCGCUUUACGCGAAACUUCUAAACAACCUUGAGAUUUUUGUUUUCCCUUUUCCGCCAACACAUCUUCAGUUUGGAUAAACAGCACUGUGGAGGCAAAAUCAGCCGAUCGUGGAGCACCUUCAGUUUGGAUAAACAGCACUGCGACAGGGCCGACUGGUUAUCUAUCUAAGUCUUGAUCGAGAAGGAUUUUCGAAUCCUUAUCGGCAGAGGUCAUCUCGGCGAAGCGAGAUGUUACAAGUUACUAUACUCGGUGAUUUGAACGCCGAGUCGUUUAUGAUUGGUUAUUCGCAAGUAGGUUUUAAAGUUCGGCAUUCUGACGGGCGAACCACUUUCAUAAUCAAGACAUAUAUUUGUUUUGAAUACUUGUGUCCCUAUACUCUGAUGUCGAUUCGGCGUGCUUAUACUCUUACGAAUAUAAUCACGGUGACCGAAUCCGGCGUCGACGAUUUGUGAACUUCGCAGAACUAGUAGCUUUGUCUUCAAGCUCUAGAACCUGAAGGCCGAGACGUGCUUAUACUCUUACAAAAUUGAUGAAAAUGACUAUAGCUACACAUUUUGAUAAGUUGAGGGACCAAUAGUAAUGAAUUUUUAGUUGAUGGACCAUUGCUCCAAUUUGAUUAAAGUUGAGGGACCAUUGCUACAAUUUUCUCUUAACUUUAUGCACCACCAUUAUUGAACGACUUGGCUUGGAUAAACUCCGUUAGGCUCGGCUUGGAGCCAAAUAUUUCCCUCCCAAGACCACCACCACUCACCAAGACGCAAACCACACGAGCUCAGCAAGCUCUCUAGCACCUCGUUUAAACGUUUUCCUCAUUCUCCCACACACACUCUUUCUCUAGUUAACCACUCCUCCCUCACUCUCUUAGAACCCCAAAUCCUCUGAGAAAUCUAACACGACCGCUGUCACAUUCCUUGCUCCACCGACGUCGGAAUGCCUCCGGCGGGUCAAAACCCAAACCUUUUUUUACAUUGUUUUGGAUUAUUAAACUGUUGAAUUAUUUUACGUGAUAUAUAAGAAUUUCGCUGUAAUUUGUGAGAAACCCUAGUUCAUAAAAUUUAUGAAUAUGUUUCUUAUAUUAAUGCAUUGCUUUGGACAAUAACACCAUGCGCAUUUGUCAAAUUAUUAAUUUGUUAGAGAAAAUAAAAAUGGUAGUACAUGCUUCAAGAAAAAGACUAACUGAGCUACUUAUGAAGACAAUAACACCAUAUGUCAUUUCUCAUGCAUAGAAAUGAGAGGGAAAAAUAAAAUUGAGGAUAAGAAUUAGCGAGAAAAAAUAGAGUGAAAGUUUUGCUUAUUUAUUUAUUUUUAGUUUUUUAAUCAUUUUUAAGAGUGAAAUAACUUGACUAUCUUCACAUGUUGUGCACGGUCUCACUUAACGGAAAUAUGGAUGAAAUAUAUGAAAAACUAACGGUAGGGGGCAAAUCGGCUAAAAAAAUUAGUUCGAGUCCUUAAUUUUCCAAUAGCAAAGUUAAGAGGGAAAUCAAAAGUUAGGUGAAAGUUCAGAGAAUAAAUCGACAGUUUUAGGUGAAAGUUCAGAGAGUAAAUCGACAGUUUACUCAAAAUUUAAUAAUGUUCUCCCUUUGAAAAAUAAUUGUUGCCGGUCCUUUUGUAAUUGCACUGGAACAUACUAGCAGCUAGCCACCCGCCAUAUCCCAAUCCAUCCCAACAUCACUUUUCACUACUAGUCAACUUUCCAAAAGACCAACUCUACGCAACAUUUUUGUACGGUUCAACGGUUAUCAAAUGCCAAAAGACGAGAAAAAUUAAUAUCGCCUUGCAUAACUCGAUGACAUAUAAGAAUAAUUAAAAUCUAGAUGCUGGAGAAACAAUAGCGAAUAUGAGCAAAACCAAAUUAAAAGACCCGUUUGGUAACUAUUUGAUUUUUAAUUUUUAAUUUUUUUUUCAUGCUUGAGAUAGAUAGAUAGCGGAAACGCAUACAAAUUUCUUUUGUUUUAUAUUUAUUGAAGCCAACAAGUAACCACUGCUCUUCUAGUUAAAACUCAACAAGGUCAAAAAGUUACAACUUAUCUCAACCAACUGGGGAUAUUAUAAGGGGUUUGCUAUUCGCAUAGUCUUUUUACUUUUUACUCACUCAUGUUAAUUUUUGUUCAUUGAUCUUCUUCAAUUCAUUCCCAAAAAUUAAGAUGAGUGUAUGAGAGAAAAAAUGUGAAAUCCCGUCUCCGAAUUCCAUUAUUUAUUUACGUAUUUAGUAUUUACGCAAUUUUUAUCUUUUUAUCUAUGUUUGCUGAUUAUUGAUUAGAGUUUAGUAUAUAUAACAGGAUUUUGGACACGUCUUGUCCAACAUGUAUAGUUUUGUGCGUUUGUGCCGUCGAAUUAAGAUGUAGGAUAAUAGAUACGUGUCUAAAAUCCUACGUAUCGAAUGUGAAGAUGUUUUUCUCAUUGGGUGUGAACUAGAGGUAAGGCGAACAACGCAUGCGUCUUAGCUCUCACUUAAAUUAGACCUCAUACCUUUCAUCAUUUAUCGUAUUGUUGAUAAAAAAGAAGAGGACACAAAAAUAUCUCAUUCUCAUAAAUUUAAAGAAAACUAAUGAAAAAGGCUUGAAAACUUUGAGUUUUAACGAUAAGGACAAAAUAAAGGGUAAAGUGAAUAGUACUAGGUUUGACUUUUUAGUAUAAAAAUGUGAUUUUUUGUUAAAGUGAACAGUAUUGCGGGUUUUUCGUUAAAACUCCCUAAAUUCAAUGUGACGUGCCUUAUAUUCAUAUCGUUGUGGGAAAAAAAAAUUCAUAUUAAGGUACUAAAGUAUAUGCAGGCCUCAUUUUAUUACCGCGUUAGACCUCAUUUUACAUUGGAAUGAUUUUGAUGUGGAGAAAUAAUUCAACCUCGAUAAAAUAUCUUUAUGUAUUCAUUUUUUAUUAUCUUAUGCACCACCACCACCACAUCUAUUAUACUCGUAACGAGGCCGACCGAGCUCGGUUUCGAACCACUAUUAGACUAGACAUUGUAAUGCUUAGAAUUUCUCAAGAAACAUGUAUGUUUAGUAAUCCACGGAAAUCACAAUGAAAAUAAGGAGUAAUGUGGCACGGUAACAACGAAGUUGAAAAGCGACUGGGGCCCACACAAAAAUGGAGAGAAAGAUAAAGAUGGAGGAUGUCAGGGAGAGUCUUUGAGAAAGAUGAGAUGCGUGUGAGAUUUGUGUGUGUGUGUGUGAGAGAGAUUUGAGAGUGUGAGGUUUAUUGAAUACGGUUCGGGCUGGGGACCUGUGACUUUAGAAAAUUGGAUUCGGGCCGCCGCCCUGUUUACUUAGACCCUACCCACCCCGCCCCAUUUUGUAUAUAAAAUAAUAUGAACCCGUCUCGAACCGCUAAUACCCGCCCCUACCCGCGAGCCCAGAGCCCGUUUGCCGACCCCUACAUUGUAAUGCUUAGAAUUUCUCAAGAAACAUGUAUGUUUAGUAAUCCACGGAAAUCACAAUGAAAAUAAGGAGUAAUGUGGCACGGUAACAACGAAGUUGAAAAGGGACUGGGGCCCACACAAAAAUGGAAAUUGAUAUGCUGAUACGGGGUUUGAAGGAGCUAGCGGGUAUUUUUUUAUGGCCGUAGGAUCUCAAAUAACAACUAAUCUGUCUGUCAUGCUUUAAUGGGGUGGAUAGAUUUUUAAUUUUCACGUACCUCUUCCUUAAUUUCAGCCGUCGGAUCAAAAUAAUUUGAAAAAGAAACGAGCAAAGAGUAUGGGAAGGGCACCAUCAACUGUAAAAUAUAUUUUUCGGUCAAUUCAAAGGUCACAUCAUUUCCUCCUCUCUCACAGCUACCCAACGCAGAAAAAGAACAUGAGUGCAUUUCGACAGUUCUUCAAGCGGCUGACUGGAGGCAAAGCAGGAGGUACCUCCGCUGCCGCCGUUGAACCAAAGGUGAAGGUGGAAUACGAUGUUUCUUCGUCCCACCCCAGACAUGUGAUCAAAAUUUUCAUCCAUCCAGAGGACGAAGAGAGUAUCAACCUCCUAGCCGGCAGUGCAGAUCUUUUCUGGAAGUCCGGCAGAACACUGUUAAAGGCGAAGGAGAGUAGCCUGAAGGAAGCGUUGAAGGGUGAAGGCUGUUGCUUCAGCCAGCAGAGUGAGGAGCGCAUCGUUUCCCUGCUUCACCAGUCGUGUGAGAACACAACCCGUCUUGAGUACCUGGAGCAGGUUGCAGAACAUUACGCAAAAUAUGGACUCACAAAGGGGUCUCCUCCUCCUCCUGUCCGUCCUCUACCACCGUCGAAGCAGGAGGCAAAUGGCAACAACAACGGGAAAGGCAACGGCGACGGGAAAGGGCAAGGGCAAGGGAAAGGCGAGGGCGACGGAACCAUUCGAGUUGACAUUUUAAAAGGUAAACUCGGGACUCUCAAAUGUCAAUGAGUAAAAAAAUUAAUUAUGGCAUUCUUCUUUCUUCUGUUUGCAGAUUAGGGUUUGUUUAGAGGUCGUUUUGGGAUUUAUUUUUUUCUGAAAGUCUUUUUAGAGGAGGAAGGUUGCAUAUAUUCACUGUUUUAACCCUCUUGAUUUUUCGUUUGGAUUUGAUUCAAUUCGUGAAUUUGCCAAUUAUGUUUGUUUUUGUGUGAUUAGAAAAUGGAAAGACAUUGUUGUUGGGAAAUAAAAAUUCAUGAAAGCAGUUUUUAUAAUUUUGGUGUGGUAGUAAAUUGGUAAUGAAGGCACUGCAUUGACUUUUUAUUGUUCAAUCGUAUGCAGGAUCAUUUGGUGGAAGAGCAGAAUGAUGUGAAUAAGAUUUUGAACAUUCAGGCUAAGAAAGGAACAAAAGAGUUUUUUGAUAGUUUCUUUUAGUGAACGAGGCAGAUUUUGUCAGUAGGUUUUGUUGCUCGAUGAAUUUGGAUUGUAAAAAUUGGAAUGCUUUUUAGCUGGUUAACCAACAUAUGAAACCUCCAUCUUCGUUUGUGGGUAUUUUGAACAAAGACUGUCUUCCAUGUCCUCUUUAGGUGGGGGGAUUUUUUUGUAUAGGGAUUUGGGAUGACGCUGGUGACCUUUGUGGUGGUGUCUGUUCGUAUCCUGCUUCUCUUUAGUUAUGUUUCUGGGUGUGCUGGGCACUCCUCUGUUUGUUUCUUGGCCUUGGGCCUUGUUGGUUCUAUGAACAUAUGAAACCUAUCCUAUCCUAGGCUCCUUAAUCCUUGCUAAGCUAAAGCUAAAAAGAAGCCCACUAUAUAGAAUGUGAAUAAAACCCGAGUUCCUUCAACUCAUCGUCAAAUCCUCCUCGUUUGCUUUUGAGCCCUUAAUAUUUACUCAUCGCCAUGGGCAAUUCCAUCUCCCACAGGCAAUCCCAUGCCCACCGGACAAGCUCUGUGCAUUAGUUCAAUAAGCCCCUCACCGUUGCUGAGCAAGUCAUCGUGGAAUUCGGGUCUGCUGUCUCCCAAUAAAGGGCAACCCCGGCCCAUUGCCUGCAGACGACACGGAAAAGGUUUACUUAAUGCUGCCAAUUGAGCGAGGGAAACCAGUGUUGUACAUCGUCAUCCUAAGAAAUCCGUGGUGUUCAUUUUACGUGCAAAUUUGGUUUUACAAUCGAUUUCGCCAAGGUUUUCACCUUUGUUUGCUAGAAUAUGCCUGGCAAGUGAUCCCGGGCAAGCUUUCGUGUUGCCAAACAAGGACAAGGAAUAUUUUCAUUACAUUAGAUUGGCGACUGGAGAUUUAAGGAAUUAAUAGGGAGAGAGAUGAUGAGGGAGCUUUCAUAUAGUUUUGACAAUCUAGCUGAAAAUACAAGAAACUUGUGGAAACUUGUGGAAACUGAAUGGUGUGCCAUAUAAGGCGGUUGUGAUGCCAAAAGAAUUUGAAUUGAAGUUGCCAUGGAGAAUCGCCGGUGAAUCUUCCAUAGGGUUUGAGGUGGAAGAGAACCGCUGGGUGUGGAAAGAGAUUUCAGUUUUGUUUAUUUCUUUUUUCAGUUUUAAUCAAAGGGUGAAUUAGGAAUUUUAAGAAAAUAUUUUUUGUAUUGGGUGUAGAAAGAGGUUGAAUGGAUUCCAAUAAAAUUUCCCUUAGUUUUAUCUCAGACUGAUGGUAAUUAUGCAAUAGGAUAAAAAUAAUAAUUAAUAUUUAAAAUUUAAGUUGGGGGUAGAGAAGUUACAUGAGUUUAAAUAAAAUUUCUCAUUCUAAUUUCGAAUGACCCUCGUGGCUUUUGGUUGAAUGAGUUUUGUAAUGAAGUAGAUUAUGGAAAAAAAUGGAAAUUACUGUCAUCAGUGUUUUUGUGAAUUAAUUUAAUAUUUAUGCCUUGAAUAGAUUUGUGGCCAAUAAAUUAGAUUUAGAAUUCAUUCUUUGAUUCCGUAAUGUUCUCCUUAAUUACUACAUGGAACUUGCCCGGGAUUCUGGAGGCAGACGAAAUGAAUUUCAGAAGUGACAUGAUAUGAGAUGCAUCACAGGAAUGUUUCUGGUGUAUUGAAGCUAAGCUCUAAACAGUCCGAAAUAGAAUAAUCUACUCAAGCUAAGCUCUAAACAGUCCGAAAUAGAAUAAAAGAUAAAAUAAAUCUUUGAUUCGAGCGGUAAAUGUAACAGAAAAAGGGACAAAUCUUGGCAGAUGGCGCUGCUGCUACGGUUGAUGAAGUAACCCAUGCACACUCCUAAGAAAAGCUCCAACUACCUUUAACAGAAGCCGAGUUGAGUAGCUUCUCACUCGCUCAUCUUUCAAAUGGCAUCAAUAAACCGGAUGUCAAAAGAAGGGGGAUUAAUCUGCCACACAUUUAUGUUUGCGUAUUCCUCCAAACAUUGUUUCAGUUGGGCUUCACUGUAUCCCUGUUCCAAAGCAACCAUUCCACAUGGCUUGAGACAAAAUAGGUAGAAUUUCGGACAGGAUCAUCACGUAUUUUCACUUUUGAGAUAUAUUUUGAAUUUCUGCUACUCUGAUUUAUAUAGCUAUAUUCUUAUCACUUCCAAGUUUUGUACUAGUUGUUUGACAUGAUAAGCAGUGCAGUUCUCUGACCAUCGAUCACAAGAUGCUUUGCAAAAACUUACCUUCCUGAAAUCAGUACUGCUGAGCCUUCCAAGGUAAAAGUGCUGCAAAAUUUACCGAAUAACUGAUGGCUCAAGUGGACUGAAACCAAGAGCCGGUGAUACUUUAUUCUGGUGAAAAUAGACAACAUGCCUAGCCAUCUCAACAUCACUAUCCCUAUCUGCUCGAUCCAGGAUUAACCAUCAAGGAUCAAAUCUCGACAAAAGGGCCAGUUGAAGAUUAAUGUUUUCAGCAGGAGUUCUACGCAGGUUAUUUCUCCCCCUUUAAGAAUAUAGCAACCAUAGUAAGAGUUCGCAUAGAUUUUACACGAAGAAAGUUAGCUUCCAGGUUCCCGCAGUAAAAAAGGUACCACAUAACUAGAGCAAUAUGAUUUAGAUGAGAAGCAACAAAGAGUAAUGCCCCAAAUGAACCAGAUUAAAAAGAAGUAGAAAGAUUUGUACCGUGCUGGAUUAGCUGCAGCAAGGACAGGAGUUCGUGCACUCAAAGACGUAGUGAUCCCAGCCUUGGCAAUGCUGACAGUCUGCUGCUCCAUAACUUCAUGUACGGCUGCACGAUCUAAUUCAUCCGUCUUAUCAAGUUCAUCAGUAGCACAUAUUCCCAUAUCCGCUAGCACCUGAAAUGAGUUAAUACUUCCGUAGUUCAACACCCAGAAUCACUAGAAGAAUAAUCAUAUACAAAGCCUAAUAGACAACUAUGGGGGAUCUGAUUUAAUUAGGGAUUCUAAAUUGAACUGGUUAUGCAUUGACUCCGCAAAACUAGCUGGGUUCUACUUCCCCUCUUCAUUUUCUAGCUAUUGCUUCUGCAUCAAAGGCGCACAUUUGGUGUGAUGCAAUGAAAGUUUAACAAUAAGAAAUCUUGAGUAUUAUGCAUAUAUUCGACAAGUAUUUACUGUUUUGUAUAAGUAUGGAUGAAAAAAUAAUAUACAUAUAACCGAAAGGAGCAUAUGUAUCUCACCAAUGCGCCUCCUUCCAGGACCAAUCCAUUUGUGACGGGAUUCUUCUGAACAGCAGCAGUUACUGUUAGACCAACUCCACUGCUUCCUUUUCCAGUUGUACAAACUCCCCUAGGUCCUACAUUAAUUAUGUGUUUGAGAAGCUGGCUCUUUCACUUCACUAUAGAGGAUACAUCCAAAUGAUAUCCAUAUCUUAUGAAUGCCGAAUUCUCAGAAUGGUAAGCAAAAUUCAGUUUGACAACAUGCAUAAUUGAGUAAGGUGGUACCUGGUUACAUUGAGAGCUUACCUUCAUUCCAUCGUUUAGUUUCCUGUGAGGGGCACCCACUAGGAGCAGAAGCAGAGCCUUCUUGAUAUCUUCACGCCCAUGUAUUUCAGGUGCCAGAGAUCAACCACGCUUUUCAUAUAUGUUACCAUCCUCAGCCAAACGUGCAACUUGUUCUUCCUCAUCUCCUAUAAGUUCAUAACUGCGGCAUAACACAAGUUAGUACACGGCACCCAUCAUCACCUAAGAAUUGAAGAUUAUUUUUCAAAGUAGGUAAAGGAAUGAUAAGUUUAGCAAAAACUGCACUACAAGCACCAGAUAAACUCUAUGUUAAGAGUUGAAAAGAUGGGAGCAAUAUAUAGUUAAAAUUUUGUAUGAAUCAAUAAAAGUGGAUUUGAAGAAACUAGCACAAGUAUAGACCCAGUGCCAUUGGAUCAAUUAUACUCCGAAGAGGGAGAGAAAGAGAUGGUUUGAAAUAUGUUGAAAAUGUAUGGGUUUUUAGCUCGUAAUAAAAUGUAAAGAUGCUCUUACGUAAAUUUCACUAGAAUACGUAUGAAAAAAAAAAAAACUAGUCAACAUGGAAUAGAUUUUACACGAAGAAAGUUAGCUUCCAGGUUCCAGCAGUAAAAAAGGUACCACAUAACUAGAGCAAUAUGAUUUAGAUGAGAAGCAACAAAGAGUAAUGCCCCAAAUGAACCAGAUUAAAAAGAAGUAGAAAGAUUUGUACCGUGCUGGAUUAGCUGCAGCAAGGACAGGAGUUCGUGCACUCAAAGACGUAGUGAUCCCAGCCUUGGCAAUGCUGACAGUCUGCUGCUCCAUAACUUCAUGUACGGCUGCACGAUCUAAUUCAUCCGUCUUAUCAAGUUCAUCAGUAGCACAGAUUCCCAUAUCCGCUAGCACCUGAAAUGAGUUAAUACUUCCGUAGUUCAACACCCAGAAUCACUAGAAGAAUAAUCAUAUACAAAGCCUAAUAGACAACUAUGGGGGAUCUGAUUUAAUUAGGGAUUCUAAAUUGAACUGGUUAUGCAUUGACUCCGCAAAACUAGCUGGGUUCUACUUCCCCUCUUCAUUUUCUAGCUAUUGCUUCUGCAUCAAAGGCGCACAUUUGGUGUGAUGCAAUGAAAGUUUAACAAUAAGAAAUCUUGAGUAUUAUGCAUAUAUUCGACAAGUAUUUACUGUUUUGUAUAAGUAUGGAUGAAAAAAUAAUAUACAUAUACAUAUAACCGAAAGGAGCAUAUGUAUCUCACCAAUGCUCCUCCUUCCAGGACCAAUCCAUUUGUAACGGGAUUCUUCUGAACAGCAGCAGUUACUUUUAGAUACAUUAAUUACUUCCUUUUCCAGUUGUGUAAACUCCCCUAGGUCCUACAUUAAUUAUGUGUUUGAGAAGCUGGCUCUUUCACUUCACUAUAGAGGAUACAUCUAAAUGAUAUCCAUAUCUUAUGAAUGCCGAAUUCUCAUAAUGGUAAGCAAAAUUCAGUUUGACAACAUACAUAAUUGAGUAAGGUGGUACCUGGUUACGUUGAGAGCUUAACUUCAUUCCAUCGUUUAGUUUCCUGUGAGGGGCACCCACUAGGAGCAGAAGCAGAGCCUUCUUGAUAUCUUCACGCCCAUGUAUUUCAGGUGCCAGAGAUCAACCACGCUUUUCAUAUAUGUUACCAUCCUCAGCCAAACGUGCAACUUGUUCUUCCUCAUCUCCUAUAAGUUCAUAACUGCGGCAUAACACAAGUUAGUACACGGCACCCAUCAUCACCUAAGAAUUGAAGAGGUUUUUCAAAGUAGGUAAAGGAACGAUAAGUUUAGCAAAAACUGCCCUACAAGCACCAGAUAAACUCUAUGUUAAGAGUUGAAAAGAUGGGAGCAAUAUAUAGUUAAAAUUUUGUAUGAAUUAAUGAAUCAACAAAAGUGGAUUUGAAGAAACUAGCACAAGUAUAGACCCAGUGCCAUUGGAUCAAUUAUACUCCAAAGAGGGAGGGAAAGAGAUGGUUUGAAAUAUGUUGAAAAUGUAUGGGUUUGUAGCUGGCAAUAAAAUGUAAAGAUGCUCUUAUGUAAAUUUCACUGGAAUACAUAUGAAAAAAUAAAACUAGUGAAUUAAGAAUGAACACAAACCUGCAUAGAAAGCUUUGCUACAAUGGAAGUUGAAGCAUAUGAAACUCGUAAAUAAACUGCAACCGAUGACAUGGAAUAGAGGAAAAAGCAAGUUUCCAAUAUUAAUCUGAGAUAAACCUCUGUUGAACUUACAUUGUAUGAAAUGUCACCAUAUUUUCAAAACACAUACUACAAACCAAGCUAGCUAAUAUCUAUCGACAUUCAUUUACUAAUUCAUGAAUAACGAACCAGUAAGCAGAAAGUUUAAAGCGAAACAUGAAGUGUAUAAGUGUUACCAUACAUGUCCAGUGACUGAUUAUGCAAUGUAACUUCUGGCAUGAGAUACUAGCUAGUCAAAACAAGAUUAAGAUGCAUAUGAUCCGUUACCGACCACACAAUUAAGUGAAUUUUCACACAUGUAAACCGAAAUUUCAUUCAAACAAGCGCAAUAGGAAUUAGGAUUUUGCUUUGAACUCACAAGUAGCGCUUGACUUCAGGAGGCAUCUUCUGAUGUGGAUCCGAACCAUCCAUAUUCUCUGGUCCAUCAUCAGACCUCUGAGUCAUCAGAAUGUCAUGAUCAUGAUCUGUCUCCGUGGGCUCCGGCAUGAGCUCAUCAAUACCAUCUGCAAAUACACCAAUAUAACACCCGAGUGUUCACUUCAACUCGAUUGCGGGAUUCUUCAUUCAUUUCUGUGUACUGCAUGUGAGGUAUAAGAAAAUUAACAAGUCGUUCACAAAGACAAUAAUCAUAAUUUAGGCCUUGGCAACAAAAGGCAUAGGCGGAACUUACACUGAACAAGUCCUCAAUAUCAAUCUCGAUAGCUCGAAAUUUGCGGUUUGCAACUUCCUGCUGGAAAGGAAAAUAACAUUUAGAUACUGCUGCAGCAUAAUUCAAAAAAAAAAAAAAAAAUUAGAAAAUGAAUCCGGCAUUCAAUCCAACGGGAAAUUAGGGUUUUCAGACAGCACAGUCAUUGCUUAUUAUAAGAUGUGGUAAUGAAGAAGAUGAGGAGGGGAACUCACAAGGAUGCGCAUAUAUUUGGUUCGCCAUUCGAAUUGGCAAAGUUGGAAAGGAAAUCCUUCGCAAGCUCUGUCAAAAAACAAAAAUCAAAAUAAUAACGAGAUCGAGUAUUCACCAAGAAGAGAGAGAGAGAGAGAGAGAGAGAGAGAGAGUGAUGGGCAGUCGUCACACACAGAGAGACUUGAAAUGAAUGAGAGUUCAGAUUUGGCGGCAAAUGGGGAUGUGGGUGAGGGUUUUUAAACGGUUCAUGUACUUUAGAGUAGGGCUGGAAAAAAAUCCCAAAAAUACCAAACCGAACCGAAAUUCCCCAAACCGAAAAAUUCCCGAAAUUUCGGUACGGGAAUCGGUCUCACGUUUUUGGGAUUUCGGUAUUCCCAAACCGAACUGAAAAAUAUACAUAUAUAUUAUUUAAUUUUUAAAUAUAUAAUUAGAAUUUUAAUAGCCGUUGGAUUAUGUUGAGAUUUAAUCUCAGCCGUUGCAUGUAAAUCAAAGUUAUCAACCCCCCAACCCGUGUCUGACUCUCUCUCGCUCUCUCUCUCUUGCUCUCUCAACCUCAGACCUAAAACCUCACCUCACCUCACCUCAGUAUCUCCUCGCCGAUUUGUCUCUCCUCCCACAUCCGUCGCCUGAAUCCCGAAUCUACCCAAACCAGUCGUCAUUCCUCUCAGUCAUCACUCCUCACCUUAAUCGCACCUUUACCCAUUGUCCUUACCAUCCGAAUUCGGCUCCUAAAUCGAGCUUUCGGUCUCAUUCCGCACUCCUCCUCCUCACUGCAAAAGGUAAGAAAUUCCUGCAAUAAACUCAACCAAAGUUCAUACAAAUUGUUUGAUUCCAAAUUCGAUUAGAAAAUUUGAAUUUGGGUUUCUGAAUUAGGAAUUUCUGAAAUUAGGAUUUCUGAAAUAGGGCUUUUGGAAUUAGGGAUUUUGAAUCGACGGAGAGGUUGCAGAGGGAAUAUGAGAAGUUAAUGGAGUGUGGUACAACUUACAAGCUGCUGUUGUUAUUCCCUUGUUUGUGUUAAAUUAAAUAUAUGAAAUCUGGUUCAUAUGCAUUCGAAUAGACCGAGGCAUUUCGCUUCUUUCUUUGUUUGUUUUAUAUUCGUUUUGGGUGAGGGGAUGAAUGAGGGCCCUGGGUUGUAAAUGGUGUUGAUUAGUAUUGGACUCGGAAUAUGGAUUAAAAACAUAUUGAUUGCAGGGAAGUGGAUUAAAAAGUUAGUCUAAAAUGUUACCAUGAUAUAUCAAUUUUCUUUUGUUGUCCAUAUACAGAUUGUUAACUAUUACAUAUUUGAAAAAUGGUUUCAUAUUGGAGAUUCUCUUAAACUUAUUUUUCGAUUUAGCAAGCAUUGAGAACUUGUUUUUGCUCUUUUCUUUCUCUCUGAAACUUCUAAUGACUAACUGAUUAGAUCCUUAAGCAUUUGCAUAACAUUAUCUGUGCACAACUAUUGACUAUUGUGCACAGAUUCAGAUUUCAAAUUGCACAAAUUGCACAAAUUGCACAGAUUGCAUAUUUUAGUCUAACAAUAGAUUGGGCCGCAUAUUGGCAUUCUGCCCAAAAGCCCAAAAUUUCAAUAUAAAAUGUUGAAUUUUAGCCCAAAAGCAUAAUAUGUCAAAUUUAGUCCAAAAGCCCAAAACCAUUUCGGGAUUCCCGAUUUGUCCCGAAAUCCCGAAACUAUUUCGGGAUUCCCGAAAAUUGGGAUUCCCGAAAAUUUGGUUUGGGAUCGGUAUUGAAAUUGGGAUUCUCGAAAAUUUUGGUUUGGGAAUCGGGAUUAGGGUUUCGGUAUGGGAUCCCAUACCGAACCACCCCUACUUUAGAGUGUGGUUGAAAAAUGAGUGAGCCAAAUUCCGAUUCAAGAGUGAGAUAUCCAUUAAAUAAUUAUGUGUCUAUCUGUCAUCUGUCAGAAUCAAAUAAGUCAUUUGUAUAUCAAUUAUCUAUUGUAUCUAUUCCUAACAGAGUGCAUGAGGCCUUAGCAGAUUCCCGGUGGAAAGAUGCAAUGAACGAGAAAUUGAGAUCGUUGAAGAAGAAUGCUACCUGGGAAAUAACUGACUUGCCAGCCGGAAAGAAAUAUGUGGGAUGCAAAUGAGUUUAUAUGGUGAAAUACAAAGCAGAUGGAACAGUAGAUCGCUUUAAAGCACGAUUGGUGGCAAAGGGGUAUACACAGAAAUAUGGCAUCGACUACAUUGAUCAAUACAAUUCGUGUUCUAUUGUCCUUAGCAGCAAAUCUAGAUUGGCCUUUGCAACAAUUCGAUGUAAAAAAUGCAUUCCUCCAUGGAGAUCUAACUGAGGAGAUUUCAUGGAUUCCACUAGGGUGGAGUGAUUCGGACAUACGGAAACAAAAGGUAUGUAGGCUUAAGAAAUCAUUGUAUGGGUUGAAGCAGUCUCCAAGAGCCUGGUUUGGUAGAUUUACCAAGUCCUUGAGAGCAUUCAAGUAUAGGCAAAGUAAUUGGGAUCACAAGUUAUUCCUGAAACACCGGAAUGGCAAGGUUACAGUUCUCAUCGUAUAUGUGGAUGAUGUGGUGGUUACUGGUAACGAUCUUGUUGAGCAAGUAGCCUUGAAAAAAUAUUUGUCCACAUAAUUUGAAAUGAAAGAUCUUGGUUCUUUGAAAUAUUUCCUUGGGAUUGAAGUGUCGAGAUGCAAGUCCGAGAUAUUUCUAUCACAAAGGAAGUAUGUUCUUGACCUGUUGAAAUAAACCGGUAUGACGGCGUGCAAGCCGGUGUCUACUCCGUUGGCCGAAGGAAUGAAGUUGGGUAUCGAUCAAAACCAAGUACCGAUUGAUAAAGGGAGGUAUCAAAGGUUAGUAGGAAGAUUGAUGUACUUGGCUCACACUAGGCCGGAUCUUGCUCAUGCCUUAAGUGUAAUUAGUCAAUAUAUGCACAAUCCAGGAGAACAACAUAUGAGUGCACUUAUGAGAAUAUUGAGUUACUUGAAAGGAAGCCUUGGUAAAGGAAUUUUAUUUCAAAAAAAAUGGGCAUUUCAAAAUUGAGUGCUAUACGGAUGCUGAUUGGGCAGAAUCAACAGAUGAUAGGCGCUCGACAUCCGGGUAUUUUACCUUUGUUGGGGGAAAUCUAGUAACGUGGAGAAGCAAGAAGCAGAAUGUUGUAUCAAGGUCAAGCGAAGAAGCCAAAUUUAGAGGUAUGGCACUCUGUAUUUGUGAACUCUUGUGGCUUAAGUUUCUGUUACAAGAUGUGGGGGUCAAACAUAGUUAGCCAAUGAAGUUAUUUUGUGACAAUAAAGUUGCUCGUGAUAUUGCUCAUAAUCCAGUGCAACAUGAUAGGACCAAACAUGUAAAGGUUGACAGGUUCUUUAUUAAAGAGAAGCAAGAUAACAAAGUAAUUGAGGUUCCUCCCACAGGAACGGACAACCAAGUAGCAUAUAUUCUCACUAAGGUGGUUUCUAGUGACAAGUUCUCCAGGUUUCUAGACAAGUUGGGCAUGUGCAACAUCUAUGCACCAACUUGAGGGGGGAGUGUUGACUUGUAUUAGGAUUCCUACAAUUGUGGGAUUCCUACCAUAUUUGGUUUCCUAGUUUAGGAUGUAAUUAUUCAUUCCUUUAUUCUGAUAGGAAUAUACAUGAUUGUAUAGGGUUGUAUAUAUACUUUUAUUUUGAGAUGAAAUACAAUAUUUAUUGAAAAGCAUUCUUUCUUCUUUGCAUAUAUAAUAGCAUAGCAUGAAUGGUUGAUAUGACCUGACAAACUAACUCUGAAUUAUGUUCUGUAUGAAAAUAUCUUUGUCUUUUUUUUUUAAUGGCAGCUGACCCUUUUUAACGGGCCUGAUUAGUGGGAGGUUAGUCUUUACGACAGAUGCCUAAAACGUGCUUAUGGCAUUGAGCUGGAUGUUGGUUCGUUGAAGAAUGUUAAUUCGACUUCCACUAGAUCGUCACAUGAUUAAUGAAGAUCCACAACUAUGUAUUAUUCAGAUAAAUAAUAAUACAUAUUUGAUUGUAGCAAAUUGAUUGUAAUUUAUUGAAUGCUUUUUUUUUUUUCGUCAAAAACAAAACAUGGAAUUGGAACCUUUUAAUGGCGCGUUUACGUAUCUGUAAUCGGAAUGAGAAUGUAGAAUUGAAUUCCGAUUACGGAAUACUCCGGUGUUUAUUAAACAUAGAGGAAUCAAAAAAGCAGUGGGGCCCAUAUAAAUUUUGGAAUUCAAUUCCUUGUAUUGGUGGAAUUGGAUUCCCUAGAUAUAUGUGGUAAUCCAAUUCCUGAUUGUUUGGGUAAUCGGAAUGACACUUUUGUUCCCUUUAUGCCCUCACUUACUUUUUUUUAUUUCCAAGAGUAUCCUUUAUAAACCCAUUAAAGUAUAUAAAAUAUUUGAUUUGGGACAAGGGCAUUUUAGUAAUCAUACUGAUUUAUAUUCCGAUUCUGCUGAAUUAGUAAACAGCUUUAUGGAAUUCUAUUCCAAUUCCAGAACAUUUAAGUAAACAGCUUCAACAGGAAUCUGAUUCUGACUUCUCCUCAUUCCAACUCCUCGUCAAUUCAAUUUCUCCUCAAUUCAAUUCUUCAUAUUUUCAUUACCGUUACGUAAACGCGCUAUAAAGGGUUAGGGUAAAGGGGUCGGCACUUUGUGGUGGGGACAUUUGGAGCCAACAAAAUACAAUACAAUAUAAUACCGACCUCUCUUUUUCUCUACCUGAAAAAGUCGAGUCGAGAAGGUUCGAUAAGUUCAUUUCAUCUUUGGCAGCAGCUAAUGGCGUCCGCAUCCUCACCCUCCAUCCUUUAUAUGGGAAUUUGAGGUUCCAAAAGCAAAGCAAGGAAGCCAACACCACCAAUAGGCAGAUUUGACGUACCCAAAACCAGAAUUUUUUUUUUGGUAUAGUAAGUAGAAUAAACGCUUAAAAUGAAAUACUAAGGGGGUAGGGGAGUCAAGCAACUCAUAACCAAAUUUCGGUUUCGCUCAAAUUUCAUUGGCCUAAACCACAAGGCACACAAGGAGGAGUUCAACACCUCAUAACCAAAUUUCAGUUUCGCUCAAUCCGCAUUCGCUUAUAUAUGAAAAAUUCUCUCUUUUUGUUUUUUGUUUUUGAAAAAACGGUAUGAUCCACACUGGGGGUAGGGGAGUGGGCUAAGCCUCAUAAUGAGCUAGCAAUAAUGUGGUUUGACAAAUUCUCAUCUUAACGAGUGUUAUAAAUUUGAUACGUUUUUAAAACCUUACAUCUAGGCAACAAACUAAACAAACAGAUACAACGGAGCACAAUUGGGAGAGGAUUACCACAUGAUUUGAAGUUUUGAACUUACAAUUUUCAACUUCCAAUCCUACUUCUAAUAGAGCGUUAGAUUCGAAUGGUCGACUAUUUCAGAUAAGUCGGACUGUUAGAACGAUUGGGAGAGGGGUAGUGAUAGUUGAGAUCUUUGGGGUUUUCUUUGUAGGUGGUAGGAAAGGUGGCGGUGGGGGUUGGUAACGUAGGGAAGCCAAUAGAGAGAGUGGAGAACUAAUAGGAUCGUAGCUCUGGAAUCACUCAACCAGGCAAGAGACUGGGACUCACUCAGCCAGAAAAUAGAACGAGCAAAGAGUUUGCUAGAAGCUUUCAAUUACAUUCAAAGUCUGACCGACAAUCCCUUUAGCUCAAGAAUUAUAAAGACUUAUAAUAUUAAAAGACUCCUACUUCCUAUGAGACUCUUACAAUCUCCAACAAUAACUUGACAAUUUCUAAGGGACAACUUAAUUAAACCUUGUACUCCUAAUACACAUGAACUUGACAUUUAAGGACUGUCUGCUGCAUCAAUCUCCCUAUCCCGAAAAAAUAAACUCGUCAUCGAGUUUGAGAUUGUGAAUUCAUUCCCAUAAGUUAUGAUCAUCUUCUCGCAGUUCUUGUUUGCUGAUUCAUGUAGCUUCACUCAGGGGUGGUUCUUCCAACGAGUAAGAUAUUGUCCAUAGGUGCCUCGACGAGUAGAGGUUGAACGUUUGUCUAGGAUUUCCAAUGAAGUAGUAUAUGCAUGAGGGACAUUAGUAGUUUCGGGACUUGUGGCUGUGGGAACUAACUCAGGUUCGCCAUGGAACAAAUAUAGAUCAGAGAUGUUGAAAAUGGGACUUAUUUCUAUUCCCUCUGACAGUUCAAUUUUGUAAGCAUUGGACCCAGUUUUCUUAAGCACUCUGCAAGGACCAAUCUUCUUCUUCUUUAACUUGUUGUAUGCGGGGAACCUUUCUUUUUUUAAAUAAGCCAUCACCAAGUCACGUUCUUGGAACUCCACAUGAUGCCUAUGUGCAUCAGCAGCUCUUUUGUUGUUGUUGGCAAGUCAUACAUCGACUAACAAAUCUCUCCACAUCUCAAGACAUUCUCGGUUAAUAAUACCGCUCUUGGACUAGAGCAACAGUUUUGUCUUUGCCAAAAUGACCGCCUAAGCCUCCUCCAUGCAACUCAGUAAUAAAUUGGAGCCUCAAGGAACCUUGAGGGACACAAAGUUGUGUGCCCUUAAAUAAAUAUCCAUUGACAGUGAUAAAAAUCGUAGUUUUAGUGAGCUCUAUCUAGUUGUGAUUUAUUGUCGCUUGUUGUCUGCAGGUUACGGUAUGUUGAAAAACUAUGUUCGUGAAUAUCCUAUCAUUUUUCAAAAGAAAAUACAAAUUGGUUUGGGUGAUAAUUUUUUUUUCUUCUGAACAAACGUUAUUAUUUACACUAAUUGGGUGAUAAUUUUUUUCUUUUGAACAAACGAUAUUAUCUACACUAAGGGGGAAAGGUGGGCAAACCUCACAAUGAGCUAGCAAUAAUGUGAUUCAAAUUGGCUUUUGGCGAGAAUUGAACCUAAGACCUCUCACUUACAAGUAAAGAGGAAUAUCAUUAUACUGUAAUACUAAGUGGCAACUUGGAUUGUGAGAUAACCACCAUCUUCAUUCAGCAUGCCAUCAUAUGUAGGCCUGACAACUUUUUGCACAAUCUGUUAACCUGACACGAAAAUUAUAGGUUUUGGGUCACACUCUUAACGAGUCGGGUCAUCAUUGAAUCACCCGUUAAGAGUCUGUUAACAAGUCGGGUCGUUGAGUAACCCGUUCAAAACCUUAUCGUUUACUAAAUCUAGAGGCCAGCAUGACAAUUUCUUGCAUGGCUCGUUAAUCCAACAUGAAACGACACGACCCAUUAACAAAUCAGGUCAUUAUCAUGUCAUCUGUUAAGAACCCGUUAAGAUAACAAGUUGGCACGACCUGACGCGUUAAGAUAACAAAUAUGCCACAAAAAUAACACAAACACGAUCCAUCAGGCUUAAUCAUAGGUAUGUGCAUGCAUUUGGGUUAAAUAAAUCAACGAAGUAUUCGGACAAUGAUGGUUCCAGCUUUUCACUUUGCAUUACUAUUGUUCUUCAAACAAGAUAAACAUAAGAAUAUAUCUCUCCUUUUUGCAUUGUGCUUUGGACUGACUGGAUCACGGAGCUUGAGCAGUUGCGUGCUCUCGAUCGACAAUUCGUAGUGCUGCUUGCACCCACAAACCCUAUUUCCCCCUUAUAGGCCUUAAUUUUAUGUUUUUCGAAUUGACAAAGAAAAUCGAUUUACGAUUCUCUCAUUUUCGACGUGAAACCUUACAUUCUUCAACACCCAUCAUACAUUUGAGAAAUCGAUCAUGGAAAAGCAACUAUACAAUUUGCAUAUGCGCAUCAUGUACUAUACAAAUGGGAAACAACUUGGUGGCAAAAUAUAUUUUGUCAUCCUAAAAUCAUAGGGCGCAUGCAUCGCACUGCUAUAUAUUAUCUCAAGUCGUUUUAUAGGGUUGGACUAAAUCAGAGCCGGUAUAGAAGGUAAGGCGAACAACACAUGUUAUAACCACGAGCUGGUGGUUACCACGGGCGGAUUGCAAGGCUUCCUUCAAAUUAAAGUGGAGGUCUUGGGUUCAAAACCCGCUGCUAGUGUGGAAGCUAGACUUGUGGCCAGGGAGAGGCUGAAAUGCCUCUGUUAGUCUUCCGGGCCCCCGAAAAAGAUGGAUAACCGUAACUUGCCACCAGUUGUCCCUUUAAAAAAAAAAAAAAAACGACAACAACACAUAUGUUAUAAACUUCAAUUCCAAUAGGCUUCGUUUUCACACAUUUAUUCUACAUAUAUCUUAAAUUUCUUUAUUCAUGGUAUUCUCCACUACGCAUAUGAUUUAUAAAUCAUACGGAUACAGAUAGAAUGGUUUGAGAGAAAGAUAUGGAGUUGGAGGGCUCAACUUUCGUAGAUGACAAGCAAAGCAAAUUAAGCAAUGAUGUGGAAAAAACAUUUCUUCUUCAAGACCGGCCGGGGUCAUAUAGGUCGCGGACCAGUUUUACACGUGACAAAACAGUCGGCUCUUGCUGCUAUAUUUUCACGUAACGUAACUAAUAAACUUGUGUUAGAAGACGCAAGUGUUUUUUUACCACAGUGGUAGAAAGAAGUUGAGCUCUUGUAUGAUGACAUGGAUUCGAUUCUCAUCGGUCGCUAAUCUAACAUCUAAUUUGACAAAAUCUAUCGUUAAAAAAAAUGUUCUAAGAUGUGUAUCGCUUACAACUUACACUUUUAUUUAUGUUCUGAGAGUAUUUUUAAUCGAGAGAUGCACAUUUUAAGAUGUAAAUGUCACCUUUACAUUUUUUUUGUUUUUUUUACAUUUCAUUCUACAUUUCUGGCAAAUGUAAAUGCAAGUCCUAUCUAUCAACCAUGUGAAAUCAGUGGUUUCUUGGUCACGACUGGCUAAAGCUAAAUUUUCAUUAAAGAGCGUUUCUACGUGAUACAACCUCCUCAUUGUAUAAGGUUUUCAUGAUGUUGAUCUUGAGCCGCCAUCCAAGCAUGAAUACAUUCGUUCAAGAGAAUAUUUGUCAUGCCCCGAUCCCGACAUACGUCCAAGAUCGAUACGUGACAUCACCAAGUACCCAUAUAUCUAACAUACCGGGAUAUGUACAAAGCAUAGAUCAAGAUUUGAAUUUCAUAGCAUUUUAGGUACAUUUUAUGGCUGCAUCUAACUUCCUCGUUAGACUGCCUAUGUACCAUAAAUAGGGAUCAAGCCAUUUGUAGUUCGUCAUUCGUCAAACUCUAAUCUUUUCGUAAAAUACUUCUAGUGGAAAACAUAGGGUACCACACUACACAUCAACCAUAAGCCAAACACAAUUAUCAUCUUGUCAUGCACGCAGGUAUACCAUGCCCACACAUUUACUUUCCAAUUCAUCCUUCAAAUAAAUCACUACGUUUCACAUACUUCCGCAAUUCAUAGUAUGCAACAUCUCAAAGAACAGUCAACGAAUCACCAUGUUAUCCUUAAGCCACAAUGGUCAACGAAUCUAAUCAUAAUGACAACAAUCACAACCAACAUUAUUCCAUAAUCACAUCAAUCAAUAACACAUAUCAUAUACCAAAAUGUAGGGCUAGAGCGACACAGUUCGGCUGAAGCCUACAUCUCUGAAGUUGAUAUCAAAUCCCAGGAACCAACAAGUCAAAUGAUGCGAUUUUGGACCACUCAACGAAAUUCAAACCAUGAUACGAUUCCUGACCAUCACUCAACGAAAUCACGGAGUAGAAGGGAUUUCAGACCAUCACUCAACAGAAUCCAAACCAGGAUACGAUUUUGAACCAUCACUCAACGGAAUCGCGGAGUAGAAGGGAUUUUGGACGAUUCUGAACCAUCACUCAACGGAAUCGCGGAGUAGAAGGGAUUCCAGACCAUCACUCAACGGAAUCGAAACCAGCAUACGAUUUCGGACCAUCACUCAACGGAAUCGCGGAGUAGAAGGGAUUUUGGACCAUCACUCAACGGAAUCCGAGUGGAUACGAUUCCGGACCAUCACUCAACGGAAUCGUAGAGUACAAUGCAUAACAACUACUCAAUGAAACAAGACAUGGAUCAAGUUACUCAAGUUACAAGGGUUCAACGAAACGAGAAAUGAAAUAAUGAAACGAUGGGUGAAACAUGUUUCGAAGCAACAAACCUUAUGACAAUGGGUUAACGGUCCACUACUAGCCCUCACAUUUCAUCACACCAAGCCAAACAUACAAAACAAACUAUAUUUCCAAUAUGCACGUCAAAUCCCACAUCAGAAAACAACAACGAUGGCUAAAUAUAAAAAUUAACAAUUUUAUAGGAAACAUAAUCAUAAAACCAUCUCAUAUCCACACAUGAUAAUAGUUAUGAAAACAGGGUAAUCACCUAUAUCAAAUAUAUUAAAGUCACUCACAUUUUAUUAUAUCAUACCAUCUAUGCAAAUCAACCACCUUUCAAAUAGGCACGUCAAAUCGCAUAUCACAAGCAUUAUCAGUACACAAGCCAAAUCAUGUUUAAUAAACAUACGUCUAUGGCUAAAUAUAUAAAAUCACAUUUCAAUAGAAAUCACAAUAUAAAAUCAAGUCAUAUUCACAGAUGAUACCUGUUGAUGCACAAAAUCAGUGAGGACUUUGGUACAACAGAAAGUGUUAAGUUUGUGACCUUCGCUAGAUUGCUUCGGUCACUAGUGUGGAUAAGUAUGUAAAUGGAUAGAGACAGGGAAGCAAACACAAGAUGUACGUGGUUCACCCAUAUUGGCUACGUCCACGGAGUAGAUGAAUUCUCAUUAAUUGUGAAGGGUUUACACAAGUACAUAGGUUCAAGCUCUCCUUUAGUGAGUAUUAGUGAAUGAUUUAGUACAAAUAACAUUAGGAAAUAUUGUGGGAGAAUGAUCCCCUUUUAUAGAAGAGAGUUUCUAGCUUUGUUUUGACAUUGACACGUGUCGUGUUGUGAUUGGCUUCUGAUGUUGACACGUGUCGCGCUAUGAUUGGCUUCUGAUGUCAACACAUGUCGCGCUGUGAUUAGCCUCCUGGUUUGAGGGAAACUUUUCUGGGUCCUUGACGGUAUAACGUUAACCGGUGCUCAGUAGUUUCGGGAUUGGUCAAGUAUGGUACAAACAGUGCUCCCCUAAGUUCCUGAGUGAGGGAAGCUCCUCGGUUGGGGACUUGCAAGAUCCAAGCCGCUGAGUAAUCACGAAACUUCUAAGUACCGAAGUGUGGUAUCAUCUUCACUUACCUUAUCUGUCUCAUAGGUAAAUGUGCAUCUUCUCUGGAAGUACUUUUCCUCCAUCCAGGGGUGGUAUCUUUAACCGGUGGAGAUGCACAAGGUAAUGUAUCAAUUUGACUUGAAGCUUACUUGUAGUUUCAGGCUUGGUUAAGCGCGAUACAAACCAUGUAGUAGGAGUCCCCCAAGUCGCCGAGCUAGGAGAUUUUCCGAAAGAGGUGACAGACAAGGUAAGCAAUCAGAGUUCUAAGCAAUCAGUCCCAGAUCAGAAGUUUGAUUUCGAGUUCCAGCUGAUUGUUCUCAUUCUCCCUAUCUUGCAGGUAGCAAGAAGGAUAAAGAUAAGAAAAAGGAGAAGAGACGAUAUGAGAUACUUUUGAUUUUGAAGAAGUAACUUUCCACAAGCUUAUUCUUGAACUGGGCUGGAGUGUUUUCUGGUUUCCUCCAAAGUAUAAGGCCGACUCAAGAAUUUGAGGGUCAAAACAAGUCCAUCAAAUCUAAAGUACGUUCGACCCUGAUGAUAUGGGAUACUUUUGUUGUUGACAAAGUAAUGGAUGUAUCGACACGUGUUCUGUUACGCUUGUCUCCAUAUGCUUCCUUAUAUCCUUCUCACUUGCCCUAUCUGUUCCUCAGGCAGAUGUGGUAUCUUCUCUGGAAACAUAAGAUGUUGAAGAUGAGUACUCGAGAGUAAUGUCAGGUAAGUAAUCAGGUAAGGGGUUCCAGGCAGUCAGUUCCUGACUGGAAGCUUGAUUCCAAGUGCUGACUGAUUGCUCUCUUUCUCCUUGUCUUGCAGGUAAGAACAAGGCCAAAGGAAAAGACAGGGAAAAAGCAUGAUAUGGGAUACUCUUGCUUUUAACCCUGAUGAUAUGAGAUACUCUUGCUCUAGUGUGGCUUGUUUGCAGAUGUAUUAUCAGGGGGAAAAGAAGCUGAGUAUUUCGAGAAACUCUGCUGAGAGUGCCCUCUCGAAUGUGAAGAAAAGUUGAGCAUUUUUUUUUAUUUGCAGGUUUGUCUGGCUGUGGAGGAUGAAGGUCAACAUAUAUAGGAAUUGUCCCAAUAGCGAGUAGUAACGCUGUUCCUUUACCCUUCUCGGUCAUAGCAAUAUAGUGAGAGCUGCAAGAUUCACAUGUUUUAACUUUGUCAGAGCACUUUGAAAAAGUGGUCUAUGGUAUCUACAAAGUUGAUGUUGCGUGUGAAGAUUGCAAAUAAGCUCUAUCUAAGGAAAUCUGGCUCUCGAAGUUCAGAGAGCGAUGCCUCUUCGAUUUUCGAACAAGCAAUCCUAUCGGGGACCUGGCUCUCCAGAUUCGGAGAACGGUGCCUCUUCGAUUUUUGAGAAAGCAAUCCUGUUGGGAGUCUGGCUUUCGAGAUUCGAAAAGCGGUGCCUCUUCGAUUUUUGAGAAAACAAUCCUGUUAGGAGUCUGGUUGUCGAGAUUCGGAGAACGAUGCCUCUUCAAUUUUUGAGAAAGCAAUCCUGUUGUGAGUCUGGCUCUCGAGAGUCAGAUAGCGGUGCCUCUUUGAUUUUUGAGAAAGCAAUCCUGGUGGGAGUUUGGCUCUCGAGAUUCGAUUUUUAAGCAAGUAAUCCUGUUGGGAGUGUUUUCUUGAUGUGAGUAAAGGUUGGGCAUUUUUGCCAGUUUGCCUUGCCACGGAGCACGAAGGUUGACACACACAGGGACUUUCUAGUUAUCAAGCAGUGGUGCUGUUCCUUUAUCCUUGUGGGUAAUGGUAGGGUAGCUGGACCUUCAAAAUUUAUGUGUCCAAAUUUUGUCAGAGAUCUUUGGCAAAGUUAUCUGUGGUACCCAAGAAGCUAAUGUUGCGUGUGGGGAUUGUCGACAUAUUUUACUCAUGAAAAUCUGCUUCUCGAAAUCCGAAAAGUGGUGCCUCUUCGAUUUUUGAACCAACGGCCCUGUUGCCCUUUCUUUUAUAGGGGCACCAAUUGUGUGCAAGAAGUACGUUCAGAGAGUUAUUGCUUGCAUGAAAUUUCCCCUUAUUUUUGUACUUCAGAGAUUUAUUGCUCCUCAUUUCUCCUUCAUCAUUUCUGAGAAUGUCUGGCUCAUCCGACCGUCGUUUUGACUUGAACUUUGGUGAACAGGCAACCAUGCCUUCUCAAGUCAACAUAUGGCGCCCAUCCUUCUUAUCCCCUACUGGUCAUCUUAUCGUUGGGGACUCUGUGAUGAAGAAUGAUAUGACCGCUGCGGUAGUGGCCAGAAACCUUCUCACUCUCAAAGAUAACUGACUACUUUCCAAACGGUCUGAUGAGUUGGCUGUUAAGGAUUCUCUGGCUCUCAGUGUUCAGUGUGCAGGUUCUAUGUCUAAUAUGACCCAACGCCUAUUUGCUCGAACCCGCCAAGUUGAAUCAUUGGCGGCUGAAGUGAUAAGUCUCAAACAGGAGAUCAGACGGCUCAAGCAUGAGAAUAAACAGUUGCACAUGCUCGCACAUGACUAUGCUACGAACAUGAAGAGGAAGCUCGACCAGCUGCAGGAAUCUGAUGGUCAGAUUUUACUUGAUCAUCAGAGGUUUGUGGGUUUGUUCCAAAGACAUUUAUUGUCUUCGUCUUCUGGGGAUGUACCGCUUAAUGAAGCUCCAAAUGAUCAACCUUCGGUGCCUCCUCCUUCUGGGGUUCUGCCUAGUACUGAGGCUCCGAAUAAUCACCCUUCGGUGCCUCCUCUUUCUGGGGUUCUGCCGACUGCUGAAACUUCUCCUGAGCAACCUUUGUGAAGGCUCUCUCUUGUUUGUUUAUUUUGAUUCAUGUAUAUGUACAUAUUUGUAAUUUAUCGGAGAUAUCAAUAAACAAGCUUUGCUUCAUUUCAACGUAUUGUGUUAAAUACACCAAGGCCUUCUUCACUAAGUUCUUUGAAUUUUUUCUUUUGUUGAAGCUUGUAUGUUGAAGCUUUGUGAGUGAAGCAUGUAUGUUGAGGUAGUGCUCCCUUAAUUUCCCGAGUGAGGAAAACUUCUUGGUUGGAGACUUGAAAAAUCCAAGUCACUAAGUGGUCAUGAGACUUCCGAGUUUCAAGGUGCAGUAGCAUAUGGUAGGAGUCCCCCAAGUCUCCGGUCGAGGGAGCUGACGAAUGAGGCAUUUCCUUUUUAAGUGGUAGCCCAAAACUCCUCCUUCAUAUAUAUUUGUUAAGAAAGUUGUUAGGCCUAAAGAAGAGGAGGCCUAGGCAAUUUUUUUUUUUCGAAUUUUUUUUUUCAAAAUUUUUUUUUUUCGAAUUUUCGAAUUUUCGGAAAAAAAAAAUAUAUAUAUAUAUUUAAGCUUUGGUGUUGAAGCUUUGUAGGUGAAGCUUUCAGGAAACCAAGCUAGACAUAGGUUCAUAGGGUCACUAGAAGGUAUUUGGUACUUAGACAACACUCGUGGACGGUCCUAGAAGCAAUCAUCCAAAACCCGGAUAAAAUGCUCAUUUUAAAACAUUCUCAUUUAUUGUUAGAGAUGCUAUAAGGUUCUUCUUAUCCUUCUCGUUGGAGCAUGUCCACGCAUGUGUACAUGGACAUGGACAUGGAGACUCCACCAUCAAAUAUUGAAUAAUGUUAUACUUACCAUCUAUUUAUACCAUCUCUUUAAUAAAGAUAGGGCCCGACAACACAUAUGAAUCUCAUUUUUAUUAGAAAGAUGGUACAAAUAAUGGUAGAACUUUCACAUUGAAACCAUGCAUGAGAUUAAUUUGCAUGCCAACGAAAACUAACGGAGAUGGUUGGAUGUGACGACACUCUAUUUGCUUUCCCCUAUAUGUUCUUUGGUAGCUAGCAAAUUCAUAUGAUACUUGGUUUUUCAAAUCCACAUUAUCCUAUGUAAACAUGAUGUGACAUGGAACAAUUUUUUAACAUCUCUUAUGAAGACAGUCAAAUAAAAAUGUCAAAAUUUAAUUUUAUGACUGAUGUGGCUAUUUGAUGUUGAUGUAAAAAAUAUAAAAAAAAAUAUUUCAAAGGAUGUGUUAAAUUAUUAUUUUAUUCUAUAUUGUGUUUUUCUUUAUUUGCUACCCCACUCGUGAGGGUGGGGCGCCCCUAUUAAUUCGAGGAACCUAGGACGUGUUUAAAGUGACUUCACAAGAGUGGUGAACAACUUUCAAACACCAUGCCUUACUUAACCAAGGCUCAAAUCACCCAUAACUUGCUUUAAUGCCCUGCUUAGUUACUAGUCUUCACUACCAAACUCGGCUUAUUUUAUUUUGUAUUGGACCGCACUACUACAAUUUUUUUAUAUUUAUAAUAAAUAGUUUAGAAUAGUUUAAUUGUAUAUCCUAUUGAUGAAUUAUGAAACCCCACACAUUAAAUAACAAAAUUGACUCUAUCUUAGUUUGCUGUAAAAAAAAAAAAUUCUAAAAAGCAAAGUGCCAGAUGACUUGGCUAUCAUGUCAACUAUGAUAUCUCCUUUGGAGAAAACCUUAAUAUCUAUAAAUCCAAAGUUGACGUAUGCGACAUUUUCUUUAGAGAUAUUUUAUAAUAUGUUAUCAAAGUUGACAUAAGGGUGGGGCCCUAAUCGACUCCUAUUUGAUCUCAAUUUUAACACGACAAAACCUUAAUAAUAGUUUAUUCUGAUUUAAUUGAAUUUUGGCAGUGUGUGAUGGGAGCUUUUUCCCGGCCCUUCUCGAUGAGAUGUCUGCUGUGGUGGGUUUCUUUCAUAAGCGUGCACAGCAAUUGCUUGAACUCCAUCUGGCUUCUGCCUUUCGUAAGUACAUGUUUUGGGUCAAAGGCAAACGUCGAGGGGGCCAUGGUGCCUUAAUAGAAGAAGGCAAGGACCCCGUGACUUAUGCUCUGAUCAACGCCAUUGCCAUUCGGAAAAUACUAAAGAAAUAUGAUACGGUAUGUGAAUCCAACUGCUCAAAUUGGUAGUGCGUUUAUCAAAAGUUUCGGUAAUCCAGUUAAAUAUUUAUGUUUAUAAUUUUGGUUUGUGUUAUGGGAACAGAUUCAUUACUCAACACAAGGACAUGCCUUUAAGUCGCAAGCUCAAAGUAUGCACAUUAUGGCUUUUUGAGCUUAUGGCUUUUCACAUCAAUUUAAGGGAAACCAAGACUAAGUCGAGGAAGGCACCGGCUUUGUUUGAGGGAUGCUCCCUCUGUUAGCAGUGGCUAAGCCCGGAAUUGUGGAGGGGAGGGGCGAGUUUAAAAGCGUAAACGGUCUCAAAACAAAUGUAGAUAACCAAAUCCUUUCAAAUAGUAAAUAAUAUUAAUAUCGUUCAUAAUUUAUCAAUACAGACAAAUUAUAAUUGUUGCUGACAAAAUUUUAUGUUAUGAAAAAGUCGCAUAAUCAACUUAUUAUCAAUAAAAGCAAAAAACAAGAAGGCGCAGCAGCAGCCGUUGUCUUGUAGUAUACACAAAAAGACCAAAAAAAUCAGAUAUCCAUCCAAAGGAAUCAUAGGCAAGAUAUCAAUAUUUUUGGAAGGGGAUAACCUAAAAUAAUAUCCUAGCCCAAUCCUUUUUCAAUAAGAAAGUAGGUGUCUGAAAUUUAGUGAUUAAUUUGCAAAUUUUCCAUCCGCUGUUAAGGUAGAAAUUUCUUGUCCGGCUGCCGGACAAUGUAUCCAUACGACUCCUGAUGCAAAUAUAACCAUCCUUAUUGUAUAUGGAGAGGUUCUUCAAUGUGCCCGAAAUAUAGGAUAAAACAACACACAUUGUCUCAAAAUUGAAAUUGAAAUAGAACUAGGAAUAUAUCUCAAAAUCUUGAAAGUUUCAAAAUGUAUUGUGUUAUUCAAGUUUGAACUAUUUAGAAUGACAAACUAGUAGUCAGUGCAUAUGUUAGUAUGAAUGAAGUUCCAAAUUUGAAAUAAUUCUCUCAAAAGUAACACUUCACUUUUUCUUUUCUUUUUUGAAUAAAAUCUCCUUUCCUGUAACGAGUUGGAAGCUGGAACCCAUAUAGGCAUAUAUAUUUACAGUUUGUGGUUUGGAGAGAUCUUUUGACUUUUUGAAAGGGCAAAGAUUAAAUUCCAAUUUUGGGGGCAGCUUCUUGCUGCUGCUAUCUGAUUGGAUUCGAAAGUGGGCAGCACGUGGUGAGAUGAGUGAGCGUUCCUUCAAUUAUUUAUUUAUUUUAACUAGCCAAUGAAACGGUGCCGUCCCACUAAUGGGAAUUCUAAAAAAAAAAAAUGAACCAAGACCUAUAUGACGUUGUUUUGUUCUGGCCUUUUGAAAAAUACUUAAAACCCUCCCGCACAGCAGAGCUGCGCAUCAACAGGGAAACCAGAACUGCAAUAAACCCAGAACUUCCGACGAGACCAGAGGUGCGGAACCACCGCUCCUGGACUUAUUUUCCGCGAGGGGAGGGGCGGCCGCCCCUCCUUGCCCCUAUGUAGCUUCGCCCUUGUCUGUUAGAAAAUGAGUAUAUGAAACUGAAUAUUAUAGUCGAUUGUAGUGUUUCAAUCGACAUUGAAUAGUCUUGCUAGAAAGCUUAAAGCUAUCAUAAUUCUUGUGGGAUUGUAAUUAAGAUAUGAUUGGAAUUCAUAUUUGGUAUCCUAUGGUGAUUCUAAUAGGAGAAUAAAAUAUGAUUGAUAUAUUAUAAAUAGUGGCCACUGCUCUUACAAAACUUACGCUCAAUAUUGAACUAAGACCUAUUGUAGGUUUGAGUACUUUUGGUUUUGCAAGAGAGGAGAAGGUGCACUGUUUAGAAGUCUGCUUUGGCUUCUUCUUCUAUAGUUUUUACAGUUAGUUUGUCUUUGUGUUUAUCGAAUUGUGAUUUUAAUACUUGUAUAAAUUUGUGGUUCAUGAGCUUAAUCUCUUAACUUAUAUUUUUGAUAUGUUUAAUCUUACAUGUGGUAUUAGAGCCUAAGAUUGUUGCUCUUGAAUUCAAAUUAAAAGUUUUGACAUUAAAACAGUAAAAGAUGUGAUGGUUAAUUAGCAAGGAUCAAAUUUUGAUUGUGAGGAAAUCUGUAGGGCUUUCCUAAGGUUUUAUCUGGAAUUCUUUUUUAGCAAAACCUUUUUGCUCAGUUUUGAACAUUUGUUAUACUAUGUCAUGAGUGUCGUGCAUCGAUUAUAUUUUGCUGGAUAUUAUAUAAUAUAUAAAAAUUAUAUUAUAUAAUAUCAAAGGGCUUCCAAGUAUAAAGAAGCACAAACACGAAUCUAUUUCAAUAUAUAUACACAUGGAUGCAUGGUGUGCUGGUGCAUGUAUCUGCUUUGCCAUUAGCAUUGGUUAAGCCAAAUUUUGAACUUAUGAGCAUAUAUGAUUCAGGAUUGUUGUACAUGUUGAGUCUCAUCGAUUGUCAUGAUGAAGCAAAUAUGCUUAGUCUUUUCUGACGGCUUAAAAGAAAGUGUUGACCCUAGAAACUACCAAGCCUACGUGGCGCGCAGGCCGAGUAAUGCGGGGCGUGCCAACUCGUCGGCCGAGCUCGGCCGAGGAGUAAAUUUGUUGAUGUUGCGUUGGGUCGCGCUACUGACUUCUGCGUCUUGCAAUUGCGGCCGAGAAAGGAACACGUCUCGGCCUCUUGGGCUCUCGAACCUGAAGACAAGGUUACUAUUCUUACGAAGUUCAAUAUCAAAUUCGACUUUCAAUGUGCCGAAUGUAAUAACUGUAACACCUCACUUCACCGAGAAGGCUGAUGAGAGGACAUCGACCAAUAAGGAUUUAGAAACCCUUCUCGACCGAGACUUGGAUAGGUAAUCAAUCGUUCUCGCCGCAGUGCUGUUGAUGCCAACGGAAGAUACUGCGAGACCGACUGAUUCUACGGUGACAGAGCUAUCUAUGCCGACUUAAGAUAUCACCGGUUGCUUCCACAGUGCUGUUGAUGCCAACGGAAGAUGUGUCAGCGAAAAAGGAAAAAGAAAAAUCACAAGUUGUGAGAGUUUGCGCAGGGCAAUUUUGUAUUGAUUUGCAGGGGGCUUCGAAUGAUGUGCAACCUCUUCUAUUUAUAGCAAUGGCUCCCCCCAAGGUCGAGUUAGAGACCUACUCGGACUAGGUUUUCUUCCCCUGAUCAGCAUCAACUCGACCAGUCCUAUCUUCACUAGGACUGUGAACCUAGUCCUUAACUGAGUCAGAUUCGCUUCCGGGUCCUGCCGAGACUCCUUAUGGCACUAGGAUUCGACCUCUUGUGUUACGACCUAGCCGACCUAGGUUUGGAGGCCCACGUACUGAACGAUCAAUGGUAUUCUUGCCGCAAGGCCUUCCGGGCCGAGAAUGACCCUACAUUGGGCCCAAACUGUUAUUUUGGGCCCAAACAUUGCCCCCUCGCUUCUGAGGCCCUCGGCCUGAGUUCUUUGGCCGAGUUUCGGCCUUGAAGAAGCGAAUCUACCACCCAGAACCCUAAUGCCCGAGUUCCAAGGCACAUUUAUUGAACACGAUUGCACGAUCUUGAUCCUGCUAACCAAACUUGCCACGUGGCGUCCUUUAAUACGGCCAACCCCAAUGAUGACGUCCAAGGCGUGCGGCUGCCUGAACCGUCGACAUUAUGACCACUAUCUCAAUCCGCGAGCCACUUUCUCAGUUCGUGAGCCCACUUGUCAUCGUGCAGGCGUCGAAACGUCUUCCGCCAUUAAUUUCGCCGUCACACGCAAUCGUGCGCCCCCAAUAUCUGAAACCUUCGGUCUUCUCAACUGCAUUUCCCAAAUGUUCAUCAUGAUCAACGAUUCUUUCGGUCGAUUUGGCCCCUUUGUUUUGAAUUUCAAACGAUUACCCUUCCUGCCAAAAGCCUAUAAAUACUGAAAAUCUCUCAUUCGCACUUUACGCUCCCAAAACUUUCUGAAAAAACUCUCGCUCUUAUUCUCCAGCACCUUUCUUUUUCAAGUCUUCGUCUUCAAAUCUUUGUUUUCAGAUUUCCAAACCCAGAAAAACUCCAUUCGCGUCGUGCUUUUCAAUCUUCCUACAAUGGCUUCCUUUAUUUCCAAAUUCUCCAAGGAAUGCGACCAGUGCCAAAAAAUUCUUGACCGAAGCUCAAUCAAAACUAUACGGUUUGAAAGUGACAUGAGCACCAUUCACCAAUCCUGGGCCCUCUCUUCAAAGCAACCGUACCAUCAACUAUCACCGAGCUUCUCCAGGAACACUGCUUGUCACCCUUGUUCCAAGGGUUUGAAUGGUCAAGAUGGGAGGCAGCGAAACCCCAAGGCUCCUGGCCUUCGACCACUACAACCUGGGCAGCCUGGGUCGUUCGAAUGGAGAAGCUCUUCGGCGAGCAAUGGAAAGUCCUCGGCAUUUACGACGCCAUUCUUCUUCUUUCGUCUAUGGACAUCGUUCUCGACAAGGAGCUUCUCCUAGCCGCCCUAUGCUUCUGGUGUUCGGCCACCAACACCAUGGUUCUCCCUCUUGGUCCUAUCGGCCCCACCAUUCUUGAUGUUACUGCUAUCUUGGGGACUUCAGCAACUGGAAUCCCCAUCGAUGCUGCCCUCUCCGGAUAUCGGUCGAAUCUCGACUUGAAGACGCUCUUCGACCGACGGGCUUUUGAGACGUUGAGCCGUGAGGGUCAUAUCCUCUCAAAAGAAGACGUUCAGAAACUCCACAAGAACUUCUUCAACUACAACACCCUCUAUCUCCAUUUCGCUGGCCGAGGAGAAGAGGCCCUGCGGGAAGGGGAACAUGAAGCUUUCCUUUUCUACUGGUACAACAAGUACAUUUGUUGUACCAAAUCGAACAAAUGCCUGGUCGAGAAUAUGCCAGUGGCCGAGGCCCUGGCUAGCGGUCACGUCCUGGCACUUGGCCCCAACAUCUUGGCCCAUCUCUUCCGUUGCCUGGCUGAGACGACCCUGCACAAAAUUGACCCAUACCAGAAUGGUCCUCUCUGGGUCUUCCAACUCUGGCUCCAAGUGUAUUUCGCCUCCCUUCGGCCCGCCAUCGUCGAUUUCUCACCCACAAAGGCGCUUGGACCUCAGCUGGCCUCUCGACCAAUACCCCCUCACCGAGCCGAAGAAAAUAUUUAAAUUCUUUUUCGCCCUCGACGAUCUCUCCAACGAUGAGUUCCUGAUAUGUCGUCGUCGGGAAUAUCCUUCCUCGGUCAGGCUACCUAUAUCGGCGUGGAACGCAGAUGAAGACGCCGACCUUCGUCAGUCCUGGGGGUCAUUCGUGCUUGCUCGCGACCUCCCCUCGGCUGCGAUGGAAAACGAGCGGGCUGGGAAGUGUAUCAUCCCAACUUCCUUGUUCGGCAGCUUGGUUACCUCCAAGGUUGCCCAGUCCCCCUUCUCUCCUCUCGGUCCGUCCUAAGUCGCGGACGCGAACCUGGCUCAUCAGAGAAGGAGUGUGCCGACGCCAAGAAGGAGUUCCAGGAACGGUGCCAGAAAUUUCACCUUCGACCGGCCACUCCAGAAACCCUUUGCACCGACACCUUCGGUGAUUGGUGGGACAGUUAUACCCAACGGUUUUUUGGGGUCUCGGUCGAUACCAUUGUGGACACACUUUUUGGUGGUCGACCUAAAAAGUCUUCUGCCCCCCAAACCCAAGGUAAUGGUUUAUUUCUACCUUUUUCUUUCAAUUUUGAACUACUGAUCUACCUUGCUGACUUGCUUUUUAUCUUCUCAGGUAGUCGGCCUUCGAGAAAAACAGAGGCUCUCGCCGCGGCCACGGUCGAGAAAAAAAUUGGCCGUGGUUAAAAGGGAUAAGGCUGCUGGUCGGGCCGUGUUGACCAAACGCCCUCGCCAAGAGGCCGAACCGAUCGUCGAACCUCCGCCGCCUGCCAAGCGGGUAAAACAGCUGGCCAAGAAGGGCACACGGGAGAUCCACGUCAUCUCCAGCCAAACUACAAGGGCGACGACUCCCAGUGUUUCCCCUUCUCCUGCCGUUGUUCAACCCUCGAUCGAGAAACAGCCCGCCCCGGCCGCUGCGACAGUUCGAACGUAGCCUAUCUCUGGGACUGGUACACCAGUUGUGCCUCCCUCCGUCGAGGAAACACCUGCUAAAAAAAAAUGGUUUCUGCGACCGAGGGAACCACCCUUGGAAAUCCAAAACCCUCGGUCUUCAUUCUGGAAGAGAGUGAGGGGAGCGACGAGGUCCCGCUGGCAGAUCGUCCUCACUCUCGUCGGCAACCUCUCCCAAGGUCUGAGAUAGUGGUUCAAACCAGCCCCUCCACGGCUGAUCGUGGAAAGCGCCCGGUCGAGGAACCGACGGCGGUGGCUGAACCCCUCGCUCAUUCUCAGGACCAGGAUGUCCCUGCCUCAUUCGAAACGGCUGCCCCGGUCGGCCCAUCUGCAGCAGACCGUGGCAAACGCCCGCUCGAGGAACCCGAGGCAACGGCGGAAUCGCCCGUUCAUCCCCAAGACCAGGGCUUCCAUAUUCCUCCACAAGAGGUUACCUCGGCCUUCGUAAGUACCUUCGACCAUCUUUCCUUGAUUGCUUUUUUUCUAGAAUUCUAAACAAGGAAAAUACUAAAUGUCAGGUGUCUGUACAUUCUUUUCACCGACAAUUCUUCGCGCUGAAGGGCGUUAUCUACAUUUCUUGGCCGCCUCAGUGGCCAUCAAACGUAGAUAAUCUCCAUCGACAGCGUGAACUGAGAAGCAAUCUGAAACACUGGGCUCGGCCAUUAAGUUUCUUUAGGUUCGAGCAACGAUCCUGGAGACAUGGCCGAGGUCUCCUCUCGGCAGGUUAAAAAAAACACGAAACCUUCUUGCUAUUCUUGUCAUGACUUCUUUUAAACUUAACCUGAUUUGUACGUGCAGGCUUCAUGGGAGGUCGAAUUCAAAGCCCUACUCUCCAGCACAACUGCAGAGUCCGGUCCUUCGGCUGCUACAACUAAAACUGCCGAUCCAAGCGCCCUUACCCAGUUGCGAGAAGUCUUGUCGCUUUCAACAUCGCAAGUACUUGAGCGCAACGGUCUUGAUCUACUCGACGUAUGCCUGAACGACCUUGGAGCCGACGGUCGCCUGAGCGGAGAUGCCAUAGUUCGGGCAUCGUCUGCCUUGGAGCGUGUUCGGGAGACAUUUAGUAUCUUCCAGACCGCUCUAAAGGCCGAACAGUACCUACAAGCCGCCAUGGCCGUUCAAGACACCCUCCGUCCGAAGAUCGACGAUCUACGGGCAAAAGGAGAAGCGUUAGCCGAGCUCGACCGUCAGCUGACCGCACUAGCAAAACGUCGGUCGGCCAUUGCUUCCGAGCUCGCUAAAGACUUUGAGUCAGGCGGCAAGGAUCGCCUAACUGAGUAUGCGGCAACCAAAAAACGGGUCGAGCAGCUGAAGCUGGAUAAAAAGAAUCGGCAGGCCGAAGUUAUCAUGGCCGACGUGCGGUGGUUGGAAUUGAAGGCCCUGCUCAGCACUCUUCUACCCUCCUCUCAUUGAACGACUUUGAAUGUAAACCAAUCGACCCACUUAUUUGUAAAUGCUUAUCAAUCGUAAUGGACUAGUUUUCUAUUCCCGCAUUUCCCAUGUGACCGGAUAGUAUUUCUUCAAAAACUUCCCAUUGAUCGGUAAUCUGUGAACUACACCGGUUCGGUCUUUAAGAUGAUACGCCCCUUUUCCGUAUACUUUAUGCACAAUGAACGGCCCUUCCCAAUUCGGCGACCACUUGCCGAACCUAGGAUCUUUUAGCCCUCCGGGCAACACCAUUUGCCACACUAAUUCACCCUCGCCGAAUGUUUUCUGUCGCACCUUUUGAUUAUAGGCCCGCUCAGCAAUCUGUUUUUGUGCCACCAACAAGUUGUAAGCGUCAAGCCGCGCUUCUUCCAAAUCUUCUAGUUCCUGUCUCAUGGACUGAUUAUAUUCGGCGCUAAACAAACUACUUUGUUCAAUUAAUCGCAACGAAUUUAUGCUCAACUCGACUGGUAACAUUGCAUCGUGUUCGUAGGUUAAUGCGUAUGAGGUUGUCGCGGUCGCCGACCGGGGCGUCGUUCGGUAUGCCCAUAAUGCCUCGUUCAACUUCAAAUGCCACAUGCCAGGUCUUUCUUUUAUUAUUUUUUCGAGGAUGCCGAUCAACACUUUAUUACUUGUCUCGGCCUGCCCAUUCGCUUGUGGAUAAUACGGUGUGAACUGUUCCAGCCGAAUUUUCAAAUUUGCCGUGUAUUCUUUAAACCUUUCGGCUGUGAAGAUUGUUCCAUUGUCGGUUAUGAUCGUUUCUGGUACACCGAACCGGGUCACAAUGUGUUCCUUCACGAAGUCGCAAACCUCUUUAGAUGUUAACUCGGCAUAUGAUUUUGCUUCGACCCAUUUAGUAAAGUAAUCAGUCGCGACUAUUAUCCAUGCAUGCUUAGCAGCUCCAGAAGUCGGAGUGAUUUUGCCGAUUACGUCCAUGGCCCAUCCUCUAAACGGCCACGGCUUAAUGACCGAAUGUAGUGACUUGGCCGGGACCCUUUGUAUAGGCCCAUGGAUUUGGCACUGUAUGCAUCCUCGUGCAAACUCGAUACAAUCUUUCAGUAUUCUCGCCCAAAAAUAGCCGUGUCGUCGGAGUAGCCAUCGCAUUUUCCGUCCGGAUUGAUGAGCUCCGCAUACCCCUUCAUGAACCUCUGCGAUCGCCCGAGCAUUCUCUUGGGGGCCGAGGCAUAGUAAUAACAAACCAUCUUCACCCUUUCGGUAUAACUCGUUCUGGUACGUGACAUAGUUCGUGGCGUGAACCCGUGUCCUGCGACUAUGUUUCCCGUUAGGAUUGUCCAGGUACUGCAUAAUGGGUGUUCUCCAAUCAUCCGGUAUCACCUCAGUCGUGCAAAUCUCGACAGAGUCCUGCCGAUCUAACAACGAAGGUAAGGACAUAACCCUGGUGCGUAUCACGUCGUCCCGUCGGAGGAUUUGCUGGUUAACCAAGGCUGGGUAUAACUGCCGUAUCACUGGUAUCUCUUGGCCUAGUUUGCCCCCCAGGAGUUGUGCGCCGGAGGCAAUUUGAGCCAAUUCAUCCGCGUCGGUAUUAUGACACCGGGAAAUAUGUUGAAAUGUAAUACCGUCGAAGGAUUCGGCCAAAUAGCUGGCGACCAUAUGGUAAGGUGCCAGGGUACAACUCAUGCAACGAAAGGAACCAUUAAGUUGGUUAAUCAUAAGCUCGGAGUCACCGAGGACGAGGGCGCGGGUUGCCCCCAGGUCAUGGAGAAUUCCAAGGCCGAUGAUUAGGGCUUCAUAUUCGGCCUGAUUGUUGGUGUAGUCGAAGUCCAACUUAAGCGAAAAGAACCAACGAUCGUGAUUCAGGGAUUGAAUGACAAUUCCCACGCCCGCCGAAGAUAACGUACUGGGGCAGUCAAAAUACAUCGUACAGUGGUUGUCGCGCGUCUGAACCAUGCCGAUGUCAACGUCGUUGCCCCCAAAACCGUAUGGGGAGGGAUGUUGAGCAAGGAAAUCAGCCAAUGCUUGGCCCUUGACGGCUUUCUGAGCUACAUAUUGCAAGCUAAACUCGGACAGUGCCAUGGUCCAUUUCCUAAUGCGGCCUUUUACGAUCGGUCGAGUGAGCAUGUAGCGGAUGACGUCGUCUGCGCGAUAACCUGGGUAACCGAUGGGAGCAUAUAAUGCCGAAGAAGCUUGGAAACGGCGAAAAAAAACGGCUAGGCAGGCACAGCUUCUCGACGGCUAAAUAAUUGAUCUUGAUUCUGGUCGACUGAGAUUGCGGCUGAGAGAAAAAACAGCAUGUUCCCGUUCGGCGUCGUUAUCUUGUUGCGCGCGAGGAGCAGCCGAUGGAUUCUUCGGCCGCCGAGAUAUAUAGAGCUUAAGAGGCUUACCGCGCCGGGGAGGAACCAAGACAGGCGGGUUCUUGAGGGAAGACUGACUUUGAUUUGCGUAAACGCCACCUGAUGCGCGUCGUUCCACACAAAUUUAUCUGAGUCCUUGAGUUUUAAGAGUGUGGAAAACGCUUUCAUUUUUCCUGCCGAGAGUUGGCAAUAAAUCGGCGGAGGAAAUUGAUCUGUCCGAGUAAAGACUGGAACUUUUUCUUCGUCGUUGAGGGUGGGGCAGUGAUGAUUGCGCGUGCGCUUAUUAUUCAUCGACUCGACUUCAAUCCCACGAUGAUGUACGAGGAAACCAAGAAAAUUCCCCGAUCACAGGCGAAGGCAUUCAUCUUGAGGUUCAUCUUGAUGGCUGACGCAUGCGAAGGAAAGCCUGUCGGAAAUCGUCCUGUCUGUCUGCGCGCUUAGAUUUGACGACAACAUCGUUGAUGUAAACUUCGACGAUGGUGCCAAUUAACUUCAUGGAAGAUGGUGUUCAUCGCCCGUGGCGCGGCAUUCUUGAGGUCGAAUGGCAUGACAACCCAUUCGUAAGUGCCGAGUGUGCCCCGGGCAACGGGAAAGCAAUUUUGUGCACAUCGGCUUCGGCAAUAAAUAUUUGGUUGUACCCGGCAUGUCCAUCCAUAAAGGAUAAGAUCGCAUGAUUGGCGCGGGCAUCGAUUAAACAGAUCUGAAAUCGGCAUUGUAUACUCAUCUUUGGGAGUUGCCAGAUUCAGAUUUCGAAAAUCGGUGCAGAUGCGCAGUGCACCAUUUUUCUUUAAUACAAGAACGAUAUUCGCCGCCAGCCAUUCGACAUAUCGAGCUGUCCGAAUGAAUCCGGCUUUCAAAAGCUGAACUAGUUCGUCCUUGAUACUGAGUUGUACUUACUUCGGUCGAGAAUCGACGAUGUGGCUGACGGAAAGGUUUAAAUCUGGGCUUAAUACGUAAUUCAUGCUCGACCAGAGUACGAUCUAAGCCGGGCAUUUCAUGAUAACUCUAAGCAAAACAAUCUUUGAAUUCCGUAAGCAAGGUACGAAACUCGUCUUUCAUUCGUUGGGGAAGUAAAGCACUAAUAAACAAAAGCCGUGGGUCAUCGGCCGUCCCAACAUUAAUUUUUUCUAAAGGGUCCUUAACGAGGGGCCGAUGAUCCUCGAGCUCGGCCGGGGGCGGCUCGAAUUUUAUCAAAAGAUAAUACAGGCCCAUUAUCUCCCUCAGCAAGGAACUCGACGAGGUUGACGCCCGAAUUUGGUUGUUUAGAUAUCGUAUACCAAUGGGCCAGCAGCAGUUGUUCCAUAGUAGAUGAAACCACGGCCCUACGUGCUUCCCGAUCGGUGUCAAACAUCAGCUUCGGGGAGAAAGUUAGCUAAUCCGAGUCUCGCCGAAUCCUGCUGGACAGUCUCGGCGCCAACCUCGAUAGCUUUCUGAACGGAAAUCCGAGUCGGCCGUCCCUCUUCAUUGAAGCCUUGCAAAGUAAUGUAGCCGACGUGAUCGUCAUAAUACCGUGCUUGGAUCAUGUUAGCUUCGAAGGGCUGGCUAUCGGCCGGAUGAACAAUGACCGAUUUGCCGUCCCAAAAGACAAGCACUUGGUACAAUGAGGAAGGAAUACAACUGGUUUGAUGAAUCCAAUCUCGGCCGAGUAGUGCAUUAUACUCGGUUUUGGAAUCAACCACGAAAAAGGCGGUCAUGUGGGUGCGACCGGCAAUAUUCACAGUUAACGGAAGUACACCUUUGGUGUGGGAUUUGUCACCGACAAAACUACUCAUUGUGAUUCCUGACGGAAUAAGCUCGUCAUUUGAACGACGUAAGGCCUUCAUGAUGUUCAGAGGCAUGAUAUUGACGGUAGCUCCACAGUCGACAAAAACUUUAGAAACUGGAUAUCCCUCGAUGUGGGUCGUCACAUACAAUGGCUUUAAAUGGUGGAGCUUGGCCGACGAUGAACGAGGGAACAAUUCGGCCAAAGCGGCCUUUAGACUAUCAUCUUUUGUUGUUGACUCACCUUCAGCAAUCGAUACAAAAUCAACAUGGCCGGGUUCCUCGGCAACCACAUCUCCAUCAAGGAAAUUUGGUUGAGCCGUGCUUGAUUGAAAAUCGGCAGGUAACACAUGGACCAUACUGAUUUCCAUAUUGUCCAGGACUGACGGGCCCAUCUGGUCAAGACCUUCCUCGUUCGGUUGAUCGGCGACUACGGACUUAGUUGUCGCCAAAGUCGGACAACGAGACUCUCUUUUGUCCCUUCUUCAAUAACAUCACUCGGCGGAGCUGCUUCGACGACUUGUUGGUUCUGCGUGACCACCUCAGGUAGGGUUGAGAUUGACAAUGUACUUGGGAUCAGGACCUGAACCUGCUCCUGGUAAUAUAGCCGAGCAUCCCUAGUGUCGAGAUAAGCAUCCAGACGGGCAAUACGUGCGAUUUCAUCGGUCGUAAGGCCGAAGAGAGAAACCGCCGAAAAUACUUCAAAGUGAUAUCGUAAAUACUGAAGGUCCUCCAGCGAGAAAGGAAGGUCGGCUGCAUUGAUAUCGGUGUACGGGUCGACUUCAAAUCCAAGGACACGGGUUUCUCGUAUGUGCUGGAACCUUACUUUCAAUCCUGGAUCUGAGGUCUUCUGGAUGAUCCGCUCAGCAUCCGGACAAGUCAGGACCAGAUCAAUGGUGUCCUGGCAUGCCUUCGGCAAACCAUACAGAUCGUUGGCCGAAUGUUUCUUAUGAAACUCUCGCAUAUACUCCAAAGACUCCCCAAGGAACGGGGGAUGCAAAUUCCGUCGAAUUUUGACCAAAGGUUCUUAUAUAGCCAGCGGGGAUAAUUUGCUUUCGGCCUCUUGCCUGAAAUGUUCAAGGCGUGCCUUCAUUUCCCCUGGUCGAAUGAGAAGUUUGAUCCGUUUAUCAGCUUCUUCAAACAUGGUCUCGACAUCUUGAUCGACCAGCCGUUUCCCCUGAGCCAACUCUGUCAUAAUUGCUGGAGGUGGUCGCUCAUCAUCAGUGACAACUGUGUUAUUCGGCCGCCACUUAGGGGCCAAAGUUUCUUGGGCUGCUCGUCGGCGAGCCAUGCAAUCUAUCCGUUGAUGCCGGCAUUUCUGAGAUUUGGACAACGCGGUGUAGACGCCCUUCGAAGAAUGGUAUGUAUACCAACGUUGAUCUCUAGGCUCGGGAGGCUUAAAGGUCUUUUGGCUCCGCGAUGAUUCUGAACUGCUAGAAUUACGCUUAUAGUAAUCAUCGUCAUAGAAUGAAGCAUCAAAAUCGAGGCGUCGCCUGACCGGGGGUGUCUCUUCCAUCCGUACUUUAGGACCGAGCCUCCCAAAAACCCCGGGGUGUUGGCCUUCAUUGGCUACCCUUUGCCGAGUUGCGGCCACAGGUUGCGAAGAGGGCUUCUCCUCUGGUUCACUAUCGACCUUCGCUCUACAUUUCCUGCACAAAACCGCCGUCCCACUGUCUUCGUCGGUGCUGUAAUCCAUCAUAGGUUUGACAGUAGCGGGCCCCAUUAAAGCCGUAGGUGGUUUAUUUGAACGAAAAUCGGCCAUGAACCGUGGCCGAAAAUUCUGAUUCCGCGGGCGUUGUGUCUCAACCACUUCGGCCUUGCCUUUCCCUUUGUCCUUGGGUAGGUACGCGUCGACCAUAUUUACUGUUGCCGUGGGGAACGGAUCAGUAUCAACACUCAUCCUCUUCUCGGGAAACUUCAGUUUGCCAUUAUCAAUCCAGCUUUGGACGUUAUCGCGAAAUACAACGCAAUUGUUUGUCGUAUGUUUGCUUGAAUUGUGGUAUUUGCAAUACACCUUUCCUUUAAGCUCUUCGGCCUUAGGAAUGUUAUGACCAGGCCGAAGCUUAAUGAUUCUUGCUGAUAACAGUUGGUCAAAAAUUACGUCGGCCUUGGUAAUAUCAAAAGUAUAAACCUUUGACGGUUUCAAUGCUCCUUAAGUGGCCGAGCGACUUUUGGCUUCUCUAGAAUCAACCUGAAUCAAUGCCUUGCAAACGUAUGGCUUAUCUAUCACUAUCUCAACCGCAUCCACACUAACGCAUUCAUCCUCGGUUGAUGCAUAAUUGACAGUAGGGUUCUUGUAAAUCGUUCCCUGAGUUGGAGUCUUCGAAGUCUUUUCCUCGCGGAGCAAAUAAUCAUACUGCUCAACAUGUUGGGCUAAUUCGUACAUAUCCCGAAAAAUUUGCCCCCAAGAAUUUCUUUUUGUAUUCGACGUCAAGGCCGUUCAAAGCAAGCCUAACAAAUUCGACUUCGGGUAAAGGCACUCGGCACCAAUUCCUAGCUGAUUUGAACCUGGUAAGAUAAUCCAUUGGUGAUUCAUCAGAUGCUUGAGCCAUUCGUGCUAAUGAAGAGACCGACAUCUCCAUCCCCGGCCGAUAAAACUGCUCGUGGAAUUUCUCGACCAACUCCUCCCAGUUUUGGACGGAAUUAGGAGGGAGAUUGAUGUACCAGGCAAAUGCCGAGCCAGUCAAUGAAAAGUUGAACAGCCGUAACUUAUGGAAAUCACUAUUAACAUCUCCGCAUUGCGCGGUGAAACGGGCCACGUGCUCCAACGAGGACAGGGACGAUUCACCGGUAAAAAGACUAAAAUCUGGGAUCUUGAAACCCUUUGGGUAUCCAAACGUUUCCACGUAAGCUGGGUACGGAUGAAUAAACUUGGGAAACUUCGGCCCUUUCUUCAUGGCCGAGUCGAUUAUCCGCUGAACUUCGGUCAUAUCAACAGGUGUUGCUUCGAUCCUCUGGUCGGUCCCGUCUGACCUACUAUUCGACCCUCCUCCUUUUUCCAAUAAUUGGUUUGAGCGGAGCAGGAAUAGGCUCGGCCGGUACAAUCGGCACCGGGUUGUUUCUUGGUGGACAAUGUUGGAGAAGAUCGAAAGGCCUGCUGCCACCAACUUUACUAACCAGCAUUUCGAGUAGCCUGGUUUGUUGAUCAUUGGAACUGAGUAUCGCGUCAUGCAGCUUGUCAAUGCCUCGGCUGAACGUCUGCUCGACUGACCGAGACUGCUCGUCUAGUCACUUUCGGAGAAACGACCUCGUUGGUGGGUCAGAUCCUUCACCACCAUCCUCGUCACACUCCUCUACUAUCCCUUCAUUGAGAACGCAUGUGUUUCUGUUAGGGAUUUCUAAACCACGGAGUUGACCGCCGAGAUUAACUUCUCUCUCUCGGCGAGUCGCACUCGUGGACUCAGGUGUCGUAGUGCUAAGGGGAUUCUGCGCCUGUGGCACACUCUGUCCUAUGCUCUGACUCGGCAAAUUGGAUGUCGACUUUCCCAUAGCUGUUUUCUUUUUUACCGAUCGUGUUUCAAUUGGCAUGAACUUCGUAGUUUAGCACUGGGUCCCACCGGGCGUGCCAAAAUGUUGACCCUAGAAACUACCAAGCCUACGUGGCGCGCAGGCCGAGUAAUUAAUGAGCUAACUACGUCCUUCGGUGAAUGCGGGGCGUGCCAACUCGUCGGCCGAGCUCGGCCGAGGAGUAAAUUUGUUGAUGUUGCGUUGGGUCGUGCUACUGACUUCUGCGUCUUGCGAUUGCUACCGAGAAAGGAACACGUCUCGGCCUCUUGGGCUCUCGAACUUGAAGACAAGGUUACUAUUCUUACGAAGUUCAAUAUCAAAUUCGGCUUUCAAUGUGCCGAAUGUAAUAACUGUAACACCUCACUUCGCCGAGAAGGCUGAUGAGAGGACCUCGACCAAUAAGGAUUUAGAAACCCUUCUCGGCCGAGACUUGGAUAGGUAAUCAAUCGUUCUCGCCGCAGUGCUGUUGAUGCCAACGGAAGAUACUGCGAGACCGACUGAUUCUACGAUGACAGAGUUAUCUAUGCCGACUUAAGAUAUCACCGGUUGCUUCCACAGUGCUGUUGAUGCCAACGGAAGAUGUGUCAGCGAAAAAGGAAAAAGAAAAAUCACAAGUUGUGAGAGUUUGCGCAGGGCAAUUUUGUAUUGAUUUGCAGGGGGCUUCGAAUGAUGUGCAACCUCUUCUAUUUAUAGCAAUGGCUCCCCCCAAGGUCGAGUUAGAGACCUACUCGGACUAGGUUUUCUUCCCCUGAUCAGCAUCAACUCGACCAGUCCUACCUUCACUAGGACUGUGAACCUAGUCCUUAACUGAGUCAGAUUCGCUUCCGGGUCCUGCCGAGACUCCUUAUGGCACUAGGAUUCGACCUCUUGUGUUACGACCUAGCCGACCUAGGUUUGGAGGCCCACGUACUGAACGAUCAAUGGUAUUCUUGCCGCAAGGCCUUCUGGGCUGAGAAUGACCCUACAUUCGGCCUAAACUGUUAUUUUGGGCCCAAACAGAAAGGAAAACUAAUGAAAAUGACUUGAAAACGUUGAGUUUUAACGAUAAGGACAAAAUAAAGGGUAAAGUGAAUAGUACCAAGAUUGACUUUUUAGUGAAAAAAUGUGGUUUUUUUCUUUAAAGUGAACAGUACCGGGAGCUUUUCGUUAAAGUUCCCUUAAAAGAAUGCUAACGCUAUGUAUAAAUGGUUAUGUUUUGUUUUAUGUAUGAAUAUUGAUAUAUAUAUAAUUGUAGGGAGCGGCACAUGCACAACUUAUUUUCAAUUUCUGAUUUUCAAUUGAUUUGAUUUAUAUCAAGUUUGGGUUGGAAUGGAUUUGACUGCAUAUCAUAUGCAAGUCGACAUGUAUUAUAAAGCAACAAAUACAAAUGCAUAUAUAAAGUGGAUGUCAAUUGCUUUGUGAUUUAUAUAUAAUAGCAUAUAUGAAUGAAAUCUGUAUGCAUAUGGACAGUGGCGAAGCUACGUGAGGGCGAGGAGUGGCGGCCGCCCCUCCCCUCGCCGGAAAUCAAGCCCAGGAGUGGUGGUUCCGCCCCUCUGGUCUCGUCGAAUGUGAUGAAAUUCCGUAUGGUUUUCGGUCUUUUGGAUGUCCCUGCUCUAUCCCAGCACAGGCUGAUCGCGUGCUCUCUUAUUUUCCACAAAAAAAAAACAUAGGCCAAAGAAAGGAGGAACGAAGAUCUGCAUUUUGCAAUUUCUGGAGAAAGGAAAAUAAGUUAUGGAACUCUGGUUCUAACGAAGAAGAAGAGAAAGGAAGAAGAGAGAGACUUUCUCUCUCUCCCAUCCCACGUGACCUUUCUUAAUUACAAUUUGUUUUUUUUUUAAAUAUUGGCCAAUCAAUUGGCACCACCUAACCUGCUUUGUUUAUUUUUUUAAUUAUUGUCAGAUUUUUAUUUGACCACUCUUUUAAUAUUUUUAAGCCAUUUGUUUGACACUAUUAUUUAUCUUAAAAUUCAUUAUAAAUUUAUACAAGCUUCAAAAAAUAAUUUGUAAAAUAUUACGAACUCCUCAUUAUUUUAUUUCUUUCUCUUCCCAUCAAAUUCAACAAAGUAAUAAAGAAAAUUUGUCAAUAUUUUUAUAUAUUAUAUGUUUUAUAAUAAAUAUUUUUUGGAUAUUAUAAGCUAUAUAAUAAAUAGACAAUUAUUUAUACGGUAUAUAAUAAAUUUAUUCAAAUUUGCCUACGCCCUCGCCUAAGUGUAAAGUCAUGUCCAUCGCUUGAUUAGAGCUUAGCAUCUUUUAAAACUUUGCUAAUUAUACAAUUAAGUAAUAGGACGAUACAACGAGAAACGGUGCUAAAUCAUCCUUCAAAUAAUAUUGUUGUUCAAACCCUCCUUCGACUAUUUUGAAUAGUCCAAAUCCUCUUUUGAAUAUUUCGCCCCUCCUCCAGAAAAUUCCUGGCUUCGCCACUGCAUAUGGAGAUAUCAUUUGUGCAUUAAUUGUUUUAAAAAACUCUCAUGAUAUCUCCAUGUUUGAUUCACCAUACAAUUUGGGCAUUUGAUUAAUUACAGAUCAAUAACAGUUUUGCGUUGCUUAAUUUUCUUGUAAUAAAGCAAACAUAAAUAUGUGAGCAUCCAUAGAUUUUUCGAAUGUCAAUUACUGUGAAUACAUUAACUGGUUUUUGGGUUUUAUGCUGACAUUAGUUUGGGAUGGAAUUUGAGGCUUACGGUAUUAUUACAUUUUUAAGCAUGUGACAGAUUCCUUAUCGAUUUGUGCAUAGACGUUGUAAUUAUGGGCAUGCGAUUAAAUCUAUAUCAAAUAUAACUUGCAUAAGUUUCUCUGCAUAUUGAUGCAUGCAUACAAGAAAAUAUAUGAAUAGAUGAAUGAACAUACAUGUGUGAAAUAUGUUUUGGCUACAAUCGUUGUGGAGCCAAAAAUAUUCACAGGGCGACACGUGAAUUUUCGGACAAAAAGGACAAAAAUACCCUUGCAGUACAACGAGGUUCCUACGCGCAAGCAGCGGGCAACCCUCUUUCAACCAAGACAGAAGUGCCCAAAAUAGGUAACAAUUCAAAGUCCAUCUCAUCAAAUCCUUUCUACAAGGUAAUUCCCAAACACAUUCCUUUUAAAUUAUGUUAAUUGGCUAAUUAAUGGGUUUAUUGCCUAAUUAACCCAUUAAUUGUCAAUUAAACCAUCCAUUAUAUCCAAAUAACCACAAAAUACAUCAAAUUCAACCCUAAAACACCACAUGACCGGCUAUCUCCAUUUCAAAACCUAAUCCAUCACUUUUUUCUACCUUUUUCACCAUUUCUUCCUUUUUAUUACACAAUAAAUUCAAAAACCACCAAAACAUUCAUUUUAUGUUUAAUAGCCAAAUAAAUUGGCUAAUUAAACCUAAAUCAAACCCAAAAAACCCUAGCCACCUCCUAUCCCUAUAAAUAUACUCUCAUUCUCACCACAAAGCCAAGUCCAAUUCUCUUACAAAAAAUCCCAAAUACUCUAAACACUAUUUCUCUCUAAAAUUCUAACUUUGGCAUCAGAGGUUCUUCGGCCAAAGCCCCCUCCAUUCAUCGUGGGCGCGUGAGGCUUUUGGCCUUAACCUAAAGUGCUAGUUGUUUUGUAGGUGCAAAAUCGUCCAAGAUCGAGAAGGAGAAAAUUUGCAUCCACAAUCGUUAUUGUGCAUAUAUGGUGGAUCUGUAUACAUUGGUGUAAUGUGGGUUUUAGUUUGUAAUUAUCUUAUUUUUCAUUAGUUGACCCAAAUUAGAUUUUGUGGCUAUAUAUAUUAAUCAUAGCCUUAAAAAUUUAUUUGUAUGAUUAUAUAGGUCAAGCUAUAAAUUUUGAGAAUUAGUUUGUAUCAUCCAUAUACAGGGAUGAGAAACAAAUUAGCUUAUGUGAGUUGUUGUCAAUAUUUUUGUACAACACAAAUUGACAUUGCCGAAUGCAUAUUAAUUUAAUUCAUGAAUUCAUAAGAAAGCAUGUGCUUAUUGUAUUGUGAAAAUCAUGGAAUAAGUUGCAUGCUUAUUGUAUAGGUGUAUUUGUGAUUUCCUUCCGCCAUUAUGUUUUGAUUGAAAUCGCAAAUAGGGAGGAAGAAGAAUUUUGAGUUCUCCAGAAAAAAUAGUGGUCUUGAUUAUCUCAUUUUAAUCAAGACAUAUUGUUGUGAUAUAUAACCAGACAUUAUCAAGAUUGGUUGAUCUUGCUCAAUGGAUAUUGAUCUAGUUAGGAUCAAAUUGAAAGCAAAAAUAUUGUGCUUGCUAUUCUGAUUUUGAUCGUUGUUUAAACUAGUGAUUUUGGGUUUAUGUGAGAUAAAUUUUUCCGAAUGGAUUGAGACUUUUUUUGUUUUUGAUACAUAGACUGUUUGCAUAAUGGUUUAUAUGUAUAUAAAUAAAUUGAGAUUAUGCAAUUGGUGAGGAAUUGGGAACCAAUAGGUUCAAAUCUCCGGUAUCUUAAUUUAUUGGUUGUGCAGUACUUUUUACUUAUGCUCAAGUGGGAGAAUCAUAUGUUCGAAUGUGAGUAUAAGGCUAAGAGUAUUUAGGCCGGUCAUUAUAAUUCAUUUGGAUGCUUAGAAACCAGUUUAUGGUUUUAUUGAAGCAACUAGUUAAAUUAUUUAUGUUAAUUAAUUAGUUUAAGUAAUGAGAAAUUUAGUGCUAUUUGUUGGAACUAAACUUAACUUGAAUGCUUAAAAACCAAUUUAUGGUUUUAUUGAAGCAACUGGUUAAAUUAUUUAUAUUAAUUAAUUAGUUUUAAGUAAUGCGAAGUUUAGUGCUAUUUGUUGGAACUAAACUUGACUUGAUAUAGUGGGAGUAAACUAAUUUAUCUGUUUGUUCUGGUCAAGUAAAAACACAUUGUUAUAAAUACAAAUUUGAUGCAUGUGAUCAUGAAAUCUAUUUGCAUAUAGGUCGCAUCAAUGUUUCUUUGAUUAUGCAUUUUGAAAUGUAUAGAUAUAAUGUAUGUGAUGUGAAUCUCUUAUGCAAUGAGACUAACUGAUCAAAUUGAUCACUUCUAUUAAAAGUUUGUGAAGCCGAAAAUUUAGCUUAGUUCAUGCUCAAGUGGGAAAAUAUAAGAUAUAAGGAUAUGAGCAUGAUAGUAAGUGGGUUGUGAUUUUGACAGCUGGUAUGAUUGAUUCAAACUAGUAUAGAAGGUCAUAUGAUAAGAGGAUUAUAUGAAUCGCUAAGGAAUAGGAUUGAAACUGCAGAAGGAUCCUAUCAUAUCGGUUAGCAUUCAAAAGGAUAUGAAUUUGGUUCCUUAUAUGGAUUCUGAUAAGUUGUUCAGUGUAUUGCAAUGACUGUUAGUUAAUACAGUUGAUAUUAACUUGUACUUAACUUGGUUGUGUGAAGUAUGGCCUAGAUGAGUGGGAGCAAAUUGGUUUGGUUUUGCUACAUCAGUUGGUUCACAUAAUUACCAAGUGCAAAUUAAGUAUGUUGUGAUUUUUGGGUUAAUUCUACGAUGUAACAGAAAAGAUUCUUAAGUUCCAUACUUUAAAAUGCAUAAGGAAGUUGUAUGUGAGGUUAAACUUUUGCUAUCCAAAAGAUUUGGUGAUCACUUCUAUGAAUAUGAAAGGCUAUGUGAUUAAUAUGUUUCAUACUCAAGUGGGAGAAUGUUAAAAUAUGAGUAUAUGAAACUGAAUAUUAUAGCCGGUUGUAGUGUUUCAAUUGACAUUGAAAAGUCUUGCUAGAAAGCUUAAAACUAUCCUAAUUCUUGUGGGAUUGAAAUUCAAAUAUGAUUUGAAUUCAUAUUUGGUAUCCUAUAGUGAUUCUAAUAGGAGAAUCAAUUAGGAUUGAUCUAUUAUAAAUAGUGGUCACUGCUCUCAGAAAAUGUACACUCAAUAUUGAAUUAAGACCUAUUGUUAGUUUGAGUACUUUUGGUUUUGCAAGAGAGGAGAAGGUGCAUUAUUUACAAUUUUGCUUUGGCUUCUUCUGCUACUGUUUUUACGGGUUAGUUUGUCAUUGUGUUUAUCGAAUUGUGAUUUUAAUACUUUUAUAAAUUUGUGGUUCAUGAGCUUAACUCUUCACUUAUAUUUUUGAUAAGCUUAGUCUUACCCCUCAAGAUUAAUGAUGAGAAACCAUCUCUUGCCUAUGAGCUCUUUGAUUCCGCUAAGCUUGAUAUUUUUUGACUUGUUCCAUAUGCUUGGUAAGUAUCAAGGUUUUCAUAUAUUGGAUUAUUGAAUAUGUAUUUGAGUUGUUAAUAUGUUAACACUUAUAGGGUUUUUACCACCUGCAAAAGUAGGAAUAAAAACACUUAAAAAUACUUGCAGGAGAACAAGGUAGUUGUAGUAUAAACGGCUCAAGCAAGAUUGUUUUCCACAUGGAUUGAAUGAAUAAUUUGUGUUUAAAACCAACUCUUAAUUUAUUAUUUAAAACAAAGUUUGGAAAAUGUUGAUUUUAGAAUUUAAAAUAAUAAAAACGAACUUAAAUUAAAAACAAUUAAAUUAAUUAAUUAGAAACCAAUUUAAAGAAAAUCAAUUUGUAAAAGCCCUAGGGUUCAGCCGUCACCUUAACAAUCUUACGUAAUUCUUCCAAUUACUUAUGAAUUACCAUGCAUAUUUCGAAGGUUAUAUUUUCCUAAUAUAUAUCCUACUUGGAACCUCCAACAUAGAACGUAUAUCUAAUGUGGAUGCAAAUUUCUUCCUCCUUGUUCUUGGACAAAAUUGCACCUACAAAAAAACAACACCUUAAGUCAAGGCCAACAGCCUCAUGCGCCCACGAUGAAUGGAUGGGUGACUUUGGCCGAAGAACCUCCGAUGCCAAAGUUAGACUUUUGAGAAGAAAAAAAUGUUUGGAGAAUUUAGAGAAUUUAACAAGAGUGUAGAACUUAGGUUUGGAGAAAAUGAGGGUGUUUAUAUAGGGGUGUGGCCGGCCCCUUAGGGAGGAGGAGGACCAGCCACUUGGAUGGUUUUUUGGGUGAGAUUCAUGAUUUGUUAGCUAAUUAAUAAAUUAAUUAGGUAAUAAAUCAAUAAAUUAGCUAAUUAAUAUAAUUAGAAAGGAAUGAUUUGGGGGUUACCUUGUGGAAAAGAUUUGAUGAGGAUGGAUGAAAUAGGUUUUGAAUAAAUACCUAUUUUGGGCACUUUUGACUUGAUUGAGGGAUGAUUGCCCACUGCUUGCGCGUAGAAAUCUCAAUGUGCCUCGAGGGUAAUCUUGUCUUUUUAACCCAAAAAUCCAUGUGUCGCCUCCAUAUUUUUCUUGAUUAUUUUUUGCUCCACAAAUGCCCCCACACCUGCUGGGCUACUUGUAGGAAAGGGUAGCAAGUGUAGAGAUCUCCAACUUUGAUGCAGAUUCUCACUUGGACUUGGAAUUAGAUUCUUCUAGAAAAGGGAAAUAAAUCGCCUCCAAAUCCUAUUUAAGCCUACCUUAAGUAUGAGAUUAAAUCAACUUUGGAGGGCAAUUAUUUGUCCAUACAAGAAAGAGAGAAAGCUAGAGGAUAUUUGUUCUCCCUCCCUAACAUUCUUAUUUUCUUGCCCGUGCAAAGAACCUUAUUCCGUUGAUUUCUUUGUCUUCUCCAUGCCGCACCUAUGUAAGAAAAACUUAAUUCUCCUUGUCUUCUUCUUGGGUGGUGCUGCCACGGGGUAGUCGUCAGGGUGGUGCAGCACGUCGGUUGGUAUGAGCCAGGAGUUGGCUUGGCAUGGACCAAGAAGGUAGUGUGGUAGGGGCCAUUGCUUGUGCUGCUCGGCUUGACUGAAGCCAAUGAUUAACUCAGCAUGGGCUGAGGAAGUGGCGUGGCAUGGGCCACAGUUAGGGCUGCCUUGUUUAAGCUGCUUGCCAAAAAUGAGGAACUGCUUGAGUUUGAUUUCUCAGCUGCUGUAGAUGGAGCAGUCAAGGAUGAAGUUGCCAAGAUCGGAGAUGCUGGAGAUGAAGUGUCGGCUAAGCGAACUGUUUAGUGCAAAGUGGCUGUUGCCCCCUGAUCACUUGCUGCCUAGUUGGUAUUCAAGCAUUCGACCUUUUGACCUAUGUGGCCUUCUCGCACUAGAGAGUUUACCAAGAUGGGUGUCAGGUAAUUAGUUUACCCUCUCGUAGUGGAGAGCUUGCCCAUAUGGGUGUUAGGGAAUUGGUUUACCCGCUCACAGUGGAGAGCAAUUAGUUUAACCGCUCACAAUGGAGAGCAGAUCCAUCUGGGUGUAGGGGAAUUGGUUUACCCUCUUGCUGUAACAUCCCACAUUGACCAACAGAGAGGGGGUAAUGUGCCUUAUAUGUACAUGCCUACCUCCAUAUAGCACGAGGCCUUCUAGGAGCUCAAUGGCUUCGGAGUUCAUCACUCUGAAGUUAAGCGAGUUUGUGCGAGAGCAUUCUUAGGAUGGGUGACCUACUGGGAAGUUCUCAUGUGAGUUCCCAGAAACAAAACCGUGAGAGCGUGGCUGGGGCCUAAAGUGGACAAUAUCAUGCUACAGCAGAACCGAUCUGGGACUUGACAGAAUGGUAUCAGAGCCACUCUGUCAUUCGGUGGGAGUGUGCCAACGAGGACAUCGGGCCCCUAAGAGGGGUGGAUUGUGAGAUUCCACAUUGACCAACCGAGAGGGGGUGAUGUGCCUUAUAUGUACAUGCUCAUCUCCCUAUAGCACGAGGCCUUUUGAGAACUCACUGGAUUCGAAUUCCAUCGGAACUUCGAAGUUAAGCGAGUUUGGGCGAGAGAAAUCCCAUGAUAGGUGACCCACUGGGAAGUUUUCGUGUGAAUUCCCAGAAACAAAAUCGUGAGGGCGUGGUCGGGGCCCAAAGCGGACAAUAUCGUGCUACGGCGGAGUCGAGACUGGAUGUGACAGAAUGGUAUUAGAGCCACUCUGCCGUGCGGUGCGAGUGUGCCGACAAAGACGUCGGGCCCCUAAAGGGGUGGAUUGUAACAUCCCACAUCGACCAACGAAGAGGGAGUAAUGUGCCUUAUAUGUACAUGCCCACCUCUAUAUAGCACGAGACAUUUUGGGAGCUCAAUGGCUUCGGAGUUCUGACCCACUGGGAAGUUCUCAUAUGAGUUCCCAUAAACAAAAUCAUGAGGGCGUGGCCCAAAGCGGACAAUAUCGUGCUACGACGGAGCCGGUUUGGGAUGUGACACUCGCACUGAAGAACAAUUAGUUUAAUCUCUCGCAUUUGAGAGCAGACCCAUAUGGGUGUUGGGGAAUUGGUUUACCCUUUCGCAUUGGAGAGUAGAUCCAUAUGGGUGUCGGGGAAUUGUUUUACCCUCUCACAAUGGAGAGCAAUUAGUUUAUCCUCUUGCAAUGGAGAGCAGACCCAUAUGGGUGUCGUGGAAUUAGUUUACCCUCUCGCAUUGGAGAGCAAUUAGUUUAUCCUCUCGCACUGGAGAGCAGAUCCAUAUGGGUGUCGGGGAAUUGGUUUACCCUCUCGCACUAGAAAGCAAUUAGUUUAUCCUCUCGCACUGGAGAGCAGACCCAUAUGGGUGUCGGAGAUUUGGUUUACCCUCUCACAUUGGAGAGAAAUUACUUUACCCUUUCACACUGGAGAGCUUACCCAUAUGAGAUUCAUCUUUUUGAAGCCUUCUCUGCGGGCAGUGGCGAAGGCUUUUCUUAUGACCAUAUUCCCAGGCUAGAACUACCGGAUCUUGGGCCAUUUGUUGUAGAUGGUGAGAAGUUGCUGCUGGUAGGCUAUGAUGCGGGUGAUGGUAGCGUUUCUCCUCUGCCAGAUCUAAGCGUGUGGCCAUCUCCUUACUAUUCUGCUUGAUGCUUGGCAGUAGAGUGCUGAUAAUUGGCACGAUGAUAUUGGGAUGAAUGAUUACUUCUGAACCAAAUGCCAAAGAGAAAUGAGUCUUACAAGUGGCUCGUCGUUUGGUGGUGCAAUAUGCCCAUAGACAUUCGGGGAAUUCAUCUGGCCAUUUUCCCUUCUUGUCAGAGAGGGACUUCUUGAGGCAGUCGAGGAUCGUCUUGUUGGAUGCUUUGAAGCCUAGAGUGAUCGCCUGCUCGGGCAUUGAAUCGUCUGGGGUGACAAGGACCACGCAUGCUCCCGAACCUGUGUAGUUUGAUGCGCCGUCGACAUGCAAAUGCCAGAAGUCUCUAUCGGGUGGAGCAGGCGUGGCUAGGGCGUGCUCGGCUACCUCCGGGGAGUCGUUGGGCCGCUCUAUUGCGUUGCCUAGGCUAGGCGUGAAGGCGCAGUAGGAAGUCAUGGAGCUGAUAUCAUGUUACACAUAACAGAAGAUGCUUAACUGCCAGUAUUAGGCUGCUUUAGAGCUGAAUUAUGGAGCAAAGGUCGGCUGGGGCCAUGUGAUGCAUUGCAAGAGGUGAUUUUCAAUUGCCGGUACAUGUUGCUCCUAUGUAGAAUCUUUUGGGCCGACAAGGACAAAACUUGCUUCCGAGUGUGUUCUUCUAGUGUUCGCUGCCCUUGGCUUGCCUUUUGGGCUGAGUUGUUGAGUUCGUCAGAAAACUUUGCAUCCGCCAGUGUCUACGCCUUUAUCGUCGCGUGUCUGGAUUAGGCGGAAUAGUGCAUCAUGAGGAUGACUGGGUGCGUCUGAAGGGGCUGUACAGCUUUUUAUCCUGCCUGUGAAUUCAAGUCUUGUAUAAGAGAUUUCUAAAAUUGAUAUGAAAUGUUGUAGCACUCUUAAAAUACCGCUCUCACUCUUCAAUAGUUCAAUUGCAUAUUUCAUGCCUCUUAUGAUGUAGGAGCACAUAUGACUGGUCCAUAACACUUGACAUUUUUUUCCCGCAAACUGCGAAGACUGUGAUGUACAAUUUUGAUUAGUUCAACUAAAACAUAAACCUUCAGUAGCUGUAGUGUAGGAAUACCAAGACAUUAGUAGGUAGGUGUUGUAGACAAGAAAGCAUGUUGAUGUUGUUGCGCUUCAUUUGAGGUUUCAUGUGAUUUAUUUUUGUCUUCCGCUUUACAGGACACGGUUUUUGAUCCAGUUUCUCUUACAAGCGGCCAUAUAUUCUGCUACAUGUGUGCUUGCUCGGCUGCAUCAGUGCCUAUUGUCGAUGGAUUAAAGUCUGCAGAGCCUAAAGAAAAAAUGCCCUCUAUGCUGAGAGAUGAGUAAAUAUCUUCUUUCUAAUUGGAUGGAGUGCUUCGCUACAAUCAAAACUAUUGUUGCUCACUGUUUUGUGAUUUUUCGUGUUGAUUUCAGGCGAGAGUUUUCGAAGGGGCUGUACAUUUAGAAGAGCUUAACAUGUUAAUUAGCAGAAAGUACGUUUUUGUUCAGCAUAUUCUCAUUUAGAAUCCUUAUAUGAGUAAAUGAUCAUCCUUUACAUGCAAUUUUUCAUUCUUAUUUAUUCAUGUUUUAACAGCUGCCAUGAAUACUUGGAGCAGAGACUCCAGACCGAGAGAGUACAGAGGGUUCGGCAAGCAAAGCAGCACUGGGAAUCCCAGUGCCGGGCAUUCGUUGGCGUUUAGUCGCUGCCCCGUGGUUGGGCUUCUGUAACCCGCCAACUAUUUUAUAGUUUGGAAAGCCAUUAACUUCUUGUUUCUGGCUGUUUAGCUUCUUGUAUGUAGCGUUUGAAUAGCAUAUGUUGUCAAAGUUUUGGGACUUAACAUUCGGUUCGAGUAAAUUUGCAUUUUUGGAUUAUGGUCAAAUGCAUCCUGGCUCCUUCAACCUUGCAACAAAGUAUCCGAGGGUACAAUUAUAUUUUGUACUGCUAUUUGUAUCAUAUUUAUUGAUCACUUAACUGACCACUUAUAUAUGAGAUCCACCUACAUUAGAAUUUAGAGUCCAAAUAGCGGCACUAGUAUUUCAGGGGUGGGAUCUUCUUUGGAAUCCCAUGCAUGGCUUGGACGCGGUAUCUUCUUGGAAAGCUUUUCUUCGCGGAGAGCCGGGGAAUUAUGUUCAAUUGCUUUCGGAGGUUGUGGUACCUGCUGUGAGAAUUGCUGCUGUCAAUACUUGGCAGGCCAAGGACCCCGAACCAAUGCUGCGGUUUUUGAAGUCUUGGGAGAAUUUGCUGCCCCCUUGUGUUCUUGAAUCCUAUACGGUAGUCUUGCCUAAACUCAAGGAUGCCGUUGAUUUGUGAAACCGCGUCAAGACACCAUUGGGGUUGCGUCCAUGGCUACCAUACUUGUCCCACGUAAUUGAUACCAGUACUGUAAGAACUCAUGAAUUGCAGAAUACAACAACAACAACAACAACAAAGCCUUUUCCCACUAAGUGGGGUCGGCUAUAUGAAUCCUAGAACGCCAUUGCGCUCGGUUUUGUGUCAUGUCCUCCGUUAGAUCCAAGUACUCUAAGUCUUUUCUUAGAGUCUCUUCCAAAGUUUUCCUAGGUCUUCCUCUACCCCUUCGGCCCUGAACCUCUGUCCCGUAGUCACAUCUUCGAACCGGAGCGUCAUUCGGCCUUCUUUGCACAUGUCCAAAUCACCGGAGCCGAUUUUCUCUCAUCUUUCCUACAAUUUCGGCUACUCCUACUUUACCUCGGAUAUCCUCAUUCCCAAUCUUAUCCUUUCUCAUGAAUUGCAGAAUAAUGGAAGAAAAGAAUGUAAGACUUAACUUAUCAAAAAUAAAAGUUAAGAGAUUAAGCUCAUGAACCACAAAUUUAGACAAGUAUUAAAAUCACAAUUCGAUAAACAUAAUGACAAACUAACUUGUAAAAAAACAGUAGAAGAAGAAGCCAAAUUAGACUUCAAACAAUGCACCUUCUCCUCUCUUGCAAAACCAAAAGUACUCAAACUAACAAUAGGUUUUAGUUCAGUAUGGAGCGUAUAUUUUGUGAGAGCAGUAGCUUAUUGGAUUAACUCUUGUCAACAUGAUUUAGACUUCUUUAUAAUAUCAAUUAUCCCAAGACUUGUAAGAAUCAUACUCAUACUCUUACAAAGAAUGCAGUUGUUGAGAGAGAGAGAGAGCUAUGAAUUUCAGUAUAUUUCAUCAAGUGAAUUACAAUGACAGUUUCACACUAUAUAGCUUAAUGGCUCCCUUACACUCUAAGCUAUUAGCACCAACAACUCUAACUAAUAGCUGCAACAAUUCUAACUAACUGUCGCAUUAGCUAACAACCUUACUUACUGUUUUGCCAUAGCACAACUAAUCUUUAGACUAUACUACCCUUUGGUCAAUAUUGGUUAAUAUCCCCCCUCGAUCUUAACUUGGGUGGCCAAGCUUAAGAUUGUAACAGUGCUUGACAAAUGAAGGACCAUGUAAACCCUUGGUUAGUAUGUCAACAGAUUGAUCUUCAGUAGGAAUGUAGCUGACUUCCUAAGUCACCUUGUUGCACUCUCUCUCUCGAACAAAGUGGUAAUCGGUAUCCAAGUGCUUUAUCCGAGAAUGAAACACCAGAUUUGCACUCAAUGCAAUCGCAUACAUAUUUUCACAAUGAAUGACUGGAGGUGUAGGCAAAAAUAAUUCCAAAUCCUUUAAAAUAUACAUGAUCCAAGCUAUAUCAACAACACUGUGAGCCAAGGCCUUACAUUCUGCUUUAGUAGAACUCCUGGAAAUCUUUGACUGCCAAAAUAUAGGAUUAUUGCCAAGAAAAAACUAUAUAUCUAGUCACACAUCUUCAAGUAUUCAAGUCUACGGCCCAAUCUGAGUCUGAGAAGGCAUUAAGACUUGCUUCUGCAUCUGCUGAAUAUAGAAUCCACUGUUUCGGUAUACACUAUGUGUCCUAUAUAGUGCCAUACUUCAAUGUUCCUUGAAGAUAUCUCAGUAUUCGUUUCACAGCUCCAAGAUGAAUAUCAGUUGGUGAUUUCGUAAACUGACAUACUAAAUGUACUGCAAAUGCAAUAUCUGGCAUAGUGAAGGCCAAAUAUUGUAAGGAUCCAACUAUACUCCUAUAAAAUGCAGGAUCAUUGAGAGGAAUUCCUUCUGUCACUAACAACGAGUUGUGUGCUUUGCAUGGUGUUGAACAAAGUAAAGAAAAUCAAGGAUCGAAAUUAAGAGGUGUGUAAAAGAUAAAAAAAAACCGCAAAAAUGACAACCCUAAAUCAAAAGAGAUCACAAUAAAUAAAUGGCUAUAGUCUCUGAUAUUUGCGUAACUCCUCACUUUGGUCCCUGAUAUUUGAAAUCAAUAGAAAUAGUCAUUGAGUUUGUCCACCAUUAAUCAUUUUGGUAUUUCCAUAAAAAAAUCUUCAUUAAAUAAAGCUAAAUAAAAAAAAAUACCCUCCAUUUUUGUCACAUCAUUUGACCCAUUGUUUAUUAAAUUGAGGGUAUUUUUAUCAUUUUUGUCCUUAUUUAAUAUAUUUUUUUAUGAAAAAACUAAAAUGAUUGAUGAUGGACAAACUCAAAUACCACUUCUAUUGAUUUCAAAUCUUACGGACCAAAGUAAUGAGUUAUACAUAUCUCAAUGACUAUUUUUGCUAAAAAAAACCUAAAUAAAUAAAUGUGUGCAUGGGAGAAAAGUAGUUUGCAGGAAUCACUCCUUAUUGCGUAAAAACAAAGCGGCUUCUGCACAUUUGUUAUUUUCCGCGACAGUUUAUUCCUCUACUUUGCAUUAUACAGGUGCAUGAAAAUCACUUCAUGUCGCAGUUAGAUUCUUACCGGGGCCGGCGAAGCCCACGGCGACGGAAACCUGGACCUUGGCGUGGACGAUGAUGAGCUUGAAGGGAGCUUUGUCGCCGUCGAAGGACUUGAAGAAGUGGUCCAAAGUCCAUUCCAGAGCGUACUGGCUCUGCUCGCUCUCGUCCGCCCCGAUCACCAUCACUUGCUUGUCUGCCGCCAUUAAUGCUCACCCUUCUCUCCCAAGUCCUUCACCGUCUUUCUUGUGUUAUCGUUUCUCUCUCUAGAAAAUCAGCUUUUUUUUGUCAGCUUUUGGAAUAAGAGCUUUUCUUGCCGGCUAUUUAUACGAAGGCCUUGUGCUUUCAAUGGAAUCGGUUCGAACGAGCGAGCUUGCUUGCUUGAUUCUUCAUACUUGGUACAAACAGCGUCGUCUGAUUUGGUGGAUGUGAAUAUAGCUUAAUUCCUAAUCAUUCAGGUUACCUCUAGAAAGAAACGACGGGCGGUUAAGGCAAAACAAUCACAGAUUGGCGCGUGAAUAUAGCUUAAUGGUAUUCCUGUUUCUCUGCUAUUGGCAAUGGAUAAUUAGUAAUUGUUAAUUGUUGAUUAAGGCAAAUACUAAUAACAGGGUAAAUGUAUAAUAUGAAAUUGACUAAUCAAGCAACACCAGAAUUUUUACUAGAUCAUAUUAUUAUUAUGAGUAAAUUGUCGAUUUGCCCCUUGAACUAUCACCUAAUUUUCGAUUUGUCCCCUGAACUUUUUAAUUGGAAAAUUAAGGACUUAACUAAUUUUUUUUGGCCGAUUUGCCCCUGCUAUUAAUUUUUCAUUCACCCCAUCCAAAUUUUUGUUAAAUUGAAGCAUUUGCACAACAUGUAAGGGUAGUUUGGUCGCUUCACUUUUUAAAAUAAUUGAAAACCUUAGAUUUCUAAAAUAUAAACCUAAGCAAAUAUGUGUGAUUCUAUAAAAUUUUGUUCUUAAAAUAAAAGCGAAUGAACCUAAGAUCACAUGGUGUUACACAAUUGAGGUUAUAAUUUGGCAAAAUUAUGAAAAACUAACGGUAAGGUAAAUUGGCCCAAACAUGAGUUUAAGUCGUUAAUUUUCAAAUAAAAAGUCAUGGCGAAAAUCGAAAGUCAAGUGAUAGUUCAGGAGACAAAUUGGAAGUUUAGCCUAUUAGGAUUAACAAGUAAGCUUGCUAAAAUUCGUGUUAUGGCUCUUGAAUAUAGCUAAGAUUUACGCUUGCCCCUGUUGCAUUCCUUAAGUUUCCUUUCUACAGUGAAAGUUUUACCAAUUUGUUGGAGUGAAACAAUUCUUGCAAUAUAGCCAAGUCUCCUAGAAAGGUAGCAAGCUGACAAGAGUUAAUAAUUUAGCAAGUAAGCCAACUCCUAGAUAAUGGUUCAAACAGCACAACAUUAGCCGAAAAACCUAGGCUGAAAUUAUAAAUGAGGGCUUAUAAGGGUUUCUAGCAAGCUGACUCGUUGAUGAACUCGAGAUACAUAUUUUGCUGUUAUUUGGUGGGUAUUUGUUGGAAUUAAUGGAGGAGUGCACCAGUGUGCCAAUUUUGGAGUUAUGGAGUGCACCGGUGUGCAAUUUUGGAGUUAUGGGGUGUACAUAUAAAACACCAAUGUUUAUUUUUUUAUUUCUUAUUCUUAUUUAAUUAAGGUGAUUUUUGGAAGUUUGGUAGAUAAAACUUGGUAGUUGGAUGUAGAUAUAAGAUAAAACUUUGUGUUAUGUGAUAUGGCCUAAUUAUCUCCUCGUAACUGUUAGAAUUUAAAAUUGAAAAAUUUAAAUAUUUGAGGAUAUGGUUACCGCCUCAGCCGCUUGGCCCAUGCAAAAAAGUUUAAUAGAAAUCCGAUGGCCACACCUUUUCCCCUUUCACUUUAGGGUUUUGUGUGUUCAUAUCCGCGGAAAACUCCUACCUGAACACUUUGCACUUCUUUUCUAUGGGGUGUGAAAUUCAAAAUUCAACUUACUUUGUUUGUUUUAAUUUUUAUUUUUUUUCAAUUUUCUUCUUUCUGUUUGCUUUGGAUCAAAUAUCUCAAUUACCCGUUGGUUAGGAAUUUAACAUUUAAUUCACAAAAUACACAGAGGCAGGGAUUUUUAAAAUAUUGGCCAGAACCCUAAUUUGGGGUUGUUUUUUUUUUAUUUUUUUACCGUUCGUAUGUUUCAUACUUAUGGGUAACAAGAUUUAUUAUGGGGCGUGGACAAAUUUAAAUUCAGCCUCAGUAAGAUCGAUCUUUUGUAUUCACAAUUAUGCAUUUUAUUGUGUGUUUUAUGCUCGUUAAAGUUAGCUUUCGUUCACGGUUUGGACUCCAUAGUAAUCCAAUUGAGCCGAGGGCUAUGGUUUUUGUCAUACACGUUUUGGGAAUAUAUUCUGGAUCCUAACACCAUGUAGUUUGAUGAUCACGCCGGUACCCCAAAUUGUUUUUAACUAAAAAUUGUAGCAUGCGAUGCGAGUUUGAUAUCUAUUGUAAUUGCCGGUCCUUGCGAUCAGUUUUGAGAUUUAAGGGUUUGAUCAUCUGUAAAGUUAGUAUUAUUAAUUCGUCUCUUUGUCGUGAUUGAAUCGUUUGGAACAGUUUUCUGUUUCCAUUUAUAUUCUCGUUUUGGUUUCAGUGUCUUAUUUAUAUCUCGCAAACUUUAAAUUUGUAAAACUUAGGGGACGGCUUGUCGAAUUCUCGAACCAGAAUUAUGGCUCGGUUUAAUUACGGUUCACGUUGAGUUCACACGGGUCCAGUAGGGUUCAUUCGAGUUCCAUUUCCACUGGUGAGUAAUUCGCUGGGAUUUCGAUUGUUUAAAUAAUUGUCAUCUGUGAGAUGAUUGUUGAUUAAAAUAAACAGCCUUAAUAAAAUUUCUUUAUAUAGUCAUUUAUGCUUUUUCUUCUUAUUUGCAGUACCCCAAUCCACUUACUCUGCUUUAAUCUGGCAAAAGGAGUAGGAGUAGUAUAAACGGCGCCCUUGUUUUAGUUUAGUUUGACGCUGCUUGUGCUUUUUGGGGCUCAAUGCCUAGAAUAAUAAUAAUUUUUUCCUCGCUAUCUAACACGUAAUUAUUGUAACUAGCUAAUAACAUGUAAUAUUUCUAUGAGUUAGGUCCUAGUGCCUGUGACGAGGUGCGGUGAGAUAUCCAAACGGAAGGUUUACGGUCUUUUAUCAUUCAAAAUUUUCGUCCAAGUGCAAUUGGUCGUGGCAUUUCUGAUGACCAAUGCCAGUGGUUGCUUCGGGCGGUUGUUGAGGUACUUUCAGUUGCUCGAUUGAAAAAAAAAAAAAAAAGUCUGUGCUAUCUUGUUCUGCUUCUUGUGUUGGUCUUGUCAAUCUUUGGAAUGGAAAACAGAUGCUAGAUCAAUAGUUUCUACAUAAAUAUUGACAAGUGUUGCAUCUAUCUCUCUCUUUUGAUGGCAGCUAAGCCUUUUUGGAGGGCCUGAUGACCCGGGGUUUAAGCUUUUCCGAGGUAGCCUAUGGAAACAGUGUGGCAUUGAGGUGGAUGUUGAGGAUGGUUCGUCCAAGAAUGAUUCGACUUGCGCUAGUUCGGCUCAGGAUUGAAUAAAGAUGAAGAAUAAAUGUGUGAUUUUGGACCUUGGUGCCGACUAGUGCGUGUAGUUAGCUUUGUUUAUAAAAGUAGUAAAUCCACAUGCAAAAAGGACCAAUUUGCUUUGGAUUAAGGUUAUGUUGGGAGCUAUCUAUGAAGUUUACUCAUAUGAUCUGAUAUAAGCUAUUCCUCAUU
rnacentral:lncRNA from 1 species